rnacentral:lncRNA from 1 species
UAAACAACACCCUUACGUAGUUUCCAUGUGCAGCAUAGUUCUUAAACAGUUCCAUUACAAGACACAUCAUCACAUUAAUACAAAAUAUACAGACAGUGUGUUUUUUUUCUUUUUUUUUUUUCUUUUUUUUCCGAAAACACCAAAUAAACUGCGAAAUAAUUCCACACAUGCGCGUUGCUCGUAAAAAUCUUUAAAAUCCAAACGCACCUCUAGAAAUGUAUCCUACUAGGCUGCGACUUCUCCAUUCUUGUCUCUCCAUAAGGCUCGUCUUUAUCGAUCCUUUUGUUGUGCCUAAAAGCAGCACAAGCAACCACAUAGAGUAUGACGAGGAUUAUCAAGACAACUAUGUUAAUAACCGACACUUUUCUCCAGCUCUUCUUCAAGCUAGCCACUACCCCAGCUUUGCAAGAAUCGCACCCGUAGCAUAGUUGCUCCUGGUCGUUGCUCCAUUUUGUGCAAUCUGCGUCGGGCCACACGAGGCCGCCACCUGGCGUCCACACCGUCUCGUUUAUGUACACGUAGCCGCAUGAUGUAGGCGGCUUGCAACAUCCAGACUAGCACAUGUAAAACCAAUGUUAAGCAUGCCAAGCUAAGAGUUAUAUUUGACUUGCCAAAAAAUCUAGAUUUGCUAAAAAAAUCUUCAUGUUAUAAUAUUAGCAAAAGAACCCCAUGGUGCAUUUUUUUUAGCACACGGCCCCCCUAAAUGGUGUGUUUAAGGGGGUAGUCUGCUAGUUAAAAAAUAGCAUCAUAAUUGAUUUUUGCUAAUAUAUACAUAACACGGAAUCAUAGGGAUGCUAAAUGCAAUAAAGUACCCCGUGCUAUCCUAUUAAGGUCUCGUGUGGUUGUCACAAUGGAAUAAGCCAAGAUAUACACAAUCUUAUUAAAUUCCGGAUUGUAUAAUUAGACCAGCGUGUCCCAUUCGUCAAAAUAAACAGAUAAAAGAGCAUGGACGAAACCAAAUUAAAGCCCGUUAAUUAAUCAUGGCAUAUCUACUCAACCAACCAAACCCGGACUAGUUUCGAGAAAUAGAUACCGAGUGCAUAGAAGCAGGAGAUAAGCCAAAAUAGUAUUAUAUGUUAUAUAUGCUUUCAAGAACCAGAUAAAUAAAUUCAAGAAAGAGAAAAAAAAGUGUGCAUACUUUUUUAUGUUUGAUUCCAUGUAGUCACCAAAUCAAUUAUUGCCCUUUUGAAUAUCAAGAAAGUGUGAAGAUGAUCUAAUAAGCUAUCUCCUAUAACUACCGUUCGAUCACUUCCAUCAUCAAACUCGUCUUUAUUUAGUCAUCACAAAUACUAUUAUUUUGAUCUGAUGAUAUAUUUAUAUAAUACGACAUCGGUUAAUUAUAUAAGCAGGUUGAGUCUUUUUCCCAAUUUCAUAUUUUCAAUUGAUUAUACAACCAUGCACACAUGAGUAAAGUACAGAAAAUGGUUAACUUUAAUCAUUAUAAAAUCUAUCUUCAACAUUAUUUAAAAAAAUAAUUAAAAAAAAAACACAAACAAACAGAACUAACCCCAUAUGAUUUUUAUCACUUACAUCCCGUCUCAAAAUAUUCGUCGUUUGUUUAAUGUUUGGCAUAUGUAUUAAGAAAGUAAUUAAUUUUUUAUUUUUUAUUCUUCUGAAAUCAUCCUUUCAAAUGAAAUACUCAACCAACAAGUUAUAUAUAUAUAUAUAUAUAUAUAUAUAUAUAUAUAUAGAGGCCUAGGGCGAAACUUGAAAAAUGUGGCCUCUCUAAGUUAAAUGAGCAAAAUGAUUAACUUCAUUGCAAUAAACGAGUUUACAAAAAUUGGGCGAUUCUUUGGGCCUCGUUAAAACCUUCUUAGGAAAAACUGAUGGGACAACCCCUAAAGAAGGAAAAAGAGUACCCUAACCCAAAAAAAAUGUAAAAUAAAAAAUAAAAAAUACAAUUAAGAUUACAUGAUACAAACAUCAAAUUAUCAUUCAAUUUCUUGUAGCUUCAUCUUCAACACCUUGGUAUAGCAUCACCUACAAAAAUAGUCAAUCAAAUAGCAACAUAAUCAUUUGAAAUGUCUUCUUGUUGCACUUUUAGAAGCAAAAUCAUCAAUUAUACUAUCAUAUGAAAUAUUUUCCAAUAUAUUUUUUUCAAUACAUAAUAUGGCUAAUGUAUUCAGCCUUUCUUGAGCCAUUGUGGUUCUUAAAUAAGAUUUCAACAACUUUAAUUUGGAAAAACUCCUUUCGGCGGAUGCCACAGUAACAGGGAUAGUCAAUAAUAUUCUAUAAGCAAUCAUAACAUUUGGAAACAUAUCCAUACUUUUUACGAACUCUAAUAUCUUAAUGGAAUUCCAUGGUUUAUUUAUUUCAUACGAUUCACUUGGUAACAUAACUUGCAAUACCUCUAAUUCUGAGAGUAAAUCUCUAGCAUUAACAUCAGAAACAUCAUCAAAUUUUAAAGCAUUUUCAAGAUUCUCACAACACCACUUUAAUUCUUCACAAUCUAAUGAAAUUAAUUUUAUUGCAUUGAAUAAAAAUCCAAAAAUAGACUGAAACAAUUGCAACUGUUCAAACCUACUCCUCAGUUGAGAUAGAGCAUUAUCCACAAUUACAAGAAAAUAAUCCGUUCUAAAAUAUUCUUCUGGUGAUGCAUGUUCUCUUUCAUUAUUAGAAGUUUCAUCGAAAUGUCUCUUUCGACAAAGUCUUCUUCUUAUGACAAAUAUAGGCUCAAUUUCCAUAUCAGUUGCUAUCUUUUUAGCAUCUAUAAUUGCUGAAUUCAAUCCAUUUAUUCUAUAAUUUUAAAAAAAUGAAAUAAGCCCUUCCAAUUGUUUAACAACAAUAAUCAAUAUCAAGACACAUAUCUUCGGAUUGUAAUUUUUUGCUAACUACAUUAAUUCGAAGCAAAACAUCAUGCCAAAUGACUAAACUUAGUAUAAAUUCAAAAUUUGAAAGUUCUCCUAAUGCUAAUGAUUCAGCAUCUCUACUCAGUUUGGCAUCAUCACUAACUUCUACCAACUUAAGCAAAGCUUCUCUAAUUUUGGAAACUUGAGAUAAAAUUGCUUUAACACUAUCUAUAUGGCUUUCCCAACGUGUAGUUGACAAUGACUUUAAAGUUAGUCCAUCAAUAUAAUCAAGUAAAACAUUCCAACGUUUUGUGGAAUUAACAAACACAGUAUAUAUGCAUUGACAAGCUCCAAAAAAUUUUUUUGCUUUGAUACUAGAGUUUGCCAUUUCACAAAGAAUCAAAUUAAGACAAUGAGAAGCACAUGGCAUAUAAAACGCUCUUGGAUUAAUGUUAAGCAAUCUUCUUUGAACACCUAUAUUUUUUCCUUUCAUAUUAGAGCCAUUAUCAUACCCUUGUCCCCGAACAUUAUGAAUAUCAAGUGAAAGAGAUGUUAACACAGAUUUCAAUUCAUUAAAAAGUCCAAAUCCAGAAGUAUCAACCACAUUUCUAUAUUCUAAAAACUACUCUUCUAUUUUUUUGGAGUAUUUGACACAUCUACACAUCUUAUGAUUACUGUCAUUUGUUCUUGAUGACUUGCAUCGGGAGUACAAUCAAGGAUUACUGAAUAAUAUUUUGCAUUUUUUAUAAUUUUAAUAAUUGCAUCUUUGACCCUUGAAGCUAGAAUUUGUAUCAACUCAUUUUGUAUUUUAUGGCUAAGAUAAUGAUAAUGAAUUUUUUUAUCUUGAAUAAGACGAAAAUGAUGCUGCAUCACUGGAUCAAACUCUCCAAUCAUUUCAAUUAAACCGAGAAAAUUUCCAUUAGUAUCUUCAUAAAGUCGUUCAUUUGUACCACGAAAUGCUAAAUUAUGUAUUGCAAGACAUUUCACAACAGCAAUAUAAUUAUUCGAAGCAUAACUUGUUUCCAAUGUUGAGUGUCUUGUUUAAUUAGCUCUUGUAUUUCUCUAUCAAUUGUUUGAUUUUUGCUCAAUCGAAUUCGUAACUCAACACAACUUCUUAAGUUCAUGAGAUGUUCUUUACUAUUUUCAUGUUGUGUAAGUUUCUCGCUAAGAUGUUUCCAAUCACAAAUUCCUUCAGUUGCUAAUAAGCUUCUACUAGGCAUUGUUUUAAAUAACUUGCAACAAAAACAAAAUACUUUAUCUAAAUCCUUAGAGUAAACAAGCCAAUUUCUAUCAUGUUUUUCACCAUUCGAUAAUACACGAAUAUAAAAAUUUGACGAGAAAUGCCUACCAAGUUUGUCAAUAGGAUAUUCUAAAUUUGAUUGUCUUUUAGGACCUUUUUUUACGAGCAAAUCUAUAAACUUUGCAUCUAAACCAUCCCAAACCCUUGGGUCAUAAAUAUCAACAUCUAAAUUUGGUUCUUUAAGUAUAUGAUCAUUUUUUUCAUUCACAUUCAUUUCAGUCUCAUUUUCAAUUAUAUCACCAAUUUCUUCAUCCACACAAGUUUUAGUCUCGUCAUUUACUUCAUUAGCAUUUUCUAAAUUCUCAACUAUUGUGUCACCUAAACUAUCACGAUUUUUUAAAAUCCAUUUACCCAUAGUUUUUCUCAAUACUUUAUUCUCUUCUUCUUGUUUUUUCUUUUUUUGCUUUUUUUCAUAACCAGAUGCUUGUUUUCUAGGAAACAUAUUCAAUUUUUGGUGAAAAAAAAAUAGACUCUUGCAAUACUAAAACACUAUCAAAAUUCAAUAAAAACAAAAUAAAGUCAAGUAAGGAAAAGAAACGAUAUCACCUGGUGAUGUCAAUUUUCUUCGUUCUGAAAUUCAAAAUGCAAUUCGAAGUCACAUGACGGAGAUAAGACUUCCCAGGUAUCACUCUCGCUUUCAAAUUUUCAAUGUAUCAGCGUGUGCCUGUGUGGUUUUCAUAAUUAUUAAUUAGUGAACAAGAUUAAUAAUUAUUAACUAAUUAAUUACCAUUGGUUAAGAAAUUAUAUACUGGACAAAAUCACUGAUUUGAAAUCAUAGAAAAAUAGAAAAUAAAAUUAAUUACAUAAUGAACAAUUACCUUUGGUUGAGCACUUGAGCAAAUUAUCCUCUCCUGAUUGCUAUGCCUUAUUGAUUCUGGAUUUUAAAAGUAAAGACAAAAUAAAUAAAUAAAACAGAAAAUUAUUUUUUUCCCGAACAAAUCAGAGAAGAAUAGAAACCCUAAGGGAGAAAGAAGUUAAAAAAAAAUCGUGAAGACCUUAAAACUUAACAAAAAAAACAGCAGAAAGUGGGGACUAUCGAGCUUCGACCGGAAAUAAGACGGUGACGCCGUGACGGUGACGAUGACGGUGGAAUAAUGCAAAAAAUUGGGUAAAAAAAAUUAUUGUCAAUAAUAUUUUAUGCUUUGAAAUCGAAUGAGGAAAAGAGAUUGAGGAAAGCAACCAAUUUAUUGACAUUUGAAGAAGAAGAAAUUGGAACGUUAAAUCAUGAAAAUUGGAGAAUGAGAAAUAAUCGUCAUUCUGUUUCAUUGAGAAGAGAAAACCGCGUUUUGUUAAUUGAGAAAAGAAAUAAAGAAUUAAGUGCGGCAGAACAUAAGAAAAAAAAAGACCUAAUAUAAAUACAUAUAUAUACAUAUAUAUAAGUAAAAAAUUAAAAAUUGGGGCCCCCUUAUAAUAAUGGGCCCUGGGCAGAGGCCCAGCUCGCCCUGCACCAGGGCCGGCCCUGUAUAUAUAUAUAUAUAUAUAUAUAUAUAUAUAUAUAUAUAUAUAUAUAUAUAUAUAUAUAUAUAUAUAUAUAUAUAUAUAUAUAUAAUCCUAAAAUUUAAUAUAAGAAGGAAAUAUCUAAUGAAAGGACCCCCUAUAUAUGUUGUCAGGCCAUGUGAACAAGUUAUGGAACACGUUCUUAGCAAUUACUCAAUUAAUGCUUGGAAAAUAAUUAAUGCCAAUUAUUAUCUCAUGAGAAAAUUAAAAUACUAGGUAAAAAAAAAAACUUCAAGUGUAGACAAUGACAAUAGCCCUUUGGCUUUUGGUAAAAGACACAAUAGAAACUAUGCAUAAAUAAUUAUUUUAUUUUAUUUGAUGAAAGCCUAGCUUUCGUAUUAUUGAUGUCGUUUUCGUUUUCUUGUAAUACGCAUCGUUUUUUCUUCGACUAACUAGGCCAUUUUACAUUAUGAUUAAAUGAAUGUUUGAUGAAAAAUAAAAUAAAAUUGGUAAAUUACGGCCAAAUUACGAAAACACCCUAAUGUUUGGGUAAUUACAACCACCCUUCAACUAUGAUUCUUCUUACACGUUCACUUAAAUUCCACAUAAUCUUUUAGAUUUUGUGAAAUGUUCUCUAAUUUGUACUCGUUUUGCACAAAAAAACAGUUUCAGAUACACCACAGCCUGAUAUUUACAAGCCAAGAGACAUAUCUUAUGAUUAUCUUGUUUUAAAAUGUGGAGCUAGAAUAGGAUAAAACGGGUACAGACUGAAGAAUAUUCCUCAAGAACAUUACAAUAAAUUUGACAUCAUAAGGGUGGACGUGUAAGAAAAUACAUACUUAGGAGGUGGUUGUAAUUACCCAAAAAAUAGGGAUUUUUUUCGUAAUUUAAUCUUACCUCAGGACGUGGCCGUAAUUUACCCAAAAAUAAAAUAAAUUCCAACCUCUUUGCAUUUCAAGAAGAAAAACAACAAAAAGGCACAACAAGAAGGAUGUUUGAACAAAAAGUUUAAAGGGCAAAAGGGACUUUAAAUUUAACCAAAAAACUCAUAUAAAUAUCUAGUUUAUUGGUAGUAGUAAAGUAGAUUAGUGUAUUCUCUCUCUAAUUCAAAUCAAAGUGUUAUUACAAAACGACAAUAAAAAUUUGUGGUUAAUAUAUCUUAUCCUCUAAUAAUAAUAAAGACUGAUUUUUUAUUUAAUUUUUAAAUAUAAAUUAAAAAAUGGGCAUGUUUACAUAAUCACCAAAUUAAGAGCACCAAUUAAUUCAAAGCUCCAAACAUAUAUAUAGAUUAAUUAAUGAUAUCUAAUAGUUAUCAGAUUUUCAGAGAUUCAAUAAAUAAAAAUCAACAAUUAAAUUCAAAUUGUUUUUUUAUUCUGACCUGAAUAGGGUUGAGUUUUCUGAGGUAAAACAUCUCGGCAGAUUCAGGAACGCCCCCAAUAUUUCUGCCCAUCUUUCUGCACGCGCGUGAAUCCCUAAUGCAGGACCUGAUUUUGCCCCAGUAACUAUCACUCGCGACCCGAUCCGAGAGCCAACCCGAGUAGUCCUAGAGUGAGUAGUCGAGGUAGGCCCGGUUCAUCACGGACUGGCCGGAACCCUUGCCGGUGGCGGCGUAGGCGAAGAUGACGAAGCCGAGAAGGGUGGCGAUGAUGAUGAACAUGGCCCACAGGUAGAGGUACAUGAGGAAGUUGUUCCGGUAGCAGGCGCCGGCGAAUCCGGCGAGCGAGACGACCAUGAUGGAGACGCCGAUUAUUAUGAGCGGCCACUGGAGGAACUUCAGGCAGUUGGUGUUGUUCGCGCGGCUGCUCAGCCAUAUUCCGCCGCCAAGGAUGGGUAUCGACAGGACGAAGGUGAGGAAGUUCAGGGCGCCUAUUAGGUGGUUGCUCGUUCUCAUAGCGGCGGCGGUGGCGGUGGCGGUGGUUGUGAAUUUUUUUGAAAUUUAAUUUUGUCUUACAAGAGAGAGAGAGAGUAUUUAUUGGGGAGCAGAUAUAUAAUGGGAAAAAAGCUUUGGGGAAAAUCAAAAUUUGUGGGAAACAGAGAUAAGCAUGCUUUGGUACACAGUUAAUGACUAAAUUACCCUCUGCAGAAUGAGUGAUUUACUGAUUUUGUUUAAAUUUUGGUUUAAUGGCACUUUGCCCCCCAACUAUCGUGUGUUUUGCACGUUAUCUCUGGACAAAAAACAUUUACAACAUUUUACCUAAAUUGUGCACGGUGCCUCCGUUUUACUAAUUCAGCUCAUUUCUCGCCGGAAUUGUCCACAUGUGCGUCACAUGUCCAUUCACUUCAAGUUUUUUAGGGCAAAAAGAAGAAAACAACGUGGGGAAAUAGAAGUACGAAUAAAUUUGCAGUGAAUAGACGUUUAUAGCCUAAAAAACCCAUAUGCAGACCAGAAAUGAACCGAAUUGGUAAAAUUGAGGCACCGUGCAACAAUUUAACGAGUUCAGGUAAACUUUUGUAUAUCUUUUUGUUAAGGGGGUAACGUGCAAAGCACGCGAUAUUUUAGGGGGCAAAGCGCCAUUAACCCUUAGAUUUUUGUUGAAACAAAUUUUUACAAAGAAAUGACUAAAUUACCCUUUGAAAAUUGUUGUAUCCACCAAAUUCAAUGCAAAUAAGAAGUGUGUCCCUGAAAAUCGAGCAUAUUUCCUGGAAGUAAAAUGUGGAACUAAAAAGGAUAUUUUCAAAAAUUACUAUUAUUGCCUAUUAAAAACCACUUAAUUGUUUGUGACCCCACCAUACAAAAAUAGUUGCACAUGCAUAUGAGUUUCUCCCAUGCAAAGAAGGUCAAGUGGUCGGUGGUUAGAAACAGUGGGUCCCAUUAAGUAAUCAUUUAAAAUUAUUACUAUGUUGAAACUCUUGCGACAAUGAUCAAAAUUAAUAAUCUACUCUUUUUUAAUAUAAUUAAAUUAAUAAUCUACUUGAUAAUUAAUAAUACUAUUCAAUAAUUUGAUAUGAAGUUAUCAGCACUUUCAAACCAUAGUUUUGCAAAGACUUUAAGGCGUGUUUGAUGCCUUACAACCUUAAAAAAUUUAAAAUAAAUGAAAAAUAUUUAGUAAAUGUUGCGUUAUUCAGUACAGUUAUGGUAUACUGGACAUCAAUACCGUAUACCGUACUAAUACCGAAAUUCAAAACAAAAUAUAUUAGUGUUGAUUUAUAUUAUAAUUAAAUUGUACAAUCUUAUUCGAAUCUUAAUUGAAUUAUCAGAUUGGACUUUAGAAAAAAUAUCUAGGCAUCCAUCAAUAGUUAGAAGCCCAAUUCAGAAAACAUAUAUUAUUUCUGGCCCAAAUUUAUCUAUAAAUUACAGAAAUUCUAGGGCUUCAAAAUCCACAAUUCAGCCGCACAAACCCUAAUCUGAGAUUCACGGCAGAACAAGAAACUGAGAGACACACAAAGCUGCAAGCUUUCGAGCUAUACGUGUUUGUUGUAUCGUUGAAAACUCGAGCAGUCCUCGAUCUUCUUUUGUAAGUUCUUGUAUUAACUGAAGCUUGAAGAUUUUCUAAAUCUUCUUUUUUAUUUUCUUUUGUCUUGGUGAAGCUUUGUGAAUAAAUUUUGUUUUGUUGAUAUGGUGUUUGUGAUUUAGCCCCUUUUGGAUUUAUUUUUAUUAGAAAAGGCCGUGGAUGAAUUAUUUGAAGAAAUUGUUUAUUGUGCAUGCUAGGUGUUUGAUGAAUUGAUUUGUGGUAUUAUUAUUGUAAAAAGUCCAUCUUGGCAAAUCAGUUGAGCCUUUUUAAGGGCAAAUGAGCUGCUUUGAAUGCUAAUGGACUAAUAUUAAAUCUCUCUCUUUCUCUUAACUAUUUUUCGCUUCUUCAAAUCUAAAAAGUUUGCAUAUUAGUCGAGAUGAAACAUAUUAAAAAAAUAUUGAAUAGUUGUUUGUUGAAAUUGUAAAUCUUUUGUAUGCAAGGUGUUUGAUGAAUUGAUUCUUUGGUGUCGAAUUUAUUUUUUUCUAGUCCAUCUAGGCAAAUCAGUUGAGCCCUUUUAAGGGCAAAUGAGCUGCUUUUGAAUGCUAAUGGACUUACAGCUAAAUCAUCUCUUCAGUUUUGUUCCUCACCACUCACCGGAACACAGUUACCGGUAACCACCGCCGCCACUUCCGGCCGUUCGACGUCCUCAGCGAAUCCCCUAUUCAAUUGAAAUCACGCGUUUCAGCGUUCGUCGUCCAAUUUUGACCGGAAAAGCGGCGAUCGAACGCUACUGCAGCGGCAAUUGAAAUUUGAGUCUUCAAUUUUAAUGUAAAUGGAUUUCAUCUCACAUUUACGAUCUAAAAUUGAGUGAAAGUUCCUUACACUGGGUUUUGGGCAGUUGCGAGUUGAGUUUGUUCCCUUCGGGCAUCGAUUUCUAAAUUUAUUCCCAACCAAUCAUUUUUCUCUGUGGUGGAUUUGAAUAAUUGGAGUUGUUGAUGUGAACAGAGUAGUAUAGCCCACCUAGAUGGUAUUGCCAUCGGAAGUGGCCCGGAAUUGUGCAUUCAUAUGGAAUUAAGUGUUAGAUUAGAUUACAACAUUCUACGAUAGAUUAAGAUCAGUGGGAUAACCUUCUCAAUCUGGGCAGGUUGUUUUAUUCUACGUAAAUGCGCAGCUCGUUUUCUAGUUUAACAUUGGUUUUUUUUUGGACAUGGUUUUUUAUGUGUUCGGAGAUGUUUUCAGUGCAUUCAAACGUCUAAUUUGGCGUGCUAUUAAUUGUACAAUUACAAACAGUGGUUUCAACUAUGCCACGAGGAAGCUUUUUACCUUUUCACCGUAAUGAAAUGCAUCAAGAUUGUAGGUCAAAAUAGCUGCGUAAAAAAAGAGGAAGAGCUGUGGGAUUACAUGUCGUCCAAGAGAGUGAAUUUCCCGGUUCUGUAUAAAGCGUAUUCGCAUCUUCGUACGAAGAACUGGGUGGUUAGGGCGGGGUCUCAGUACGGAGUUGACUUUCAUUCCACUCUUAAUCUCUGUGGCAGUGUUGCAAAAACGUUGUUGGUUCUCCACAUUAGCAGAAACUGUAACGAUUUUGACGGUGCUAGUUCUUCUCCUUGGAAUAUUAAUUAUUACAGCGUCGAGGAAAGAAUCGUUGCCAGGUGGAAUCGCGAGCAAAGCCGGGAGAAUUGUACGGUUGUAGAGAAGGAAUCGUGUAAGUCGUCAUAAGCUUAACUUAACUCCUGUUUAUUGUACCAGUUACUAUGUUGUAAGAUUUCGCCAUCUUGUAUAAAUAAGAGAUUGCUGCAGAAAUUGGUAUGCUGAUUUUGGGCAGGAAUCUGCUGCAUGCACUGUAUCUAAGUAAAAGAUUUGCCAGUACAUCCAUAUCAUGUACUAAAUAUUUUAGAUUUUUUUAUUUUACUUUUUAUUUUUGGUUUUUCAUGUGCAAAUGUGAUCAGGAAAAAAUAUUAUGGAGAAAACAAUAUGGCAAAUUAUGGAUACCUCCCUGAUGUAAGAUCAAAUUACAAAAAACCAUCUUAUUUCAGUAAUUACAACUAUCCCCUCAACUAUGUAUAAUCUUACGAAAAACCCCCUCAUUCAGUAGGUAAUCUUGACACCGUAAGGAUGGACGUGUAUUAAAGGGGUGGUUGUAAUUACUCAAAUAUAAGGGGGGUUUUGUAAUUUGAUCUUACUUUAGUGGGGUGAUCGUAAUUUGCCCAAAAUAAUAUAAGUAAAAACCCAAAGAUUAAAUACUCUCCAAAAAUAAAUUGAAUUUGAAGUGAUUAAACAACAAAAUAUUAAUUAACACUCUUAAUUAAACACCUUUCAUGGAUCCAUGUCUACUCAAUGAUGCAUUGUGCACAUGCAGUUGCUUAUAAACCUAUUUUAAACACGUAACAGAAUAAACAACACCCUUACGUAGUUUACAUGUGCAGCAUAGUUCUUAAACAGUUCCAUUACAAGACACGUCAUCACAUUAAUACAAAAUAUAUAGACAGUGUGUUUUUUUUCUUUUUUUUUUUUUUUUCCGAAAACACCAAAAAAACUGCGAAAUAACUCCACAUACGCGCGUUGCUCGUAAAAAUCUUUAAAAUCCAAACGCACCUCUAGAAAUGUAUCCUACUAGGCUGCGACUUCUCCAUUCUUGUCUCUCCAUAAGGCUCGUCGUUAUCGAUCCUUUUGUUGUGCCUAAAAGCAGCACAAGCAUCCACAUAGAGUGUGACGAGGAUUAUCAAGAUAACUAUGUUAAUAACCGACACUUUUCUCCAGCUCUUCUUCAAGCUAGCCACUACCCCUGCUUUGCAAGAAUCGAACCCGUAGCAUAGUUGCUCCUGGUCGUUGCUCCAUUUUGUGCAAUCUGUGUCGGGCCCCACGAGGCCUCCACCUGGCGUCCACACCGUCUCGUUUAUGUACACGUAGCCGCAUGAUGUAGGCGGUUUGCAACAUCCAGACUAGCACAUGUAAAACCAAUGUUAAGCAUGCCAAGCUAAGAGUUAUAUUUGACUUGCCAAAAAAUCUAGAUUUGCUAUAAAAGUCUUCAUGUUAUAAUAUUAGCAAAAGAACCCCAUGGUGCAUUUUUUUUAGCACACGGCCCCCCUAAAUGGUGUGUUUAAGGGGGUAGUCUGCUAGUUAAAAAAUAGCAUCAUAAAUGAUUUUUGCUAAUAUAUACGUAACACGGAAUCAUAGGGAUGCUAAAUGCAAUAAAUUACCCCGUGUUAUCCUAUUAAGGCCUCGUGUGGUUGUCACAAUGGAAUAAGCCAAGAUAUACACAAUCUUAUUAAAUUCAGAUUGUAUAAUUAGACCAGCGGGUCCCAUUAAGUCAAAAUAAACAGAUAAAGAGCAUGGACGAAACCAAAUAAAAGCCCGUUAAUUAAUCAUGGCACAAACGAGAACUAGUUUCGAGAAAUAGAUACCGAGUGCAUAGAAGCACGAGAUAAGCAAAAAUAGUAUUAUAUGUUAUAUGCUUUCAAAAACUGUGUCGUUCCAAUCAGCAUCUCCCAUUGUUUUCUUUUCCAUUUAAUUUUGAAGCAGCUCGACCGCGACACGCCUGCUUGAUUUUUCCUUUUCAUUUAACCUGCUUGUUCCUAAACAACGUCGUUUAGCUGUCUCACACAUGGCCAACAAUUGUUGACCUCCGCCGCUUCCAUGCCCGCCACCGCCGUCGCUCUGUUCGAUGCCCACCGCCCCUGCCGCCAACGUCACUUCCCACCUCUUUUUCAUCCAAUCGCUGAUUUGUCCCUUUCCAAUCACAUCCGAAUUGGAUAACUCAGGAAUUGUAAAGUCAUAAAUUUUACAAAGACGAGUUCCAGCCAUGAUUGUUGGAAGGGCAGGACUUCCGCUAGAGCUCCACCGAACAAGAAGAUUCAGUCCAUCAAUUCUUCAAUAUUUUAUUGUUUUAAUUGCUUUUCUUCUAAUAAAGCUCGGUGAUGGUCGACGCUGUUUGUGUCUAACUUUGUUCAAUUUUUUCCCUUUCUAUAAAAUUUUGGGUCAAUGUUGAUUUCGAGUUCCUCUUCGGGCAAGGUUAGCCCUGACACUAUGUGAAAUAAAUUUGCAUUUUUUGUGAUCUUUACAUGAAGAUCGAUGAUUUUCUGUGCUGUUUGCUGGUGGGUAGAGUCAUGUUGGUCGUGUGCAGACUUGGGUCGAUGGGAGCUGUUGUUACUGGUAAAGGCCAUGUUCCUAAUGGUUGUGCCUAUUGUUUUUUCGCUGUUUCAUUCGUACCUUUGUUUUGUCUUCUUUUGGCCAUGAAAAAAGCAGGAAGAGGGGGAGUUAUACGGAUAUCAUCAUGUUUCACGAUUUUCUUCUCCUUUUUUAGUAUAUGCAAAAUUAAUCGAAUACUACCACUCUGCCUUUUGGUCAGAAAAAAGGAUAUAAUCCUUUGACCUAUUUGCAGCUUCUUAUUGCAUGUUGUUUGGUUAUGUCGUAAUUAUAUUUACUACUCAUUCUUAUCUCACUAUACAUCCUUACAUUUUGAUUGUUAGUCUACAUAUUUUUCAGGAAAGAUGACACUUAUUCAUUGUUAUGCUUCUUCUCUAUGUUUUACACUGUUGUAUAGACUGCACGCACUGCGUGGUUUUUUUUUACUAGCUACCUAACAUGAUUAUAUUUUUUUUCCAAAAACAUAUUUAGCCGCUUGUUCAUGGAUAUAAAUGAGCCCUUUAGUUUGUAUUACACAACUUUAUUAUAACAUAUGCAAUUUUCUCUGUCUAGAUUUUCAUCCUGCAGGCAUUGGCGGUGAUGGUCUUUUCCGCUAUGGGACAAAUUUCCAUGAAAUUGAGGUUUGGGAACCAACACAUAAUUGUUGUAUCUUGAUUUUUCAAAAUGCUUGUCUACUGUGAGCUGGUGCUUUUUUGUUUCCAGAAAAUUGGUUAUGGAAACUUCAACCUGGUUUACAAAGUCUUGAAGAGACUUUAUGGUUGCAUGUAUGCCGUAAAACAUAGCAUGAGACAAGAUGCAAAAAGGUAAUUUAAUUUAAUUUACUUGUAAUAAUCAGCUGCUUGUAUUUACGCCACUCGCUUUUUGCAGCAAACUUAUGUUUAACACUGUCACAGGUGCAAGGCUUUGAUGGAAGUUCAAGCUUUGGCAGCUUUAGGUUUGUUACAUUAUUUUAUUCUUUUUAUUUUUAUCCAAAGAUUGAGAUUUUUAAACUUUUCGAUUCCCAUUUUUCUCAGGGUACCACGAAAAUAUAGUUGGCUAUUAUUCUUCGUGGUUUGAAAACAAGCAACUUUACAUCCAAUUGGAGCUAUGCGAGCAUAGCCUAUCUCUCGAUAGAAUACCUAAACUAUUCACAGAAAGAGAAGCUUUAGAGGCAAUGUAUCAGGUGAAUGAUUUUGAAUCUAUAACGUGACGUAAUUGUAGCUGAUUAUUAACUUUCUGUGGUUUGUUUAUUUUAUCUUGAUGAGUUAAAUAUUUAAUUAGAAUUGUUAAAGGCUGUUAGAUGGGAUUGACUAUGACCUUUCCCAGAGGAGAUUUUUCAUUGAAAAAAUUGCAUUCGUGCAGAUUGCUAAAGCAUUGCAGUUUAUACACGGGAGAGGAGUAGUCACUUGGACGUAAAGCCAGAAAACAUUUAUGUAAAAAAUGGAGUUUAUAAACUUGGUGAUUUUGGUUGUGCGACUGUCGUUGAUAAAAGCUGGCUAAUUGAAAAACGUGAUGCUCGGUACAUGCCCCAAGAAAUCCUGAACGAGAAUUAUGAAAAUCUAGACAAAGUUGAUAUAUUCUCGUCAGGAGCUUCCAUCUAUGAACUUGCAAGAGGGUCACCGUUACCUGAAUCAGGUUCUCAUUUCCUUACUUUUAGGGAAUGAAAGCUGCCCCUUCUUCCGUGUCGUUCAAUCCCGUUUCAGAAUUUAAUCAAGCUAAAUUACCUUCUGCUUUUAUGAUAUGAAAAGUAGGUCUUAAUCGAGGAUAUCCAAUCUGUCUUUACUAUUAAUGUUUGAUAAUUUUGGUGAAAACUAUCGUGAUAAUUAUGUUAAUAUAACAUUCGUUUCUUUGAGUUAUAUAGACUUGGUGUAACAACCUACAGAGCAAAAUUAAAAAUUCGAGUUUUCAGAAAACUAUAUGCAGGGAAAGCUUGAGUUGAGCAUUUUAAAUGUUAAUUAUUAAUUUAUAGUGAGCAUGUUCGAUAAAAGCGCUUUGCAUUGCUACAGAUUAACUUGCGUACUGGUAUUCAAUUUUCUUUUGAUUUGUUAAUCGUUCAGAUGAUGAUUGAUGCAGAUCCUGUUCGUAGACCAACAACCAAAGAAGUAGUUAAGAAUCCAGUUUCUUACACGACUGAGCAAUUAUCGAGACUCAUUCACUCCAAGACGCAUUGUCCGUAAACAAGUCUCGAGGGGGCGAUUGUAGACGCAUAAAGUUAAUUAAUUGGUUAAUUAGCCAAUUAAAUUGCAUCUAAAUUAAAUUAUAUCUUGUCUUGCAAGAUAAGUCAUGGAGAUAAUUAUCAAUUAAUUAUUGGCCAAUAGGAUUGUUUCUUCUCUUCCAAGUUAUAAGAGAUAAAUAUUAAUUUAAAGAGAGCCAAUCAAAUCACGCCACGUCAUCAUGAAGACUUUAUGUAGGACUCUAAUUCUACCACUAUAAAUAGGGACCCUCCCUACACCAUUCAAAACACAACUCAAGAAGAAGAAAAACUGUAGGAGAAAUUCUCUCUACAAUAUUCAAGUCAUCUUCAUCAAACUCAAGUCAUUCUUCAUCAAAUUCAAGGCAUUCUUCAUCAAAUUGAGGGCGUUCUUAAAAAAAUCAAGAUCAAAGGAAGAUUGAAGGGUCAAAUCCAUCAAGAACUCCAAGAUCUUCAAGUCAAAGUUCGUCAAAGUUCAGCGUUCGAUCCGAGAUUCAAGUCGCAAGACCCUCGGAAGACGUUAUUCAAAUCCAAAUCAAAUCCAAAUCAAAUCCAGAGAAGAUCAAGUCAACGACCCGACUCCGAAAUUCAAGGUCGAACGCAUAUUGUUCUUGAGAGAAGAAUCAGAGGAUUGAAUUAGAGUUUGUAAUCCGCACUAUUUUAUUUUAAUUCAAUAAAUUAUCUUUCUGCAAGUUUUUCUUGUUUGUCUAAAUCGCAGAUAAGAAGUUGUUGUUACAAACUUUGGCACGCCCAGUGGGACAUCUCUACCUCUCAUCUCUUCUCUCUCUCGAAGAUCCUCAAAGUGUUGCAGUGACUGCUCUACGUUCGCAAAGAAGACUGCUACUUCGGAUUCAUCAAGUGUAGGCUUUGUUACAAGAAGUAUGGCUAAGAAGCUGCAAGCAUCCUCCAAGACUAGCUCGACGCCCCAAACCGUUCAGAAAGGCUUACCACCUCUUGUCAACACAAGCGCGGACGUGGAAGGCUCAAAACGAGAGAUUUCACAGCCCACGCCUCAUUCAACAUCAAGCUACUCAAAGGUGGCAUCCAUCAUGACAACAAACGCUACAACCAUGGAGGAGCAAAUUGCAAGUUUGACAAAGGCCAUUGAGGGACUCGCAAAGCAUGUUCAACAACAUGAUUCUCAAAUUGCCAAGUUGAUCAACAAGAUGGACAAAGUCGAUGCUAGUCAAGCUGUGGAGAAUGAGAUAGAGGUUCAAGACGAAGUCAAGACAUCCACAAAGCAACAGCUAGUUGAAAACGAGAAAGCUCCAGCUCAAGAACUUCAAGUUUCUUCCGAAGGGGUGAUUCAUGCAGAUCAAGUGAUGACGCUGAUCAGUGGAGCUAUGAAAGACAAGUUGGAAGGAAGCUCGAAGUCACCAUCAACCUAUGUCAAGCCAUACACACAAAGAAUUGAUGAUCUAAAGAUGCCAAUGGGCUAUAUACCUCCAAAGUUUCAACAAUUUGACGGCAAAGGCAACCCCAAGCAGCAUGUGGCACAUUUCGUUGAGACUUGCAAUGAUGCGGGGACGUACGGAGAUCACCUCGUCAAGAAAUUCGUCCGAUCGCUCAAAGACAAUGCGUUUGAUUGGUACAUUGAUUUGGGAGCAAACUCCAUCGAUAGUUGGAAGUACUUAGAGAAAGAAUUUCUCAACCUCUUUUACAGCACUCGAAGAACAGUCAGCAUGAUUGAGCUCACCAAUUCCUGCCACUGGAAGAAGGAACCUGUCAUCGACUACAUCAACCGUUGGAGAAAUUUGAGUCUUAAUUGCAAGGAUCGACUUCCUGAGACAUCAGCUAUUGAACUUUGCAUCCAAUGAAUGCAAUGGGGACUCCGAUAUAUCCUUCAAGGAAUUCAACCUAAAAGUUUUGAAGAGUUGGCCACUCGAGCACAUGAUAUGGAGUUGAGCAUAUCUGAAAAUGGAUUCAAAGAACCUUCAUUCCAAAAGUCUUACCCGUUCAAUGAAGAACAUGUCGAAGAAGAACAAGAAGAUCAUGAGGAUAGGGGUGAGUCUUUUGAAGAAGCAACACACUAUGCAAUAUGACAAGUCAAAUCAAAUCAAUACUCCUUACACAAGUUUAAAAGUUCUACAUGUCCAAAUCAAAUAAAGUACUACUUGACACGAGUUUAAAAAGUCUACAUGUCCAAAUCAAAUGAAACACUCAUUGACACGAGUUUAAAAGGUCUACAAAUUCAAGUUCAAAUCAGCACUCCUUGGCACGAGUUUAAAAGAUCUACAUAUCCAAGUCAAAUCAAGGCUCCUUGAUACAAGCAUAAACUAUCUAUAUAUCCAACUCAAAUCAAGGCUCCUUGAUACGAGCAUAAACUAUCUACAUAUCCAAGUCAAAUCAAGGCUCCUUGAUACGAGCAUAAACUAUCUAUACAUAUUCAAAUCAAGUCAAUGCUCCCUGAUACGAGCAUAAACUAUCUACAUAUCCAAAUCAAGUCAAAGCUCCUUGAUACGAGCAUAAACUAUCUACAUAUCCAAAUCAAGUCAAUGCUCCCUGAUACGAGCAUAAACUAUCCACAUAUCCAAAUCAAGUCAAAGCUGCUUGAUACGAGCAUAAACUAUCUACAUAUCCAAGUCAAAUCAAGGCUCCUUGAUACAAGCAUAAACUAUCUAUAUAUUCAAAUCAAAUCAAUGCUCCUUGAUACGAGCAUAAACUAUCUACAUAUCCAAAUCAAAUCAAGGCUCUUUGAUACGAGCAUAAACUAUCUAUAUGUCCAAGUCAAGUCAAGGCACCUUGAUACGAGCAUUAACUAUCUAUAUGUCCAAGUCAAGUCAAUGCUCCUUGAUACGAGCAUAAACUAUCUAUAUAUCCAAAUCAAAUCAAUGCUCCUUGAUACGAGCAUAAACUAUCUAUAUAUCCAAGUCAAAUCAAGGCGCAUUGAUACGAGGGUAAACUAUCUACAAAUUCAAGUCAAAUGCUCCUUCAGCAUGAGUUUAAACUGGACAUAUUUCUCCUCGUCCACAUGAGUAUAAACUGUGCACAACAUCCUUCAAAAUGAUAUAUUUUGAACUACGUUAUGACUUGAUCCCUUUAUAGCGUACCUAGGCAACUUAGAAUCUCUCUAAGUUCAGUCAUGAUUUCAAAAGAUAUAUGUGAUUUGCUAGAUCAAGCUGCAAUAGAAGUUGAGCAAUUAUCGAGACUCAUUCACUCCAAGACGCAUUGUCCGUAAACAAGUCUCGAGGGGGCAUUUGUAGACGCAUAAAAUUAAUUAAUUGGUUAAUUAGCCAAUUAAAUUGUAUCUAAAUUAAAUUAUAUCUUGUCUUGCAAGAUAAGUCAUGGAGAUAAUUAUCAAUUAAUUAUUGGCCAAUAGGAUUGUUUCUUCUCUUCCAAGUUAUAAGAGAUAAAUAUUAAUUUAAAGAGAGCCAAUCAAAUUGCGCCACGUCAUCAUGAAGACUUUAUGUAGGACUCUAAUUCUACCACUAUAAAUAGGGACCCUCCCUACACAAUUCAAAACACAACUCAAGAAGAAGAAAAACUGUAGGAGAAAUUCUCUCUACAAUAUUCAAGUCAUCUUCAUCAAACUAAAGUCAUUCUUCAUCAAAUUCAAGGCGUUCUUCAUCAAAUUGAGGGCGUUCUUCAAAAAAUCAAGAUCGAAGGAAGAUUGAAGGGUCAAAUCCAUCAAGAACUCCAAGAUCUUCAAGUCAAAGUUCGUCAAAGUUCAGCGUUCGAUCCGAGGUUCAAGUCGCAAGACCCUCGGAAGACGUUAUUCAAAUCCAAAUCAAAUCCAAAUCAAAUCCGGAGAAGAUCAAGUCAACGAACCGACUCCGAAAUUCAAGGUCGAACGCAUAUUGUUCUUGAGAGAAGAAUCAGAUGAUUGAAUUAGAGUUUGUAAUCCGCACUAUUUUAUUUUAAUUCAAUAAAUUAUUUUUGGUCAAGUUUUUCUUGUUUGUCUAAAUCGCAGAUAAGAAUUUGUUGUUACAGCGAUGAUGUUGAACAUGGCCCACGGGUAGAGGUACAUGAGGAAGUUGUUCCGGUAGCAGGCGCCGGCGAAUCCGGUGAGGGAGACGACCAUGAUGGAGACGCUGAUUAUUAUGAGCGGCCACUGGAGGAACUUCGGGCAGUCGGUGUUGUUCGCGCGGCUGCUCAGCCAUAUUCCGCCGCCGAGGAUGGGGAUCGACAGGACGAAGGUGAGGAAGUUCAGGGCGCCUAUUAGGUGGUUGCUCGUUCUCAUGGUUGCGGCGGUGGCGGUGGCGGUGGUUGUAAAUUUUGUUGAAAUUUAAUUUUUUCUUACAAGAGAGAGAGAGAGAGUACUGCUGUAUUUAUUGGGGAGCAGAUAUAUAAUGGGAAAAAAGCGUUGGGGGAAAUCAAAAUUUGUGGAAACAGAGAUAAGCAUGCUUUGGUACACAGUUAAUGACUAAAUUACCCUCUGCAGAAUGAGUGAUUUACUGAUUUUGUUUAAAUUUUGGUUUAAUGGCACUUUGCCCCCCAACUAUCGUGUGUUUUGCACGUAAUCUGUGGACAAAAAACAUUUACAACAUUUUACCUAAACUGUGCACGGUGCCUCCGUUUUACCAAUUCAGUUCAUUUCUCGUGCGUCACAUGUCCAUUCACUUCAAGUCUUUUAGGGCAAAAAGAAGAAAAAAACGAGGGGAAAUAGAAGUACGAAUAAAUUUGCAGUGAAUGGACGUUUAUACCCUAAAAAACCCAUAUGCGGACGAGAAAUGAACCGAAUUGGUAAAAUUGAGGCACCGUGCAACAAUUUAACGAGUUCAGGUAAAAUUUUGUAUAUUUUUUUGUUAAAGGGGUAACGUGCAAAGCACGCGAUAUUUUAGGGGGAAAAGCGCCAUUAACCCUUAGAUUUUCGUUGAAAUAAAAUUUUACAAGGAAAUGACUAAAUUACCCUCUGAAAAUUGUUGUAUCCAGCAAAUUCAAUGCAAAUAAGAAGUGUGUCCCUGAAAAUCGAGCAUAUUUCCUGGAAGUAAAAUGUGGAACUAAAAAGGAUAUUUUCAAAAAUUAAAAUUAUUUCCUAUUAAAAACCACUAAAUUGUUUGUGACCCGACCAUACAAAAAUAGUUGCACAUGCAUAUGAGUUUCCCCCAUGCAAAGAAGGUCAAGUGGUCGGUGGUUAGAAACAGUGGGUCCCAUUAAGAAAUCAUUUAAAAUUAUUACUAUGUUGAAACUCUUGCGAUAAUGAUCAAAAUUAAUAAUCUACUCUUUUUUUUUAUAAUUAAAUUAAUAAUCUACUUGAUAAAUAAUAAUACUAUUCAAUAAUUUGAUAUGAAGUUAUCAGCACUUUCAAACCAUAGUUUUGCAAAGACUUUAAGGCGUGUUUGAUGCCUUACAACCUUAAAAAAUUAUAAUAAAAAAAAAUAUUUAGUAAAUAUUGCGUUAUUCAGUACAGUUAUGGUAUACUGGACAUCAAUACCGUACACCGUACUAAUACCGAAAUUAAAAAAAAAAAAUAUCAGUGUUGAUUUAAAUUGUAAUUUAAUUGUACAAUCUUAUUCGAAUCUUAAUUGAAUUAUCAGAUUGGACUUUAAAAAAAAUAUCUAGGCAUCCAUCAAUAGUUAGAAGCCCAAUUCAGAAAACAUAUAUUAUUUAUGGCCCAAAUUUAUCUAUAAAUUAUAGAAAUUCUAGGGCUUCAAAAUCCACAAUUCAGCCGCACAAACCCUAAUAUGAGAUUCACGGCAGAACAAGAAACUGAGAGACACACAAAGCGGCGAGCUUUGGAGCUAUACGUGUUUGUUGUAUCGUUGAAAACUCGAGCAGUUCUCGAUCUUCUUAUGUAAGUUCUUGUAUUAACUGAAGCUUGAAGAUUUUCUAAAUCUGUUUUUUUUUUUUCUUUUGCCAUGCUGAAGCUUUGUGAAUAAAUUUUGUUUUGUUGAUAUGGUGUUUGUGAUUUAGCCCCUUUGGAAUUUAUUUAUAUUAGAAAAGGCUGUGGAUGAAUUAUUUGCAGAAAUUGUUUAUUGUGCAUGCUAGGUGUUUGAUGAAUUGAUUUGUGGUAUUAUUAUUGUAAAAAGUCCAUCUUGGCAAAUCAGUUGAGCCCUUUUAAGGGCAAAUGAGCUGCUUUGAAUGCUAAUGGACUAAUAUUAAAUCUCUCUUUUUCUCUUAACUAUUUUCCGCUUCUUCAAAUCUGUUAAGUUUGCAUAUUAGUGGAAAUGAAACAUAUUAAAAAAAAUAUUGAAUAGUUGUUUGUUGAAAUUGUGAAUCUUUUGUAUGCAAGGUGUUUGAUGAAUUGAUUUUUUGGUGUCGAAUUUAUUUUUUUCUAGUCCAUCUAGGCAAGUCAGUUGAGCCCUUUUAAGGGCAAAUGAGCUGCUUUUGAAUGCUAAUGGACUUACAGCUAAAUCAUCUCUUCAUUUUUGUUCCUCACCACUCACCAGAACACAGUUACCGGUAACCGCCGCCGGCUCGCAUCAACACCACUGCCGCUUCCGGCCGUCCGACGUCCUCAGCGAAUCCCCUAUUCAACUGAAAUCACGCGUUUCACCGUUCGUCGUCAAAUUUUGACCGGAAAAGCGGCGAUCGAACGCUACAGCAGCGGCAAUUGAAAUUUGAGUCUUCAAUUUUAAUGUAAAUGGAUUUCAUCUCACAUUAAGGAUCUAAAAUUGAGUGAAUGUUCCUUACACUAGGUUUUGGGCAGUUGCGAGUUGAGUUUGUUCCCUUCGGGCAUCGAUUUCUAAAUUUAUUCCCAAGCAAUCAUUUUUCUCUGUGGUGGAUUUGAAUAAUUGGAGUUGUUGAUGUGAACUGAGUAGUAUAGCCCAGCUAGAUGGUAUUGCCAUCGGAAGUGGCCCGGAAUUGUGCAUUCAUAUGGAAUUAAGUGUUAGAUUAGAUUACAGCAUUCUACGAUAGAUUAAGAUCGGUGGGAUAACCUUCUCAAUCUGGGCAGGUUGUUUUAUUCUACGUAAAUGCGGGCAUCUCGUUUCCUAGUUUACCAUUGGUUUUUUUUUUGGACAUGUUUUUUUAUGUGUUAGGAGAUGUUUUCAGUGCAUUCAAACGUCUAAUUUGGCGUGCUAUUAAUUUUACAAUUACAAUAUAUGUAAAAUGUUGCAAUUUUAGGAUCCGAUUAUUGAACCCCCUCUCUGGUUUUACUCAAAGUCUCGACUUUGUGUACCUUGCGUGCGAAUCAAAUGAAUUCUUCUUCAUUUUCUUGACAUUUGUGCUUUAUGGCUAGAGCCUAUAGUUGUUGCCUUGUUGGUACAUUACGAUAUUUUGUUAUCUCCCUUAAUGGUGUCUUUGAUCUGGUAUAGUUUGACGAAUGAAAAGGUCGCUCGGGUCCCACUUUUCGAGUUACUCUCUCGUCAACUCUCUUUCCUCUAAAAAAUUUCUUCUCUUUUCUCUCUUGUGAUAUGAUUAUGUCAAAGCUUAAUAUCCAUGGUGGACAAGGAAAACAUGUGUUUGUCUUAAUACUCUGUCUACUUUUCGUCUUAUCGUUUUCUAUAGAACACAUAAUGGCAGCAAGAUGGAAAGGAAAAACAGCCAAAGCAAAAGCCCUAGCGGAGCCCAUACUACAAUAGUUUCUCGGCUCCAAUCCUCUUUGAUUGAAUCCAAUUCUCAAUGAAUCCUUUUAGGGAGCAGCGUUCUUCUUGCAGCACACGAAGAACAAACCGAGCUUUUCAACCACGCGUGUUUCGGCCGUCUCGUUAUCACCACACAGAAGAACAAACAGUGGUUUCAACUAUGCCACGAGGAAGCUUUUUACCUUUUCACCGUAAUGAAAUGCAUCAAGAUUGUAGGUCAAAAUAGCUGCGUAAAAAACAAGGAAGAGCUGUGGGAUUACAUGUCGUCCAAGAGAGUGAAUUUCCCGGUUCUGUAUAAAGCGUAUUCGCAUCUUCGUACGAAGAACUGGGUGGUUAGGGCGGGGUCUCAGUACGGAGUUGACUUUCAUUGCACUCUUCAUCUCAGUGGCAGUGUUGCAAAAACGUUGUUGGUUCUCCACAUUAGCAGAAACUGUAACGAUUGUGACGGUGCUAGUUCUUCUCCUUGGAAUAUUAAUUAUUACAGCGUCGAGGAAAGAAUCGUUGCCAGGUGAAAUCCCGAGCAAAGCCGGGAGAAUUGUACGGUUGCAGAGAAGGAAUCGUGUAAGUCGUCAUAAGCUUAACUUAACUCCUGUUUAUUGUACCAGUUACUAUGUUGUAAGAUUUCGCCAUCUUGUAUAAAUAAGAGAUUGCUGCAGAAAUUGGUCUGCUGAUUUUGGGCAGGAAUCUGCUGCAUGCACUGUAUCUAAGUAAAAGAUUUGCGAGUACAUCCAUAUCAUUUACUAAAUAUUUUAGAUUUUUUUAUUUUACUUUUUAUUUUUUGUUUUUCAUGUGCAAAUGUGAUCAGGAAAAAAAUAUUAUAGAGAAAACAAUAAGGCAAAUUAUGGAUACCUCCCUGAUGUAAGAUCAAAUUACAAAAAACCAUCUUAUUUCAGUACUUACAACUAUCCCCUCAACUAUGUAUAAUCUUACGAAAAACCCCCUCAUUCAGUAGGUAAUCUUGACACCGUAAGGAUGGACGUGUAUUAAAGGGGUGGUUGUAAUUACUCAAAUAUAAGGGGGGUUUUGUAAUUUGAUCUUACUUUAGUGGGGUGAUCAUAAUUUGCCCAAAAUAAUAUAAGUAAAAACCCAAAGAUUAAAUACUCUCUAAAAAUAAAUUGAAUUUGAAGUGAUUAAACAGCAAAAUAUUAAUUAACACUAUUAAUUAAACACCUUUCAUGGAUCCAUGUCUACUCAAUGAUGCAUUGUGCACAUCCAGUUGCUUAUAAACCUAUUUUAAACAUGUAACAGAAUAAACAACACUCUUACGUAGUUUACAUGUGCACCAUAGUUCUUAAACAGUUCCAUUACAAGACACGUCAUCACAUUAAUACAAAAUAUAUAGACAGUGUGUUUUUUUUCUUUCUUUUUUGUUUUUCCGAAAACACCAAAAAAACUGCGAAAUAACUCUACAUACGCGCGUUGCUCGUAAAAAUCUUUAAAAUCCAAACGCACCUCUAGAAAUGUAUCCUACUAGGCUGCGACUUCUCCAUUCUUGUCUCUCCAUAAGGCUCGUCAUUAUCGAUCCUUUUGUUGUGCCUAAAAACAGCACAAGCAUCCACAUAGAGUCUGACGAGGAUUAUCAAGAUAACUAUGUUAAUAACCGACACUUUUCUCCAGCUCUUCUUCAAGCUAGCCACUACCCCAGCUUUGCAAGAAUCGAACCCGUAGCAUAGUUGCUCCUGGUCGUUGCUCCAUUUUGUGCAAUCUGUGUCGGGCCCCACGAGGCCUCCACCUGGCGUCCACACCGUCUCAUUUAUGUACACGUAGCCGCAUGAUGUAGGCGGUUUGCAACAUCCAGACUAGCACAUGUAAAACCAAUGUUAAGCAUGCCAAGCUAAGAGUUAUAUUUGACUUGCCAAAAAAUCUAGAUUUGGUAAAAAAGUCUUCAUGUUAUAAUAUUAGCAAAAGAACCCCAUGGUGCAUUAUCUAGAUUUGCUAAAUGGUGUGUUUAAGGGGGUAGUCUGCUAGUUAAAAAAUAACAUCAUAAAUGAUUUUUGCUAAUAUAUACAUAACACGGAAUCAUAGGGAUGCUAAAUGCAAUAAAUUACCCCGUGUUAUCCUAUUAAGGCCUCGUGUGGUUGUCACAAUGGAAUAAGCCAAGAUAUACACAAUCUUAUUAAAUUCCGGAUUGUAUAACUAGACCAGCGGGUCCCAUUAAGUCAAAAUAAACAGAUAAAGAGCAUGGACGAAACCAAAUAAAAGCCCGUUAAUUAAUCAUGGCACAAACGAGAACUAGUUUCGAGAAAUAGAUACCGAGUGCAUAGAAGCACGAGAUAAGCAAAAAUAGUAUUAUAUGUUAUAUGCUUUCAAAAAAUAGUAUUAUAUGUUAUACCGAGUGCCGCCAACGUCACUUCCCACCUCUUUUUCAUCCAAUCGUUGAUUUGUCCCUUUCCAAUCACAUCCGAAUUGGAUAACUCAGGAAUUGUAGAGUCAUAAAAUUUUUCAAAGACGAGUUCCAACCGUGAUUGUUGGAAGGGCAGGACUUCCGCUAGAGCUCCACCGAACAAGAAGAUUCAGUCCAUCAAUUCUUCAAUAUGUUAUUGUUUUAAUUGUUUUUCUUCUAAUAAAGCUCGGUGAUGGUCGACGCUGUUUGUGUCUAACUUUGUUCAAUUUUUUCCCUUUCUAUAAAAUUUUGGGUCGAUGUUGAUUUCAAGUUCCUCUUCGGGCAAGGUUAGCCCUGACAUUAUGUGAAAUAAAUUUGCAUUUUUUGUGAUCUUUACAUGAAGAUCGAUGAUUUUCUGUGAUGUUUGCUGAUGGGUAGAGUCAUGUUGGUCGUGUGCAGACUUGGGUCGAUGGGAGCUGUUGUUACUGGUAAAGGCCAUGUUCCUAAUGGUUGUGCCUAUUGUUUUUUCGCAGUUUCAUUCGUACCUUUGUUUUGUCUUCUUUUGUCGGCAUGUAAUUUAUUUUCUAAAAUACCAUUUCAAUUUUUUUUUUUUAAAUUAUAUGAAUGGAUUCAGAUUUCAAUGAUCUCAUUUUCUUUUCUAGGUUGCAUGUUGGAUCCACAGAAAACCAAAUUGUUACGAAAUCAACUUCUUGGCUACAUGAUGACAUUGCUCAGGUUAUAAAUCAUGAUUAGCACAUUUAUACAAUAUUUAUCAUAAUUAAUUUGUUGUUCAGUUGUGCAUGUAUUUGAUUCAUAUGCUCACUUGAGAUUGGCAAUAGGGAGGGAUGUUCUCGCAAUUUAUUUGGCUAUUUUGAUUUUUUUUCUUUCACUAAAAGGUUUGAUUUCUCUGCUUCACUGUUUAUUGAAUCUUCAUAAUUACUUCGAGUUGCUAAUUCCUUCUACCUCAUAACGUUUUCGAGAUUAUGCAAGCAAUGCAUUCAUUUUACUGUUCUAAUUCUUUGCAGUCUACUCUAUUGGCUCCUUUCUUGCAGCAACCCCACUUUCAGUAAUUAGUAAUUCUAAUAGAAGAUACGGAAGUCAACACCAGCUCGACCUUCAGUAAUUACUUGUGGAGUUGGUUGGCUGUUAACGAUGAAAACCUAUUAUGAUUCUCUUUUUCCAAUUUUUAAUCAGAUUUCUUAUGAUUCUUAAUGUGAAUUUAGGUGGCCAGAGCUUUGCUUGAUUCUCUUUUUGGCAAUCUCACAGGUUCUAGUACAGUAUAGUAAGAAUCGAUACAAUAUUGCAAUAUUGUAAGAAUUGAUACAUAAACUCAAAAUUCAAAUAAAUCAUCUUGUUUAUAAAAUAUAUCUUUGAAAAAGUGUUUUUGGGUGUAAUAAAACAGAGAAAACGCACGUCUUUUGGCCAUGAAAAAAGCAGGAAGAGGGGGAGUUAUACGGAUAUCAUCAUGUUUCACGAUUUUCUUCUCCUUUUUUAGUAUAUGCAAAAUUAAUUGAAUACUACCACUCUGCAUUUUGGUCAGAAAAAAGGAUAUAAUCCUUUGACCUAUUUGCAGCUUCUUAUUGCAUGUUGUUUGGUUAUGUCGUAAUUAUAUUUAUUACUCAUUCUUAUCUCACUAUACAUCCUUACAUUUUGAAUGUUAGUCUACAUAUUUUUCAGGAAAGACGACACUUAUUCAUUGUUAUGCUUCUUCUCUAUGUUUUACACUGUUGUAUAGGCUGCACGCACUGCGUGGUUUUUUUUACUAGCUACCUAACAUGAUUAUAUUUUUUUCCAAAAACAAAUUUAGCCGCUUGUUCAUGGAUAUAACUAAGCCCUUUAGUUUGUAUUACACAACUUUAUUAUAACAUAUGCAAUUUUCUCUGUCUAGAUUUUCAUCCUGCAGGCAUUGGCGGUGAUGGUCUUUUCCGCUAUGGGACAAAUUUCCAUGAAAUUGAGGUUUGGGAACCAACACAUAAUUGUUGUAUCUUGAUUUUUCAAAAGGCUUGUCUACUGUGAGCUGAUGCUUUUUUGUUUCCAGAAAAUUGGUUAUGGUAACUUCAACCAGGUUUUCAAAGUCUUGAAGAGACUUGAUGGUUGCAUGUAUGCCGUAAAACAUAGCAUGAGACAGGAUGCAAAAAGGUAAUUUAAUUUAAUUUACUUGUAAUAAUCAGCUGCUUGUAUUUACGCCACUCGCUUUUUGCAGCAAACUUAUGUUUAACACUGUCACAGGUGCAAGGCUUUGAUGGAAGUUCAAGCUUUGGCAGCUUUAGGUUUGUUACAUUAUUAUAUUCUUUUUAUUUUUAUCCAAAGAUUGAGAUUUUUAAACUUUUCGAUUCCAAUUUUUCUCAGGGUACGUACCACGAGAAUAUAGUUGGCUAUUAUUCUUCGUGGUUUGAAAACAAGCAACUUUACAUCCAAUUGGAGCUAUGCGAGCACAACCUAUCUCUCGAUAGAAUACCUAAACUAUUCACAGAAAGAGAAGCUUUAGAGGCAAUGUAUCAGGUGAAUGAUUUUGAAUCUAUAACGUGACGUAAUUGUAGCUGAUUAUUAACUUUCUGUGGUUUGUUUAUUUUAUCUUGAUGAGUUAAAUAUUUAAUUAGAAUUGUUAAAGGCUGUUAGAUGGGAUUGACUAUGACCUUUCCCAGAGGAGAUUUUUCAUUGAAAAAAUUGCAUUCGUGCAGAUUGCUAAAGCAUUGCAGUUUAUACACGGGAGAGGAGUAGUCACUUGGACGUAAAGCCAGAAAACAUUUAUGUAAAAAAUGGAGUUUAUAAACUUGGUGAUUUUGGUUGUGCGACUGUCGUUGAUAAAAGCUGGCUAAUUGAAAAACGUGAUGCUCGGUACAUGCCCCAAGAAAUCCUGAACGAGAAUUAUGAAAAUCUAGACAAAGUUGAUAUAUUCUCGUCAGGAGCUUCCAUCUAUGAACUUGCAAGAGGGUCACCGUUACCUGAAUCAGGUUCUCAUUUCCUUACUUUUAGGGAAUGAAAGCUGCCCCUUCUUCCGUGUCGUUCAAUCCCGUUUCAGAAUUUAAUCAAGCUAAAUUACCUUCUGCUUUUAUGAUAUGAAAAGUAGGUCUUAAUCGAGGAUAUCCAAUCUGUCUUUACUAUUAAUGUUUGAUAAUUUUGGUGAAAACUAUCGUGAUAAUUAUGUUAAUAUAACAUUCGUUUCUUUGAGUUAUAUAGACUUGGUGUAACAACCUACAGAGCAAAAUUAAAAAUUCGAGUUUUCAGAAAACUAUAUGCAGGGAAAGCUUGAGUUGAGCAUUUUAAAUGUUAAUUAUUAAUUUAUAGUGAGCAUGUUCGAUAAAAGCGCUUUGCAUUGCUACAGAUUAACUUGCGUACUGGUAUUCGAUUUUCUUUUGAUUUGUUAAUCAUUCAGAUGAUGAUGGAUGCAGAUCCUGUUCGUAGACCAACAACCAAAGAAGUAGUUAAGAAUCCAUUUUUUUACAGGAUUGGAAAGAACAAAUAAAUCAAAAGAAAACAAGUAUUUAAUUAGGUUUCUAGCAAAACUUUGCCGCCGAGGUUCAAAUGUUUAAAUUUUUUUAGUCUAACAUUUUUUUUUGAUUCGGUAUUUUAUUUGAAAUAUGUUUUUAGAUGAUCAAUCUAUACUGCUACAACAAACUGCAGGAUGUGUUUGAAGUUGUUUCCCUUUCCUUUGAAGAUUCUAAGUAGCUUGUCAAUAAUUUCGCCACUACCCGGUGAGUUUCAUGAUAAUUACCACUGUUGUUCUGUUUUUGCUUUUCCAUUGUUACUACUGUUUUCUGUCGGUCUUUGAAUAUUAAUAUUCAAAUUAUGUGGUGAACAACAGGUUGUAGAGUUUAGACAAGUUAUAACUUUCCAAGUUCUCGUGUUAUUUAUCCUUUCGUGCAAACGUCUCAUCUUAGUGUCUACCUUUCUAAGGGGAAACAACUCCUUCGUUUGUUUGCUCGCUAUUUUUUUUUUCUUCAUUGAUAAUGGUAGACUGUUAUUUUUGGUCGAUUAUUUAUGUUUUAUAUUUAUUUUUUUGGAUGUAUGCACAUGGAUUCUGCUACCGAUUUUUAAUUUCCCUUGUCGAUUUUCAGUUGGUGUUUCAAUUUCAAUUGAAACACUUAGCUUUCAGAUCUGCUCGUGUGUGAUGGCUGCAGUGUGUGUCCUCGAAACUGCCUCGACCCAAGAACUGUUUAAAGGUAAUUUUUGUGCUUCUCGUAUUUUAUUCGAUGUUAGGAACAGUAAAAGUAAAUUAUGCCAUUUUACGUGUCUAUGGCUCUGAUGGGAAAAAUGGACUUCAAGGGCAGGCCCCCUUUGCGAUGCCGAAACUUCGCGGGCAUGCAUAUGGCUUUUAGUUUCAAUUUGUGAGAGUCACAUUGCGUGUUUAUUUGCUAUUUAUGCAUUGCCAAUUAACUAUGGGAGUUCGAUUGAUGUUACAAUUAAUUGUCCACAAUUUAGAAAUGACUCAAAGUUAGGUGCUAUCUAAUGGUAUAUAUAAUGGAGCAUGCUUUGUUUCUCUUGAACUUUUCAUAUAGUGAUGACCCUUUUUUCUACUUCUUGCAUGCUUGUUUUAUUUCUGUGGGAGUUAGUUUGCUUCGGUUAUAGUUGGACUUUAAAUUAUUUAUGCUUAUAUCUUUAUAUUCGUGAUUUUUACAAGUAUUUAUUUAAUUUUGACUCGAUAGUUUAUUCUAAAGGUGUGAUGAUAGGAGUCACAACAUGGGCUUCAAAUAUAGGGUUUGAUCUAAUCAGAUGUUAUUUUCAUACUUCGACUGAAUUGAGGUUCAGUUCUUAAUUGAAGCCUUGCUAAAUAACACGAUAAAAAUUGCCUUUUGCCUGGUAUUUUGGCUUUGUAUGUUGAAAACAUGCUGCAGAACCACCUCGUUGAUUUCAAAUUGCAGCAAAGUCUAUUGACCUUCUUGUUGGACAGAGCAGAAGUGUUAGUUUUUGCCUAUGCAUACGGUAACAAAAAUGGUACGUAAUUUCAUUUGUAAAUCAAUCCAUAUUACAGUACAAAAAACUGGUUAAAAUUGUUGAGCUUUUCUGACCCUUUUAUGGUUUCUUUGCAUAAUGCAUAUGUUAGUAUCUUAUAAUACUUGUGGAAUUUGCCUAAACACCGCCUACCAUGCAAUUAUUGAGAUUUUCCUAAACACUUAUUUCCUCCAUCAUAUAUCUCGAUCUUAUUUAUCAUGUUUUGAUUCUAUUGAUUAAUACUAUUGGUUCAUUUUUUUUAUCUUCUUCUUACAGUUUGUCCGUGUUAUUAUACGCCUCUGUCCUUUAUUUUCUUUGCCCUUCUUUUCACGAUGUGUAUGAUCGACCUGUUUGCUUCUUCUUUUCUCUUUUCUUUUGUUCUCGAUUUUUUUCUUCUCUUGCUUCUUUGUCCUCAAUCGUCGCCUGCAAUUGCUGAAUCGCCGUUGAAUAUUUUUCGAUUUUGCUUCCAGUUUUGGUUAUUCUCUAUGGGUGCAAGUUCCUGGGUCUGAAUUGGAUUUCUUACAAUCUUGUCAUUGGGUUUUUUUUUUUAAAUCAUUGAUUCUGUCAUGGUUAAUACAAGUAAUCUAUUUGUAUAGAACAUGCAGCCAUUUUUUCAUCUAUCUAACGAAUAUUGGAUUGCUAUUCUUGCACAAAAAGGCGAAAUCCCUCGCCCCCAGGGCCCCCAUCCCUUGGUCCGACAAGGAUUGAUGGAGGAAUGUAAAUCAUGGUAACUCAACGGCUCGUUAAGGUAGCGGACCUGGACCUGGUGCCCACAAGGAACCAACCCUCAUUGGAGUUGAAAUUCCCACACUGCGGAUGCCAGGAUUCGAUCCUAGGACCUGGCACCAACUUACCACCUAUGGAACCAGUUGAGCUACACCCAUGCGGGCAAUAUUGGAUUGCUAUUCUAUUUAUAUAUGCAGAUUUUUUCAAGAUAAAAGAAAAUUAGAUUGGCUGAAGAGAAUGAAGGUAGCUUGCGGUCACGGGAUUCAGUUUUUACACGACAAGGCGAAUUCACCAAUGAUGAACCUCGUCCUGAACUCAUCAAAAACUUUCCUUCACUUUUGUUAUAUAUACGUUCUGAAUGCUAACAUUUGACAGUUAAGAUAGCAAUUUAUUGUCAGAUCUUUCCGACUUCUUUAAUUCGAAAACCUGCACAUUAUUCCUUCUGCCGAACAAUCUUUGCCAAACAAUCUUUUAAUGUUUGACAUAAAAUAAUCUUUUAAUAUCGGACAUGAAUAGCCGGGAAUAGGCAUCACGCAGGGCACCGCGCCUUGCGCGGUGCUCGUUACUAGUUUAUAUAUAUAUAUAUAUAUAUAUAUAUAUAUAUAUAUAUAUAUAUAUAUAUAUAUAUAUAUAUAUAUAUAUAUAUAUAUAUAUAUAUAUAUAUAUAUAUAUAUAUAUAUAUAUAUAUAUAUAUAUAUAUAUAUAUAUAUAUAUAGAAUCCUAAAAUUUAAUAUAAGAAGAAAAUAUCUAAUGAAAUGACCCCCCAUAUAUGUUGUCAGGCCAUGUGAACAAGUUAUGGAGCACGUUCUUAGCAAUUACUCAAUCAAUCCUGGGAAAAUAAAUAAUGCCAAUUAUUAUCUCAGGAUAAAAUUAAAAUACUAGGUAAAAGAAAAAAAAAACUUCAAGUGUAGACAAUGACAAUAGCCCUUUGGCUUUUGGUAAAAGACACAAUAGAAAGUGAUACGUACAAGAAUCUAUGCAUAAAUAAUUAUUUUAUUUUAUUUGAUGAUAGCCUAGCUUUCGUAUUAUUGAUGUCGUUUUCGUUUUCUUGUAAUUCGCAUGGUUUUUUCUUCGACUAGCUAGGCCAUUUUACAUUAUGAUUAAAUGAAUGUUUGAUGAAUAAUAAAAUAAAAUUGGACAAAUUACGGCCACCCCCAGAAGUAAGGUCAAAUUACGAAAAAAUCCUAAUGUUUGGGUAAUUACAACCACCCUUUAACUAUGAUUGUUCUAACACGUCCACCCUUACGGUGUCAAAUUCAAUAGAAUCUAAAAGAUUCCAUGAAAUGUUCUCUAGUUUGUACUCAUUUUGUGCAAAAAUUCAGUUUUGGAUGCACCACAAUCUGAUAUUUACAAGUCAAGAGACACAUCUUAUGAUCAUCUUGUUUUAAAACGUGGAUCUAGAAUAGGAUAAAACGGGUACAGACGGAAGAAUAUUCCACUAGAACAUUACAAUAAAUUUGACACCGUAAGGGUGGACGUGUAAGAAAAUGGAAAAGUACAGUUUGCACCCCUGAACUAUGGGGUGUGUCACAAACACCUCCCUAUACUACAAAACGUAACAAAAAGACCCCUCCGUUUUUAAACCGUUUGUAAUGUGCUGAUGUGGCAGUUGACCCUCUCUUAUUUCAUUAUUUUGACAUUUUUACCCUUCACUUUGCUAUAUCUAUAUGAAUAAAAAGAUAUUUACAUUUUCAGUAUGAAGAUAUAUUUUUUCACCCCAAACUUAAAAUUGUAAAUAAGCAAAAUACUUAAAUUUAAAUUGAUUAUGUAUUCCAAUUUUAAUAAUUAUUUUAUUUCAUCCCAAAAUAUUUUAUAUCAUUAACUUAUUAAUAUAGUAACAUAUUCAAUUUAAUUAAUACAUAAACAAAAAAAUCAGAAGAAUAAAUAUUUUUUUUAGUGAGAGCAUAUGAAUUUUCUAAGAGCAUCUCCAAGAGUGUAAUGUAAACCUAUAUUAUACACAAUAUGAACAACCAAGAUCAAAAUAGUGAGCUCCAAGAGUAAAAUGCAUAAUUAACAAAUUGGCUAAUUUGUAACUUUGGCUUCUCAAAUUUGAGAAACCAAAACUACAAUUUAGCUAAUGCAAAAAAUAUUAAAAUAAUAUUAUAUUGUUCUUUAUAAUAUAUUUAUCAUUAAAAAGUAUUUUAUAUUGUCUUAUAUUUUUGCAAAUAACUGUACUAAAUAAGAAAUUUAUUAUUUUACUUAGUAUUAAUAAUAAAUAAAAUUAAAAAAUAUUUAUCAUUUUAAUUAACAUAAAAAUAUUUCAUAAUGAAUUAUAAAUUUUUUAAUGUUUAUUUAUAUAUAUCAAUUAAGUUAUUGAAAUUUCUUUUAUCAAAUUUAAAAUUAUUUUUGUAUACUUAUUAAUUAGUAUUAUUAUUUAUUAGUAUAUUAACUAAAAUAAAAGUCAAAUAAUUUUGUAAAACAAAAAUUAUUAAAUAUUCAACAAUUAAAUAUAUUGUUUAGAAUAAUACACAUUUUUAUUAAUAUAUAAUAAUAAUAAUUGAAUAUCAUGUAGAAAUUAUUUAAUAAAAAUAAUUAAAUAUUAUAAUUGUGUAAAAUAUAAACAAUGUUGUUGGAGCGCAAUGUUAAAAGUGGAGUGUUAAAACACUGUUCAUUUGUUAUAUUAUAGAUAUAGACAACCGUUUUUAGAUAAACUGUUGGAGAUGGCCUAACAAUAAGUUAUUACUCAAUUGAAAAUUUCCUCAAAUUCAAAAAACUUAAGCUCAAACUAAAGACCAUAAAUGAUUAAAGUAAAUUAAAUAUAAAAUUUAACAAAUUUAAUUACAGAAUAAAUCAACCCUUGCAUUCAAAUAUAGUUCACAUUUCGGCCACUCCAAUCAAGAAGCAAGAUUUAACCCAGAUGCAAUCAACCUAACAUUGCUUUAAAAUUUAACAAACCCACUACUUCCUCUGGCCAAGGAUGAAAAAAUAGUACGUCGUUGCAAGAAAAAAGGUCCGGCGAGCAGGGCCAUGGCUACAGGAAGUCGAAAACGACGGAGGAGUGAACUGGGUGAAACCGUAACGGAAAAAGAAGCUUGAGAGGGAUGAAACAACAUAGGGAGAGGAAGGGGAGAAAAAACCUCUGCCGGAAAAUAUUUUCGCCGGAACGAAUGGCAUGGAAAAUCGAGAACUUAAUCCCUAUUAGAGGGAUGAGAGAAGUAUGGGAAAUGAGGAAGAAAAAAAGCAGGAGAUUUGUUGGUGGGGGUGAUGCGUAGAAAAUUGUGCAUAUUAAUAGGAAAUUGGGUCCAACAUUUCAAAUAUAUUUGAAGGGUAAAGAAGUAAAUGCAUAAGAAAACUGACGGUAUAAGUUGUUUACACGUUGACCACAAAUUAUAGGGGUUAUUUUGUUACGUUUUGUAGUCUAGGGGGGUGUUUGUGACAGACCCCAUAGUUAAGGGGUGCAAACCGUACUUUUCCCGUAAGAAAAUACAUAGUUAAGAGGUGGUUGUAAUUAGCCAAACAAUAUGAACUAUUUCGUAAUUUAAUAUGUACCUCAGGAUGUGACCGUAAUUUACCCAAAAAUAAAAUAAAUUCAACCUUUUUGCAUUGCAAGAAGAAAAGCAACAAGAAGGCACAACAAGAAGGAUGUUUGAUCAAAAAGUUUAAAGGGAAAAAAUGGACUUUAAAUUUAACCAAAAAGCUCAUAUAAAUAUUUGGUUUAUUGGUAGUAAUAAAGUAGAACAAUGUAAUCUCUUUCUAGUUCAAAUCAAAGUGUUAUUACAAAACGACAACAGAAAUUUGUGGUUAAGAUAUCUUAUCCCCUAAUAAUAAUAAAGACUGAAUUUUUAUUUUAUUUUUAAAUAUAAAUAAAAAAAUGGGCAUGUUUACAUAAUCACCAAAUUAAGAACACUAAUUAAUUCAAAGCUCCAAACAUAUAUAGAUUAAUUAAUGAUUUAUAAUAGGUAUCAGAUUUUCAUAGAUUCAAUAAAUAAAAAUCAACAAUUAAAUUCAAAUUGUUUUUUAUUCUGCUACCGAUUAUAAAUCAGAACUCGAUUUUGCCCCAGUAACUAUCACUCGCGACCCGAUUCGAGAGCCAACUCGAAUAGUCCUAGAGCAAGUAGUCGAGGUAGGCCCGGUUCAUCAUGGGCUGGCCGGAACCCUUGCCGGUGACGGCGUAGGCGAAGAUGACGAAGCCGAGUAGGGUGGCAAUGAUGAUAAACAUGGCCCACCAGUAGAGGUACAUGAGGAAGUUUUUCCAGUAGCAGGCGCCGGCGAAUCCGGCGAGGGAGACGACCAUGAUGGGGACGCCAAUUAUUAUGAGCGGCCACUGGAAGAACUUCAGGCAGUCGGUCUUGUUCGCGCGGCUGCUCAGCCAUAUUCCGCCGCCGACGAUGGGGAUCGACAGGACGAAGGUGAGGAAGUUCAGGGCGCCUAUUAGGUGGUUGCUCGUUCUCAUGGCGGCGGCGGUGGCGGUGGUUGUAAAUUUUUUUGAAAUUUAAUUUUGUCUUACAAGAGAGAGAGAGAGAGUACUGCUGUAUUUAUUGGGGAGCAGAUAUAUAAUGGGAAAAAAGCUUUGGGGAAAAUCAAAAUUUGUGGGAAACAAAGAUAAGCAUGCUUUGGUACACAGUUAAUGACUAAAUUACCUUCUGCAGAAUGAGUGAUUUACUGAUUUUGUUUAAAUUUUGGUUUAAUGGCACUUUGCCCCCCCAACUAUCGUGUGUUUUACACGUAAUCUCUGGACAAAAAACAUUUACAACAUUUUACCUAAACUGUGCACGGUGCCUCAGUUUUACCAAUUCAGUUCAUUUCUCGUGCGUCACAUGUCCAUUCACUUCAAGUGUUUUAGGGCAAAAAGAAGAAGAAAACGAGGGGAAAUAGAAGUACGAAUAAAUUUGCACUGAAUGGACGUUUAUAACGCGACAGCGGGUUAAUAAUCAUGAAUCAUAUAUUUCAUAAUUGAGGGGUUUUGGGUGAGGAAUUCUUGCAUAGGGGGAAGAUAAAAUCCUAGGUCCGUUUUUAUUGAUAUUUUCUCGUGUUAAUUUGCUUUCAUAAUUAGUUUAAUUAUUUAGUUGAUUAAAUUUGACAAUUUUCGUAGGCUGGAUAAAAAUCAUAAUUGUUAGAAUUUGGUACUUAGGAUUAGAUAAUUUGAGUAUUCCCUAUGGGAUCGACAUCCGACUCUCAUUAUUGAUUAUUGAACCCCCUCUCUGGUUUUACUCAAAGUCUCGACUUUGUGUACCUUGCGUGCGAAUCAAAUGAAGUCUUCUUCAUUUUCUUGACAUUUGUGCUUGAUGGCUAGAGCCUAUAGUUGUUGCCUUGUUGGUAAAUUACGAUAUUUUUUAUCUCCCUUAAUGGUGUCUUUGAUCUGGCAUAGUUUGACGAAUGAAAAGGUCGCUCGGGUCCCACUUUUCGAGUUACUCUCUCGUCAACUCUCUUUCCUCUAAAAAAUUUCUUCUCUUUUAUCUCUUGUGAUAUGAUUAUGUCAAAGCUUAAUAUCCAUGGUGGACAAGGAAAACAGGUGUUUGUCUUAAUACUCUGUCUACUUUUCGUCUUAUCAAUUUCUACGGAACAGAUAAUGGCAGCAAGAUGGAAAGGAAAAACAGCCGAAGUAAAAGCCCUAGCGGAGCCCAUGUCCACAAUAGUUUCUCGGCUCCAAUCCUCUUUGAUUGAAUCCAAUUCUCAAGGAAUCCUUUCAGGGAGCAGCGUUCUUCUUGCAGCACACGAAGAACAAACCGAGCUUUUCAACCAGGCGUGUUUCGGCCGUCUCGUUAUCACCACAGAGAAGAACAAACAGUGGUUUCAACUAUGCCUCGAGGAAGGUUUUUACCUCUGCACCGUAAUGAAAUGCAUCAAGAUUGUAGGUCAAAAUAGCUGCGUAAAAAACGAGGAAGAGCUGUAGGAUUACAUGUCGUCCAAGAGAGUGAAUUUUCCGAUUCUGUAUAAAGUGUGUUCGCAUCUUCGUACGAAGAACUGGGUGGUUAGGGCGGGGUCUCAGUACGGUGUUGACUUUCAUUGCACUCUUCGUCUCUGUGGCAGUGUUGCAAAAACGUUGUUGGUUCUCCACAUUAGCAGAAACUGUAACGAUUGUGACGGUGCUAGUUCUUCUCCUUGGAAUAUUUAUUAUGACAGCGUCGAGGAAAGAAUCGUUGCCAGGUGGAAUCCCGAGCAAAGCCGGGAGAAUUGUACGGUUGCAGAGAAGGAAUCGUGUAAGUCGUCAUAAGCUUAACUUAGCUCCUGUUUAUUGUACUAGUUACUAUGUUGUAAGAUUUCGCCAUCUUGUAUAAAUAAGUCUCAACACCAUAAGUACAAAAUUUUACACCACAAAACGCGAAGAAUGAAGAUCAACGAAGACUCAAGCAUAGUUUUUCUUAUUUAUUUUAUUUAUUCUAUUUUGUUUAUCAUAAGAAUUACGCGUAGCUAAGUUUUUAAUCUAGGAUUUUGUCUGAACCCUAUGUGGGGAUGGUGAACCCGUUUUCUUGAGAUUAUGCAAUUAUGAUUUUAUGAUUAUUUCUUCUACUUGUUAUGAUUGUUAGUGCAUGAACUUGAUCAAUUUAUGUGCUUUAUCUGUGAUUAUUGGGAUUGACUAGACAGAGCUAUUUUGAUAAUUAUACGGUAAGUAUAAGAACCUUCGAGUAGUUUUCACCGGAUGAGUGUGUCAAUUGCAUGUGGUGUCGUAGACAUACAGAUAUCACCUUAGGUAGCCAUUUACGAGACUUGUUAGUUAAUGCUUUACUCAUUAUUUGUUUGCAUAGACAUAUAGUGAACCGUUUAUGAAUAAUAGACUCAUAAUACACGCGACAGCGGGUUAUGAGUAAAUUAGUGUCUCGGGUUACUAAUCAUGAAUCAUAUAUCUCAUAAUUGAGGGGUUUUGGGUGAGCAAUUCUCGCAUAGGGGGAAGAUAAAAUCCUAGGUCUGUUUUUAUUGAUAUUUUAUCGUGUUAAUUUGCUUUCAUAAUUAGUUUAAUUAUUUAGUUGAUUAAAUUUGACAAUUUAGCGUAGGCUGGAUAAAAAUCAUAAUUGUUAGAAUUUGGUACUUAGGAUUAGAUAAUUUGAGUAUUCCCUGUGGGAUCGACAUCCGACUCUCACGAGUCCACUUUUACUACUUGUUUGCGAUACGUGCACUUGCGUGUUAGGUAUUUAGCACCCAACAAGUUUUUGGCGCCGUUGCCGGGGAAUACAGCUAAAUUAUCUAUUUAUUCUAAUUUCAAAUUUGAGCAUUUUUUUUUACUUCAGCCAUUUAAUUUUAAUUUUAAUUUGUAUUUUUAAUUUUUAUUUUUUUGUUUUUGUUACAUGUCUGGUUACAAUCUUCGGGCACCUCAAACGGGAUAUGAAUGGCUUCCAAGUGACGAAUACCUCCAAAACACCUGUGAUAUGCCUCCGUUUUGUUCAGCAUGUGGUGGAAAUCAUUAUUCUGAUCAAUGUUGGGGAUCACCAAAAGCGACAAAUUUCAUCGAAAUUACCAACGGAGGUUAUUGGAAUACUUGCACCAGCACAUACGAGCAAAGCUUUCAAGACCAAGAUUUGAACGAGUUUCAACAUAGAGAGCCACAAUUUUCUGAUUUUCAAAAUUAUUAUCCCUCGCAGCAACAAACCACUGAUGAACAACUUGAUUUGGUAUCCCUCAUUGCCGAAUUCAUGAAGUCCACUCAAGCAUCAUUUCGAAACAUGGAGAUACAACUGGAAGAGAUGACGCUCAAAUUAAAAUCUGAGUCUCUUGAAAAUAUUCCAGACGAAAUCGGCAAUGGUUAUAUCAAAGAAAAUUCGGGUGAAGCCUGCGGUGAGAAAAUCUUCCAUGUCCAGGAAAUAGUGUCGAUAUGAGAGAAAUAGAAAUGACGAAGACACUUGAGGAUGAUGAAUCUGAGAAUGCAAUCGAGCUAAACUCCAAAGAUGUCUCGGAACAAGAGAAGAAGGAGAUGGAUGUGGUUAGUGCAAAUAUUCAAAUUGAGGAUCUUAUUGUUGUUCAUGACGUGGCUUUGAAGGCAUUAAUAGAGGUUGACAAGAAGGCGAAUGUGUUUGAAGUGGAGGUUAUACACAGACUUGAGGUUUUUGUGUACCGAUUUGAGGGAGCGGGUGAUGAAAAUCCCAUCUUGGCUUCGUACCGAUUUAUUACAACAAAAAAAAGACUACAAGUUAAGGUGGACCGUGACAUAUUGCAGUGCUAUCCAUGCAUUGAUUGCAAUUGAAGUGAUAAUGAUCAUGGAUGGAUGCGCAAUCUACAAGGCUUUGGAUUGGACAUAACGAUUUCCAGAAGCAAAGUCCGGCUGAAGACUUAAAAUUUAGCGCUUAUCGGGAGGCAACCCGAGCAUUUAUCGUUUUUGUUUUCUCAUAUUUUUCGUAUUUUUAGUUGUUUUUUAUUUUCUUAGAAUAUAUAUAAGCGUGCAAUCUAAUAAUUUAAUCAUGUUUGAAUUUUUAGGUCGAAAAAGGACAAAGAGUCCAGACUGCCGUCCGAAAAUCAAGCAAAAACCCGAGACGGCCGUCCGGAGAAGUUACGACGAAUUGUGAACCUACUGUUAGUGGGACGUCCGUCCCGAAAACAAUGCAAAACGUGGGACGGCCGUCCGGAAUACCCCUGAAAAAAAAGGUGUUUGCUUGAAAGUAGAAGAGAAGGAGGGGUGCAACACGUGGAGGACGUUUCAACUAAUCAAGGUGUAUUCUAUCCUUAAACUUCGUUUUAAUUACAUUGAGAACAAUGUAAAUUUUAAGUUUGGGGGUGGAAAAACAGUUUUUAUGUGCUUUAUAGGUUUUAGAUUGCAUGCUUUAGGAUUUUAUUUCUUUAUAGUCGUUUUCUUUUAUUUAUUAUUUUCUUUAAAAAAAAUUGCUUGAGUCGAACGCAUCGAUGAGUUAUGAUGAUGAGAGAUGAUCAUUGUGUGAUGAUGAAAUUGCUUGUUUUGUUGUGAUAAGGAUUAGAUGUUUGUUUAGCUUUCGAUUCAACGGAACAUAGAAACGACUUAUUGCUAGGAAUCACACUUUGUGCAUUGCUUUAGUUGAAUAUUUUGUAUUUUAAAUUUGGAGCUAAUUUGUGUUAGAUCAUGCUAUGUUCAGUUUUAGACCUCACCUUAGGAAAUUUAUGAUACGAAGUAUUGAGUAGUGAGUGAUUUGGGAUUAGAUUUGGGCCUUCUUUGAUCCGUUUGAGCCUUUCAAGCCGACCUUUUUAUCGAAAUUUUCCUUAGAACCUUGAUUUGAGCCUCGGAGAAAAGGUGUUCUUUCUUUUAGCCAAUGUGUAUAAGGUAGAAUAGAUGGAGAUUCUUGAAAAAUUACCCCUUGGAGUUCGGUUGAAAAUUUUUAUAAGGUCUCUCUUCUUCUUAAAAAAAAAAGACGAAGAAGUAUAUAGGCUUCUAUAUAUAUUUAUAAAAGAAAAAAAAAACAAAAAGAGAGAAGAAGAAGAAGAGACUAGAAGUGAGAAGAAAGGACUAGUUGUUGAAAUUAUUUUUGAAAGCUCGAUCUAUUGCCUCAAAAGCAAAAGUGGAGACUUUUGAACUUUUGAGAAACGAGUUAAUUAAAGUCCUUAGAGGUGAAUUCAUUGUUUCAAACGCCUAUCUUUCAGAUUUUGGCGUAAUCACCUCAAUUCAACAAUAAUAGCCACAUAUACCCAUAUUUCCUACCUCGAACCAAAGAGCCUAACAAUUGAAAGCCAAAAAGCCCAAUGAUCCCAAUAGCUUAAUGUUCGAUAUUAGUAGAGUAGAAUAAUUUGGUGAGUAUUUGGAGUCAAACAUAUGCAUGUAAGCAUAAAUUUUUUCUAUCUUUAAUUUACAAAUAUUGGAUGCUUGAAGCAAUUGCAUGAUUUGUGGUUUUUGGUUGUGGUAGGUGACUAAGUGCUUUUGAAUUUUGAACUUCCGAAUGCCUAAGAAUUUUCAUUAUAAUUACAAGUUCUGAAAACGUGGAUUUGGUCAUUAAUCUAUGUGAUGAGAUGCGGUAGUUGAGUUUUUUGCUUACGAUUAGAUUUUGCUUGAGGACAAGCAAAAGUUCAAGUUUGGGGGUGUGUUGAGUGUAGAUAUUACACUCAAUAUGUUUACUUUACGUGAAUCUUUUGUUUAGAUUUAAUUAUAUUUGUGCUUUAAUUGAUUGAUUUUGUGUUUUAUAGGUGAAAAAACGAGAAUUAAGUGUCCAUGAAGGAAAAAAAAGAUCAAAAAGAAAGGAAAAAGUUGCAAAUAAGGAAACAAAUCAAAUUAGAAGGAAUCUCGCCACAACAUUGAUAGUGUCCACCAUUUCGAGCAUAUCUCUCUCAUACAAACUCCGAAUUAGGUGAUUUUGACGGCAUUAGAAAGCUAAUUUCAAGGGAUACAAUUCUUAUUUACACAACAUUCCAAAAUUCGGACUCCAACAUGGCACAAAUUGACGAACAAAUCCUGAUGGGGGAAAGUGGCGAAAAUUGAUUCAUAUUAGGUUUCUACUACUUCUUAUCAAGAAAAGCAUAUAAAAGCAACAAGUCUCAACACCAUAAGUACGAAAUUUUACACCACAAAACGCGAAGAACGAAGAUCAACGAAGACUCAAGCAUAGUUUUUUCUUAUUUAUUUUAUUUAUUCUACUUUGUUUAACAUAAGAAUUACGCGUAGCUAAGUUUUUAAUCUAGGAUUUUGUCGGAACCCUAUGUGGGGAUGGUGAACCCGUUUUCUUGAGAUUAUUCAAUUAUGAUUUUAUGAUUAUUUCUUCUACUUGUUAUGAUUGUUAGUGCAUGAACUUGAUCAAUUUAUGUGCUUUGAUGAUGCUAAAAUAUAGCUCACCUAGGGUGGUGUAGAAAAUGAGCUGGGAGAGCAAAGCGGAUCAGUAGCAUGACGACUUGAUGAUCCUGAGGUCCCUGCGAAAUGAACACACGUGAACUACGCCGGAGGUUGAUCCGGCGGAAACCCCUCCGACGCUCAAGUCAGAUAUACGGAUUGCGGAGAUGGUAGAGAGAAUCAAACUCUAGCUUGUUCGUGAAUAAUGAAAAUCAUACCUUUACAAAUGAGUAAAACAUCUAUUUAUAUAUCGGUGAUUGGGUUGGGCUUACUUUGUUGGGCCCAAGCCUUACUUUGAAGGUGUUUGGGCUUCCGUGUAGUGGGCCUAAUUAGUAAAUAAAUAUGAGGGCCCAUUGGGCCGGCUCAUUUAUGUAUAUCAUUAAGCCCCCCAACUCUUGAUUCGAGACGGGGACUUGUGUAGAGGGGUCCGGGUCGUGUCUAGAGUUUAAUUGCGUCGUGGAUUGAAUAGUUUCCGUUGGCGGUGAAUUAAUUCCUUGAUUUAAAUAAGGGAUAAUUGUAUUUACUUGGCAGCGAGGUAUAUAUUUAAGGGUUUUAAAUAUUAUACCAGGGCCAGAUAAAUAGUCUCUUUUUGCGGUGGAAAGAAUUAAAAUUCAUCUCCUUCGUAAUAAAUAUGGGUAUGUACUUUUAACUUUAGGUCUUCUUUGUGUUCUCUUCUUUUAUUCUAUAGCGGUAGAGUAGAAAUUUUUUGUUAUCUUGAUUGCUUCUUUGGGGAAAAAUAUUUCUCAUGUCGAACCCGGGUAAUUCGAAACCCUUGCGAAUUAAACUUUGAGAUCCGGUUGAAGGGGGCAAGAAAAAUUUUGGUUCCGUGGGAAUGGAACGCGAGAAGGUAGUAGUAUCGGGUGGGGAAAUCGGAUCUGCGGUAGGUAGUGCACGAUGUUUGAAGAAAAGAGGGGUCUCGGCUGGGGGGAUAGGCUCGAGCCGAGUGGUUAAUCUGAGUGAGGGCGCGCACCUCGAGAAGGCGGCUGAGCCCCUUGAAGCCGCUGAGCUGGAGGCUCACACGGUAUCCGAGGAGAGGAGGUUCGGUGUAGCAGGCGCGUCGGGCGCGGAGAUCGGUAGACGCGCGCGCGUGUCGGGUACGGAGAUCGAAGGACGCGCGCGCGUGGACGUUGACUGCCGGGUGGUUUGCGCGCCUCCCGAGCGACGCGCGCGUGCAUCAGAGGGGCUGUGCCGAGGUGACGCGCGCGCGCUGCCCUAUCCCGGGGCGCGUGACGGCGCGUGUUGGACUGGAUUGGGGGCACGUGGCCCUGCUGCGGCUUGUGACGCGCGCGCGCGUGAGGCAGCCCCUCUUCGGCGGACGCGCGCGCGUGAGGGCGCGUUUGAAGGCCGUUUUCGGGCUGGGUCGGGUGAAAUUGAUGGGCGAAUCGCCGAGGCACUUGGUUGUUUAAAUGGGGUGAGUUUUGGACAACGAGAAAUCAUUGAAUCUUGGAUUGACGAUGUACAAGCGAGUUAUAAUGUUGAUAUUUGCCCUACUGUUGAUGAAGUGGAUUCCAGUAGACGUCGUUAUGGGCGUCAAGUCGUGGAUUUUGGGAGUGAUAGCGAUGAUUCGAAUCAAGCACCUUUGGCGAGUGAUCAUGCGGUGCCAAGUAGUGAAGUUGAGCCGAUGGUCGAAGAGGAGGAGGAAGAUGAUAUUCCACUGGGUGAUGUUGAGAUUGAUUCUAGGAGGCAAAAGAAACAUAAGUUGAUUAAUUUGGACUUAGUUUAUUUUGAUAGUAAACUGACGGAAGAGCAUUUGCAGUCUAUUCGUCGUUUAGUUGGAGCGCAUAGAAAUAUCGAGUUGUUGUUGCCUCAUAAGGGCGACCGGUUGUAUUCGCCACCCAAUGGGUUUCAUACGGUAUUCUUGGCGUAUGUGACGUGCACAUCUCAGAUUACUCCGCAUCCGACCUUGUUGAAGAUUUGCGAGGAAUUCAAGAUAGGGUAUAGUCAGCUAACUCCCUCUGCUGUUCUGAUGUUCGAGGCGUUUCACCAUAGAGUGUCUCGAGUAGGUUUGCCUAUUACUGUGAGUUUGUUCAAGGCGUUAUUUAUGUUACAUCGGCCCAAUAAGUGGCCUUUCUUUUGUUUUCAUCCUCGCGUUCCCUACCAAUUCGUGAAAAGUGUGAAGUUAUCCUUGGGGGGAAUGGAAGACCAAUUUUUUUUUAUGUGAAUGCUCCCACUUUCGACGUCCCCGUAGUUUGGAACCCUACGUGCGAGAGUUUCACGAGAACUGCGAAUAUGGUGAAGAGGAUAGAAGAGUCUAAGUUGUGUGAUGUGGAAUUUGACCCGAGGGUUUUGAUACCAAAGGCAAAGGGUUAGCACCGUAUAUCCUUUGAGUGAUUGAUUUUUUCGCUUCUAUUUUUUUUUUUUUUUUUUUUUGUAGUUCUUUGGUUGUAUAUACCCCAUGUCUCUUAAGUGUUUGUUAUCUUUUGUAGAUGGGGGUAUCACCUUUGCGGCACUUCGAGCUAAGGCGAAUGGGACGUCGAAAAAGGCAUCGAAGAAGGUUCCCGCCACGUUGGGAGGUUCUUCAGGUGGUUUGUCUCGUGAGACGGUCCAUGUAGAAACUCCUCGAGUUAUCGAAGAUGACCGUAGCAGUGCUGGUGAAGUGGAGGGGCGUCCACCGACGAGGUAUCGUGGCAAGGGAAAGAGGGUGGAUACCGAGUAAGUGGCUGUGCCUAAGUGUCCACGGGUAGACCCAGAGGAGACCUAUGCUUUCCAUGGUGGGGGAGGGAAACAGUUGUUUACCAAUGGCGUGAAUCGCGAUGAUAAGGAGUCGUAUUGGGAUGUGUCGGACCAUGAUUUGCCGAUGUUGAGUACCGAGGGAUUCGUUCGGGAGUAUGAUCGUGCUCGGAUGUCUGGUAAGGGCCCUUCUCACAUGUUGGAGUUAGCCGGUGGGGACAUAUGUCGGGUGAGUCCUUGUUUAUUUAAAACAAGAUUAAAUGUUACCUCAUCUCUUUCUUGUGUAAUUUUUUUUUUUAGUUGGUAGCGACUUGGAGAUAUCUGAUGGAGCAAGGUAGGAACGUGGAAGCUAGGAAGGAAGAGGAGCGGGCUCGAAGUCAGGCGCGUGAAGACGAACUUCUAAGCCAAUUGGAGAAAGCGUGGUCCGAUCUUACUCAACGGUCGGAAGAACUUGCCCAGAGGACAGAGGAGCUUGCUCAGAGGACAGGGGAGCUUGAGGUUAUCCAAGGUGAUGCGAAGGCAUAUAAGGAUGAUGUUCAUAAGUUGAACGAGUGUUAUGACCAGCUCAAAGAGAAAUAUGAAGUUGAGAAGGCGACGGGGAAGAGGUUCCUCGCGACGUUAGGUGGUGCGGCUUAUAGGGAGUCCAUCGUGGAGGAAACCAAGCUUAGCUUCCGAGGUAGUGAUGAGUGUGCUGCUAUGAUUGGGGAGCAUGCGUUGGCUGUGGUCUAUAAGCCAUUAGUUCGUGCUUGUCGCAAAUAUCUUCGCGAUGCGGGUAGUGUUAGUGAGAAGGUUAUUCGGGGGAUGGAGGCUGGUAUAUCCGAUGAAGAGGAGGAUGAGGUCGAUGUCAACGGCACGGGAACAGAGCUCGUUGAUGACAUUGUUGCUGAUGACCCCACUGUGGGAGCGUCUUCCGCCCGUGGUGGGGGAGUUUAGAUAUUUUUGAUAGGAUGGUUAAACUCUUUUUUAUUUAUUAUUGCUAUGGAUUUCUUAAUUUAUUUUUAUCGCUGAUGUAGAUGGGUAUGUCCACUACUGUUUCGUUUGAAUUUAUUCCUUGUUUGACAUUUGAAGUUUUGAUACUUAGUUAUUUAUUUUGACAUUGUCAAGAGUUAAUGCGCUGCUUAUAUGUAUUUACAUUUAGCAUUGUACGCGAUGUACUUGAGGUGGGGAUCAGUCUCCCAAGGUUUUUGUUAAGGGUCGUGCCCUUUGUUCGGACCGCUUGGGUCUUAAAUAUAUUUGUCCGUGGCCACGUUUUAAAAUUAACACCUCGUGAAACAAAUAAAGGGACUCAGAUGAUCCAGCUGGCCAGGCUAUAUGGAUUAUCUAAAUCUCUCUAAGUGUUUAUAGGGUGGUAUUGAAUUAGACUCAUGAUAAGAGGUAGUUUGUAUCGAUGUAAAGACACAGAGAGUAAAACGAAAAUUGUGAUUUAUUCGAUGAUAGCAAAGGAUAAUUGUUACAAGCCUAUGUGAGGCAAAUUUAAAUAAAUAGCUAAGUCGAUAGACCUACGUGAGGCGAAGGUAACUAACUACUGCUAAAGCAAAUAAAUUGUCUUGAUAAAAACUCUCCUAAGUGAUUGUGUGGCACUUAUUCUUCUUCCACGUCUUCCUUGUACUAGUUCGUUUCACUGUGCUGAUGGUAGAUUGACUUCUUUUGGCGUCUCUAUGCCUUUCAAGUAUAAUUGAAAAAAAAGAAAAUUUGUUUAAACACUUGUAUUGAAGAUUUAGUAGUUGAAGCUGUGGUGAUGUGUGCUGCACUUUCACGUACCCUACUACGGGGGUUGUUUUUUCUCUCUCGCACUCCGAGAUAUGAAAUCGACUCGUGAGUUGCUGUGUGCUCAUGCCUGCUAGUGGAAUUAUUUUUUCACGUUAGUAUGAAUACUCAAGAACACGCGUUUGGUGUAUUCUAGUGGAAGUAUUGUUACCCUUGGCGAUGUGGUAUGGAUGGUCCUCGCUCUUUGGGCCAUUGAUUGAGUAAUAUGCAUCCCCUCGUAAUUGGUUAUCAAUCUAUAAUAAGAUGGUGAGAUGUGAUUAUGAAUUACUAAUGUAAAUAAAUUCGCUAGCCCCCCAGUCUAGGUAGGGUGUUAACGCACCUAGUUAUGUAGUAGAAAAUUUCCAACCAUGUAGAAAGAGCUUUACAAGACGAGUGACGUGGAAGGUCGCGGAGCCUAAAGUGUAGAACCGUUUGAGGUUCCCUAUAUUCCAUGUUCUGGGUAUAGGGUGUCCGUCAGUGUUCUUGAGGCGAUAUGCUCCAGUGUUGACCACUUUUGUGAUUUUAUAUGGUCCUUCUCACUUUGGAUCGAGCUUACCAAUGGGGUGAGAGGCUUCAGCUUUCCGGAGGACUAAAUCUCCAACUUGAAAGGAGCGAGGACGGACCUUUGAGUUAUAUGCCUUGGCCAUGCAUGAUUUGUACAUCUGUUGCCGGAUGUAUGCGAUCUUUCGUAAUUCAUCUACAAGGUCUAGGCUUCCUCGCAUAGCUUCUUCAUUAGCUGCUGGAUCAUAAUUGGUGAUUCUCCAAGAUGGUUCACCUAUUUCAACGGGUGCUAUAGCCUCUGUGCCGAAAGCUAUAUUGAAAGGCGACUCUCCGGUUGUUGCGCGUGGGGUUGUGCGAUAAGCCCAUAGUGCGUUAGGCAAUUCUUCCAUCCAUUUCCCUUUGGCACUUCCCAGCCUUGUCUUAAGGUGUUGGAGGAUGGUGGGAUUUGUAACCUCUGUCUGGCCGUUAGCUUGUGGAUUUGCUACCGAUGUGAAGAAUUGGUUGAUUUCCAAGCCGAGGCACCAAUUUUUUACUUUGUCACUUCAAAAUUUGGUUCCAUUAUAUGAGAUAAUGGAACGUGGGAUUCCAAAGCGACACACGAUGUUUUUCCAUAGAAAUUGGAUGACUUCUUCUUCUCGGAUGCGUGCUAAGGGUUCAGCCUCCACCCAUUUGGUGAAGUAGUCCACUGCUACAAUGAGGUAUUUGCGUCCUCCUGUGGCGGGCGAGAAUGGUCCAACUAAAUCCAUUCCCCAUUGGGCGAAAGGGAUGGGGCUGUCAAUUGGUUGCAUUAAUGCUGCUGGCAGGUGAGGAAUAUUGGCAUGCUCUUGGCAAGGCUUACACCUCCGGACUAAUCUCUUCGCGUCUUCAUGCAUCGUUGGCCAAUAGUAGCCUUGCCUCAGUAGUUUGAGAGCUAAGGUUCUCCCGCUCAAGUGAUUGCCGCAGAUGCCUUCGUGUACUUCUCUAAGUACGUAAUCCGUUGUGGUCGGGUCGAGGCACUUGAGAUAGGGGAAUGAGAACCCUCGUUUGUACAAUUCUUCUCCCACUAUGACGAAGCGGGCGGCUCUUGUUUUUAACUUCCGUGCUUUAGUGGGAUCUGUUGGAAGUUCUCCCUUCUUGAGAUAUUUCAGGAUUGGGGUGAACCAGCAUGGUUCAUCCUCCUUGGUGUACUGUACUUCAGUGGCUGAAGUUAUCUCCGGCUGAGGUGAGAUGAGGAGCGUCACCUUCCGACUUCCGAUGCUGGCCAUGGAACUUCCAAGCCUAGCUAAUUUAUCAGCGUGGAUGUUAUUGGAGCGGGGCACUUGUUUAAUUUCGUAGCUCUCGAACUUGGAUAAUAGAGCGUGUGUGCGAGCUAAGUAUUUGGUCAUGGUAUCUUCUUUGGCCUCGUAAACUCCGAGUACUUGGUUAACGACGAGCUGAGAGUCGCUUUGGAUUAGGAGCUUGCGCGCUCCGGCUGCUUGGGCAAGGCGGAUUCCCGCUAUCAAUGCUUCGUAUUCAGCGACGUUGUUUUAGGCUGUGAAUUCGAACUCGUGUCCGUCAGGGUUUGUUAGGACGAUACCCGCCCCCCCUCUUGUGGCAGUGGAAGAUCCAUCGACGCUGACAGACCAGGUAGGUAGAGAGGUGCUUUCUUCUACUGAGGUCAUUUCGACUAGAAAGUCAGCCAAUACUUGCGCUUUGAUAGCGGGACGGGGUUUGAAUUCUAUCCCAUAUUCGCUUAGCUCAAUUGCCCAUUUUGCUAAUCGCCCGGAUGUCUCGGGACAUCUUAGUAUCUGCUUCAGAGGAUAAUUGGCGAGAAAAACCACUUGAUGCGACUGGAAGUAGGGUCGAAGCUUUCGAGCUGCGUUGAUGAGGGCGAGAGCGAGCUUCUCCAUAUUGGUAUAGCGUUGUUCGGCUCCUUGGAGGGCGCGACUUAUGUAGUAUAUGGGUUGAUGACCUUUUCCUCCAUCUCGGAUGAGGACUGCGCUGAUGGCAUCAGCCGAGGUAGCUAAGUACAGCAUGAGGGUGUCUCCCGGCUGAGGUUUUGUAAGCAAGGGUGGUGAUGCGAGAUAUAACUUUAGCUCAGUGAAGGAUUUUUGACAUGCCUCAUCCCACUCGAACUUUUUUCCUCCCCUUAAAAUCUUGAAGAAAGGGAGAGCCUUGUUCGCUGAUCUUGAAAUGAAUCUGUUCAGGGAUGCUAAACAGCCGUUGAGCUGUUGAACUUUCUUGAUCGAUGUUGGUCGAGCCAUGGAGGUGAUUGCUUCGAUUUUCGCGGGAUUAGCUUCGAUUCCUCGCUGCGAAAUCAUAUAACCCAAAAAUUUGCCUCCCCGAACUCCGAAUGAACAUUUGAGGGGGUUGAGCUUCAUCUUAUAUUUUCACUGGGUGGCGAAACACUGAUCCAGAUCAGUUAGGUGGUCCGAGACCUUGACACUUUUGACGAGCACGUCGUCGAUAUACACCUCCAUAUUCUUACCGAUCUGAUCUGCGAACAUGGCAUUCACUAGACGUUGGUAAGUGGCUCAUGCAUUUUUUAAUCCAAAAGGCAUGACUCGAUAGCAGUAGAUGCCUUGGUCUGUGACAAAGCUAGCCGUCUCUUGAUCUUCUGGUGCGAGCAAGAUUUGGUUAUACCCUUGAUAAGCGUCAAGGAAGCUGAGGAGCUCACAUCCCGAAGUUGAAUCGAUGAGUUGGUCGAUUCUAGGUAAAUGAAAUGGGUCCUUAGGACAAGCUUUGUUGAGGUCAGUGAAAUCCAUGCAUAACCUCCACUUUCCCCCGGGUUUGGGAACGAGUACUACGUUCGACAACCAUUCAGGAUACUGAACUGGUCAUAUAUGACCCGCCUCUAGAAGUUUCGCCACUUCUGCCUUGAUGUGCUUGUUGCAUUCGGGUCCAAAUGUUCGUUUCCGUUGUUUGGUCGGCUUCAACCUUUUGUCGACGUUAAGCCGAUGUAGAGCUACAUGAGGGGGGAUGCCCGACAAAUCUUGAGCUUUCCAAGCGAACACGUCUCCAUUGUGCCGCAAGAAUUUGACUAAUUGGUUCUCCAUCUCAGGAUCUAAAUCGGAUCCGAUGCGUAGGAGUUUGGAAUCAUCUCCAGGUGUGAGCUAUAUGAGCUUAAGCUCUUCGACGGCUGCUAGCUUGAUGCUGUCAUCUGGUACACUUGUGAGGAUUUCUUUAUUUUCCUCAAUGAUCGCGUUGACCCACUUCCGUUUGUCGGAUUUUUGGGUGUCGUCUCCCCUUCCGGAUGGUUUAGGCUUCUUGGAAGGUUCUCGUAGGGCCCUUGCAUAGCAUUCUCGGGCGAGACAUCUAUCUCCAAGUACUUCUCCCAUUCCAUAGGGAAUAGGGAACUUCCACUUCUGAUGGUAGGAGGAAGGCACUGAUUUGAAUGUAUGGAUUGAUGGCCUCCCUAGAAUGAUGUUGUAGGGGGAUGGCUUGUCGAGGACGAGGAAUUUGAUUAGUUUUGUGAUUCGACAAGGGUCUUCCCCUAAAGAAACGGGCAGCUCCACUUCUCCCAUGGACAAAAUGCCCUCUCCUGUGAAUCCUUUCAGGGGUGUGGAGAUGGGACUAAACCGGGCAUUAUCUAUGCCCAGCUGCUUAAAAGCGUGGAGGUACAUGAUGUCAGCUGAGCUCCACCGUCCACUAAUAUCUUCUUGACCAAGAAGUUGGCCACCAUUGUUGUUACUACCAACGCAUCGACAUGAUCUUCAUCUGGACCUUCAAGGUCGGAGUAGUUGAAGACUAUGCUAUGAUCAGGUCUUCGUACUUGAUAGAUGCGUGCGGAUGGAGAAGCACGUUCUUGAUUCAUGCGUGCUGAUCGAGCGAGGGUGCGUCUUGCAUUUUGUGAAUCGCCACCCGCCGGUUCUCCGGAGAUAAAGGAGAUGAUUCCCCGGGUAGGUUGGUUAUCGUUGUUAUCUGGGUCUCGUUGAUGACCCCCCUCCUCUCGUCGUUGUUGUUGAUCUCGAUUGUUAUCUCGGCGUGGAAGAUCGUCACGGCGCUUAUUUCGAGACUUAUCAAUGUAUUCGCCUAAGUGGCCUUGCUUGAUCAACCUAUGAAUCGCCACUUUGAGUUGUGCACAUUCCUUGGUAGUAUGUCCUCUAUCCUUAUGGAAUCGACAAUAGCGAUCCGACUUUUCUCGCUUUGCAUUUGGCUGCAUAGGAAGUGGAGUCUCUGCUAAACCUUUCUGUUCUAUUACGUGAAGGAUUUCAGUGAGGCGAAUGUUUAGCGGAGUGAAUCUGUUGUAGGAGGAAGAUGGUUGACCUUGAGGUGGAAGUGGUGGACGUCGAUCAUCCCGUCUCCUAUUGUCUUGUCGGUUCUCUUUUGUUUUUAGGAGGAGCGUUGGUAGAGGCUUCCUCUAUCCGGACGUAUUUUUCGGCUUGAUUCAGCAACUCCUCUAGGUUACCUGGGGGUGUUCCGGCGAAAGACUCUUUGAACUACCCGGUUUCAAGUUCUGCUGCAUAAUCCCGGAGAGCAUGUGUUGCCCUACACUGGGAACUUCAUGGACGGCUUCGACAAAACGCUUGUGUAGUUGCGGAGCGUUUCGUUAUCUCUCUGCACUACAGAGAAAAGGUGAGCAGGGGUCUUGGCAUACUGCUUGUUGAUGGCGAAUUGGUUGGUGAACCGAGUUGACAGCCGAGCGAAGGUGUCAAUCGAUCCUAUGGGCAGAGAGUUGAACCAAUUCAUUGCUCUCUUGGAGAGAGUGGUGCGGAACAUUUUGCACAUCGCAGCAUCCGUCGGGCCAUAUAAAUCCGCCAUGGCGCUGAAUUUCUCUAUAUGCUCUUGUGGGUCGGUGGUCCCUUCAAAUUGAGGUAAUCCCGAGAUCUUUACUCCUUGAGGUAAUACCUCGUUGAGGAUGUCUAUGGUGAAGGGACUGCGUCUUUUUGAGAUGGGCAUUCUUUCACCCAUUGGAUUAUUUGGGUGGGGGAAAAGAUUUUGGCGAGACAUUCUGCUGUUUACCUCGCCUUAUCCCUCAUUAAAGAGAGGGACUCUCUGUGGUGACGCAUUCCCCCGUGGGGGUGAGCGUUGACGCUGCUGUCUGGGCUGUGCCACUCGGUGAUUAGUAGAUAGCUGCACUCGGGACCGUGGGUCCGAGGUAGAGGAGGAGAGAUUUAUUUGAUUCUGGAUUGGCGGUGGGGCCACGGGUGGGGCUAUAGGUGGAGCUGGCGCUGGUAUCCCAUGGGGAGCGUUUUCUCCCAUCAUGGCGAUAUAUUGAGUUACGGCCUCUAUGGCAGCGCGAGUUGAGGCAUCUGCUAUCAUGCGUUGGAGUGCGUCCUCGGUUAUUAGAACCGUUCGAGGAGCAAGGAGUGGUGGAUCGGCGGGUAGUGGGUCCCGAGGAGGGAUCACCUGAACCUCGCGAGGUGGAUCCCCAGUACGUGGCACGUGGAGGAGGUGGCUCCGCGGCACGUGGAGGAAGUGGCUCCGCGGCACGUGGAGGAAGUGGCUCCGCGGCACGUGGAGGAGGUGGCAUGCCAGAUCCUCCACGGACUGGAAGGUUAUUAGCUGUAUCAUUUUCUCUCCGAGCAGACGCCUCAGGAGGAUCUUGUUGGCUACGCGAUCAGGUUUGCAUCGUUCCCACAGACGGCGCCAAAAUGAUGAUGCUAAAAUAUAGCUCACCUAGGGUGGUGUAGAAAAUGAGUUGGGAGAGCAAAGCGGAUCAGUAGCUUGACAACUUGAUGAUCCUGAGGUCCCUGCGAAAUGAACACACGUGAACUACGCCGGGGGUUGAUCCGGCGGAAACCCUUCCGACGCUCAAGUCAGAUAUACGGAUUGCGGAGAUGGUAGAGAGAAUCAAAUGCUAGCUUGGUCGUGAAUAAUGAAAAUCAUACCUUUACAAAUGAGUAAAACAUCUAUUUAUAUAUCGGUGAUUGGGUUGGGCUUACUUUGUUGGGCCCAAGCCUUACUUUGAAGGUGUUUGGGCUUUCGUGUAGUGGGCCUAAUUAGUAAAUAAAUAUGAGGGCCCAUAGGGCCGGCUCAUUUAUGUAUAUCAUUCUUUAUCUGUGAUUAUUAGGAUUGACUCGACAGAGCUAUUUUGAUAAUUAGACAGUAAGUAUAAGAACCUUCGAGUAGUUUUCACCAGAUGAGUGUGUCAAUUGCAUGUGGUGUCGUAGACAUACAUAUAUCACCUUAGGUAGCUGUUGGCCGAAAACCUACACGCAAGUGCACGUAUCGUACAAGUAAUAUAGUGGACAAUUAAGUCCGGAUAUCGAACCCACAGGGAAUAUUUAAUUACUCAAUCCUAGACGCUAAAUCCUAGCAAUUAUUACCAAACCCACCCUACACAGUCGAAUUUAGAGAGAAUUAACUAAAUUAAACUAAAUUAAAAAGCAAGCAAAAACAAGAAAGCAGUUUAAAACAAAGAUUUAAUCAGAGAAAACGAGCCUACGAUUUUAUUCUUCCCCCUAUGUGAUUAUUAUUCCCCCAAUUCCUUCAAUUAUGCAAGCAAUUAACCCAGAUUAUUAACCUGAGAUGCUAAAAUAAUCAUAACCCGCUACCGCGUGUGUUACGAUUCUAAUACUCUAGAUUCAAUUACUAUAUUCCUAUGCAAUUAAUUCUAGAAAACAGCAUUAAGCAAAAAUCUCAAUAAUGGCUACCGAAGAGAUUAACUAUAUUCCUAUGUUAAUACCACAAAGGCUCUUCUACCAUAGUUCUAAUUAUUAACCCGAUCUUCCGAUUCAUGCGAUUAACAAUAACAUAAAAGCACAUAAGGUGAUCAAGUUCAUGCACUUAAUAAAACAAGUAGAAGAAAUAAUCCGGAAUUAAAACUUGCAUAAAAUCAUAGAAAAGGGUUCAUAAAUCCCAUAUAGGGUUCCAAAUAAAAUCCUAGAAAUAAGUAGUUUAGCUACUCAUGAUUAAAGGAAAACGCAAUUAAAAUAAAUCAUAGACGAUAAAUCUAUGCUUGGAGUCUUCGAAUUCUUCGUCUUCGUUAUUGCUUUGUUGCUCUCCAAAUUGCGUCCAAAGAUGGCCCCCUAAUUGUGUGCUUGACUUGGUCUUAUAUAGGUUGGAAAACUUGGGGAAGAAGGUAGUUUGAGAACUUUUGCUUGUCCUCAAACUUGAACUUUUGCUUGUCCUCAAGCAAAAUCUACCAUUAAGCAAAUAACUCAACAAUAACAUCUCAUCACAUAGAUCAAUGAUCAACUUCACGUUUUCAGAACUUGUAAUUAUAAUGACAAUUCUUAGGCAUUCGCAAGCUCAAAAUUCAACAACACUUAGUCACUCAGCAUUACCAAAAACCACAAUUCAUACAAUUGCUUCAAGCAUCCAAUAUUUGCAAAUUAAAGAUAGAAAUAAUUUAUACUUACAUACAUAUGCUUGACUCCAAAUACUCACCAAAUUAUUCUACUCUACUAAUAUCGAACAUUAAGCUAUUGGGAUCAUUGGGGCUUUGUGGCUUUCAAUUGUUAGGCUCUUUGGUUCGAGGUAGGAAAUAUGGGUAUAUGUGGCUAUUCUUCUUGAAUUUAGGUGAUUACGCCAAAAUUUGAAAGAUAGGCGUUUGAAACAAUGAAUUCACCUCUACGGACUUUAAUAAACUCGGUUCUCAAAAGAUCAAAAGUCUCCACUUUUGCUUUUGAGACAAUGAAUCGAGUUUUCAAAAAUAAUUCAACAACUUGUCCUUAUUUCUCCCUUCUAGUCUCUUCUUCUUCUCUUUUUCUCUCUUUUUCUCUCUUUUUUUUUCUUUUAUAUAUAUAUAUAUAUAUAUAUAUAUAUAUAUAUAUAUAUAUAUAUAUAUAUAUAUAUAUAUAUGGAAGCAUAGAUGUUUGUCUUCUUUUUUUUUCUUUUUCUUUUUCUGUUCUUUUUUUUAUUUCGAGGAAGAAGAAGAAGGACCUUAUAAAAAUUUUCGACCGAACUCCAAGGGGUAAUUUUUCAAGAAUCUCCACCUAUUCUACCUUACACAUUGGCUAAAAGAAAAGAACACCUUUUCUCCGAUGCUCAAAUCAAGGUUCUAAGGAUAAUUUCGAUAAAAAGGUUGGCUUGAAAGGCUCAAACGAUUCAAAGAAAGCCCAAAUCAUAUCCCAAAUCACUCACUACUCAAUUCUUCGUAUCAUAAAUUUCUUAAGUUGAGUUCUAAAACCAAACAUAGCAUGAUCUAGCACAAAUUAAUUCCAAAUUUAAAAUACAAAACAUUCAACCAAAGCAAUGCACAAAGUGUGAUUCCUAGCAAUAAUUCGCUUCUAAGUUCCGUUGAAUCGAAAGCUAAACAAACAUCUAAUCCUUAUCACACAAAACAAGCAAUUUCAUCAUCAAACAUUGAUCAUCUCUCAUCAUCAUAACUCAUCGAUGCAUUCGACUCAAGCAAUUAUUUUUUUUUUAAUUUUUUUUUUCCGGAAAAAUGAUAAAAGCAAUAAAAAUAAAUAAAUCCUAAUGCAUGCAAACUAAAACAAAUAAGCACAAACACAUGUUUUUCACACCCAAACUUAAAAUUUUCGUUGCCCUCAACGAAAUUAGCACAAAGUAUAAGGAUAGAAAACACCUGAUUUAGUCGGAAACGAUGUCUUCGGGGUGUGAGAAUUUGUGGGAAAGAAAUUUGAUUUUCCUCUUGCGAAGAUGCCCUCUCUGUCUCUCGGAUGACCGUCCCGAUCGCAAUUCCGACCUUAAAAAUAAGAAAUCAAAUAAAUUAAUUAGAAUGCAUGCCUAUGAAAAUAAAAAUAAAACAUAAAAUUAAAGAAAAAUAUAAAAAACAGUAAAGCUCGUGUUGCCUCCCGAGAAGCGCUAAGUUUAAAGUCUUCAGCCGGAUGUUGCUUCUUGAAAUUUUUAUGUCCAAUCCAAAGCCUUGUAGAUUGCGCAUCCAUCCAUUGGCUUUAUAACUUCAAUUGGAACCAAUACAUGAAUAGCAUUGCAAUAUGUCAGGGUCCACUUUAGCUUGUAGUCUUUCUUGGAUGUAAUCAAUCGGUACGAAGCCAAGAUGGGAUCUUCAUCACCCGCUCCCUCAAAUCGGUACACAAAAGCCUCACGUCCGCGUAUAAGCUCCACUUCAAACACAUUCGCCUUCUUAUCAACCUCUAUUGAUGCCUUCAAAGCCACGUCAUGAACAACAAUAAUAUUCUCAAUUUGACUAUUUGCACUAACCACAUCCAUCUCCUUCUUCUCUUGUUCCGAGACAUCUUUGGAGUUUAGCUCAAUUGCAUUGUCAGAUUCAUCAUCCUUAAGCAUCUUCAUAAUUUCUUUUUCCCUCUCAUCGACACUAUUUUCUUGGUCUAAAGGACUUUUCUCACUACAAAUUUCAAACAGAUUUUCUUUGUUGCAACCUGAUAAGGAACUCAAAAUUGGAUUCGAAUUGGAAAAUAACUAUUUAAUUGGUAGAAGAGUUAUUUAUGGGCAUCGGUGGAGAUACCGAAAGAAAUUACGGAAAAAUAAGGGUUUUCAACGAACUCAAAUUGUAUUUGAGUACGAAACGAACUCUAUCUCAAGUAAAACGGCGUAAUGAACAAAACUCAUGAGCAUAGCUCAUGAAUCACGUCAAAUUUCAGCAAUCCAAGGUCGUUUGGACUCCUAAAAGUUCGUUUUUGCUAUUUUAGGUAAGUUUUAGAAAAUUAAUAUCAAAUCAUAGAAAAAUCGUAUUAGGAUUCCGUAAAUUGGGUUGUUCCCAAAAUUACGAGAUCUACUAGAAUUAGGAUUUAACUCGUUUUUGCCUUUUUUUGGUAAUUUUUAGUAUUUUCUUAGUUUAAUUAGGGUUUUCAGUUUUUUAGUAUAAAUAGCUGCCUUAGGACUUUAUUUUAAGAAGAAUUUCGAAUUUUAAUAAAAUCUUUAGAGUUUUCUCUAUUUUUCUGGUGGAUUCCAGAGUUUUCGGUGGAUUCCGAAUGUUAUUUUGUUCUAUAGGAUUAAUUCGUAGAAAUUAAUUCUUUACCGUGUUUCCGUCCUGCGUCAGUUGGCAUCAGUAGCGAGGUUUUUACUGGUUAGAUGGCGAAAGGUGCGAGAUAUGGAGACAACAACUACGUUGGCGAUGACCGCGGGGUUGAGAAACUGCAAAAUCUGCGGUUGGUGCGCGAGGGAUUUGCCCUUGACAACAACAACAGAAGGACUGAAUCUAACACGAUGAUUGCCGACGGUGUAGCCCGAGGUGCAUAUGUUAGACAGAAUUAUCAUGGACCUGUUCAACUUCAAUCAAGGUAUGAUGACUACUCAAAGGUGAGCCGCAACUCUUAUUUUGAAGAAAAUCCGCCUAUAAAGAGGCAAAAGGAUCGUGAUAAAUAUCGGGUAAGAGCUGAAAUUCCUUCUUUUAGUGGAAAUUUUCUUGAAGUUGAGGAUUUUAUCGAUUGGGUGUCAGAAGUCGAAAAUUAUUUUGAAUUGAUGGAUAUUUUGCCGAAUAAGAUGGUAAAAUUAGUUAGGUGUGAGUUAAAGGGUUGUGCAGCCGCAUGGUGGGAUGAAAUACAGAGGAAGAGAGCUAGACAGGAAAAGUUUCCAAUCCAAUCAUGGAGGAGGAUGAGGAGAAUGUUGAUGGAUCGUUUUUUACCCCUAGGUUAUGAACAACGUGUAUUUCAACUAUAUCGUAAUUGUUCGCAAGGGAGUAGAUCUGUUAACAAGUAUACUGCUGAGUUUAUGAGACUAGCAAACUUAAAUAACCUGCAAGAAUCCGAAAGUAUGGAAAUUUCAAGGUACUUGCAAGGAUUGAAUAUUUCAAUCCGUCUUAGGAUGGGGUGGCGCGCAUUCGACUCCCUUGAAGAGGCCCAAGAGUUAGCAUGUGAGGAGGAAUAUUAUCAGAAGCAAAAUAGAUACUCUAGAAAAACCGAAGAUGUUCCACCCGUUGUCAAAGUUAAGGAAGCACAAGGUACUUCGUUUGUUAUUCAACCUCCAAAUUUGGUGGAGGGUCACGACGUAGGUGUUGACGAAUUUGAAGAGGAAAUUGUCACAAAAGUUAAAAUUAGCGUAGCUAUGAUUAACGAUGACAUUAACGAAAUCAAGGUGAAAGUCGAUGAAGUUGAAGGAAGAGUCAAGGAGGUUGAAGAGAGCAUCAACAUAGUCGAAGAGAGCGUCAACGAGGUAGAAGAGAACGUUAGCAAGGUUGAAGAGAGAGAGUCGAUGAGUUUCAAGAGAGUGUUAAAAACAAAUUUGAGGAAGAAUUUGAAGUUGUAAAAUUUGUUCAAGAAGAGGAAGGUGCACGUGAAGAGAAGGAACAAGUGGAUUGCGUCGAGGUAUGUGAUCUAAUUGUAGAUAGUGUUUGCUGUGAAGUUCCUGUAAUGGAGAAAUUGGUGGAGCCAUUGAGAUUUUCGAUUAAGAAGCCAAUUUUUCCAACGCCUCGUUGGGAUGAAGAUUUUGUAAGCGAGAUUUUUGUCCCGGGAAUAUUGGUGGAGCACUUGAAGUUGUUUGCAAAGAAAUAUGCAUCGCUAUAUUUUGAUCAUAGCUCGAGGUCGAGCUCUUUUGAAGAAGAGGAGAUUGAUAAGGAACGCAAAAUUGGAUUCGAAUUGGAAAAUAACUAUUUAAUUCGUAGAAGAGUUAUUUAUGGGCAUCGGUGGAGAUACCGAAAGAAAUUACGGAAAAAUAAGGGUUUUCAACGAACUCAAAUUGUAUUUGAGUACGAAACGAACUCUAUCUCAAGUAAAACGGCGUAAUGAACAAAACUCAUGAGCAUAGCUCAUGAAUCACGUCAAAUUUCAGCAAUCCAAGGUCGUUUGGACUCCUAAAAGUUCGUUUUUGCUAUUUUAGGUAAGUUUUAGAAAAUUAAUAUCAAAUCAUAGAAAAAUCGUAUUAGGAUUCCGUAAAUUGGGUUGUUCCCAAAAUUACGAGAUCUACUAGAAUUAGGAUUUAACUCGUUUUUGCCUUUUUUUGGUAAUUUUUAGUAUUUUCUUAGUUUAAUUAGGGUUUUCAGUUUUUUAGUAUAAAUAGCUGCCUUAGGACUUUAUUUUAAGAAGAAUUUCGAAUUUUAAUAAAAUCUUUAGAGUUUUCUCUAUUUUUCUGGUGGAUUCCGAAUGUUAUUUUGUUCUAUAGGAUUAAUUCGUAGAAAUUAAUUCUUUACCGUGUUUCCGUCCUGCGUCACAACCAUUCUCGAUAUCGUCUGAAAUAUUUUCAAGAGACCUUUGGCGCUUGAAUUCUUCAAACUGUAACUCCAGUCUUCGGAUAGAUGCUUGAGUGGAUUUCAUAAAUUCUUCAAGGACGGAGUUCAAAUAACACUCCUGAACAGUGGGUUCUCGUGGCGUGUUGGUGUAUGUGUUCCAAUAACCGCCGUUGGUGUUAUCUAUGAAAUUAUUCGCUUUCGGUGCAUACCAACAUUGGUUAGUGUAAUGAUCUCCACCACAUAUUGAACAAAGUGACGACAUAUCAUAGGUAUUUUGGAGGUAUUCGCCAGACGGAAGCCAUUCAUAUCCCGUUUGAGGUGCGCGAAAAUUGAAACCUGACAUGUAACCAAAGAAAAAAAAAUAUAUUAAAAAAAAUUAAUUUGGGUGAAUCGUGAAAAUUGUUCAAAUUUAGAGCUAGAAUAAAAUAAAUAAUUAAAAUAUUUCCCGGUAACGGCGCCAAAAACUUGUUGGCCGAAAACCUACACGCAAGUGCACGUAUCGUACAAGUAAUAUAGUGGACAAUUAAGUCCGGAUAUCGAACCCACAGGGAAUAUUUAAUUACUCAAUCCUAGACGCUAAAUCCUAGCAAUUAUUAUCAAGCCCACCCUACACAGUCGAAUUUAGAGAGCAUUAACUAAAUUAAACUAAAUUAAAAAGCAAGCAAAAACAAGAAAGCAGUUUAAAACAAAGAUUUAAUCAGAGAAAACGAGCCUAGGAUUUUAUUCUUCCCCCUAUGUGAUUAUUAUUCCCCCAAUUCCUCCAAUUAUGCAAGCAAUUAACCCGGAUUAUUAACCUGAGAUGCUAAAAUAAUCAUAACCCGCUUCCGCGUGUAUUACGAUUCUAAUACUCUAGAUUCAAUUACUAUAUUCCUAUGCAAUUAAUUCUAGAACACAACAUUAAGCACAAAUCUCAAUAAUGGCUACCUAAGAGAUUAACUAUAUUCCUAUGUUAAUACCACAAAGGCUCUUCUACCAUAGUUCUAAUUAUUAACCCGAUCUUCCGAUUCAUGCGAUUAACAAUAACAUAAAAGCACAUAAGGUGAUCAAGUUCAUGCACUUAAUAAAACAAGUAGAAGAAAUAAUCCGGAAUUAAAACUUGCAUAAAAUCAUAGAAAAGGGUUCAUAAAUCCCACAUAGGGUUCCAAAUAAAAUCCUAGAAAUAAGUAGUUUAGCUACUCAUGAUUAAAGGAAAAACGCAAUUAAAAUAAAUCAUAGACGAUAAAUCUAUGCUUGGAGUCUUCGAAUUCUUCGUCUUCGUUAUUGCUUUGUUGCUCUCCAAAUUGCGUCCAAAGAUGGCCCCCUAAUUGUGUGCUUGACUUGGUCUUAUAUAGGUUGGAAAACAUGGGGAAGAAUGUAGUUUCCUUGUGCAAUUAGGAUUCCUUUACUGCGUUUUUUCGUCAUCUCGGACGGCCGUCCCGAAUUUUGUACUAAAACUCGGACGGCCGUCAAACAACCAGAGACUGCUUCUUGUUCUCAGACGGGGGUCCCGGAAUUUGAACUAAAACUCGGACGGGGGUCCGAGCUUUAAAUCUUCAGAAUUUUGAUUUUUUCACUUUUGGCCCAUAUUUUCUGCAAAAUUACAGUUUUGACCCCAUACUUUUCCAAUUCUUCAAUUUGUACCUAAAAUACAAUAAAUCAACUUUUUAUGCACCAAUUAUCGUUAAAAUACACCAAAAGCUCAAAUAAAAAGGUACGAUAAAGUGUAAAAAUAUACACUUAACAAUAGCCAUUUACGAGACUAGUUAGUUAAUGCUUUACUCAUAAUUUGUUUGUAUAGACAUAUAGUGAACCGUUUAUGAAUAAUAGAAUCAUAAUACACGCGACAGCGGGUUAUGAGUAAAUUAGUGUCUCGGGUUAAUAAUCAUGAAUCAUAUAUUUCAUAAUUGAGGGGUUUUGGGUGAGCAAUUCUUGCGUAGGGGGAAGAUAAAAUCCUAGGUCCGUUUUUAUUGAUAUUUUCUCGUGUUAAUUUGCUUUAAUAAUUAGUUUAAUUAUUUGGUUGAUUACAUUUGACAAUUUUACGGUGGCGGGAUAAAAAUCAUACAUGUUAGAAUUUGGUACUUAGGAUUAGAUAAUUUGAGUAUUCCCUGUGGGAUCGACAUCCGACUCUCACGAGUCCACUUUUACUACUUGUUUGCGAUACGUGCACUUGCGUGUUAGGUAUUUAGCACCCAACAAGUUUUUGUCGCCGUUGCCGGGGAAUACGGCUAAAUUAUCUAUUUAUUCUAAUAUCAAAUUUGAGCAAUUUUUUUUACUUCAGCCAUUUAAUUUUAAUUUUUUAUUUUUAUUUUUAAUUUUUAUUUUUUUGUUUUUGUUACAUGUCUGGUUACAAUCUUCGGGCACCUCAAACGGGAUAUGAAUGGCUUCUAAGUGACGAAUACCUCCAAAACACCUGUGAUAUGCCUCCGUUUUGUUCAGCAUGUGGUGGAAAUCAUUAUUCCGAUCAAUGUUGGGGAUCACCAAAAGUGACAAAUUUCGUCGAAAUUACCAACGGAGGUUAUUGGAACACUUACACCAACACAUACGAGCAAAGCUUUCAAGACAAAGAUUUGAACAAGUUUCAACAUAGAGAGCCACAAUUUUAUGAUUUUCAAAAUUAUUAUCCCUCGCAGCAACAAACCACUAAUGAACCACUUGAUUUGGUAUCCCUCGUUGCCGAAUUCAUGAAGUCCACUCAAGCAUCAUUUCGAAACAUGGAGAUACAACUGGAAGAGAUGACGCUCAAAUUAAAAUCUGAGUCUCUUGAAAAUAUUCCAGACGAAAUUGGCAAUGGUUAUAUCAAAGAAAAUUCGGGUGAAGCCUGCGGUGAGAAAAAUCUUCCAUGUCCAGGAAAUAGUGUCGAUAUGAGAGAAAUAGAAAUUACGAAGACACUUGAGGAUGAUGAAUCUGAGAAUGCAAUCGAGCUAAACUCCAAAGAUGUCUCGGAACAAGAGAAGAAGGAGAUGGAUGUGGUUAGUGCAAAUAUUCAAAUUGAGGAUCUUAUUGUUGUUCAUGAUGUGGCUUUGAAGGCAUUAAUAGAGGUUGACAAGAAGCGAAUGUGUUUGAAGUGGAGGUUAUACACAGACUUGAGGUUUUUGUGUACCGAUUUGAGGGAGCGGGUGAUGAAGAUGCCAUCUUGGCUUCGUACCGAUUUAUUACAACAAAAAAAGACUACAAGUUAAGGUGGACCGUGACAUAUUGCAGUGCAAUCCAUGCCUUGGUUGCAAUUGAAGUGAUAAUGAUCAUGGAUGGAUUCGCAAUCUACAAGGCUUUGGAUUGGAUAACGAUUUCAAGAAGCAAAGUCCGGCUGAAGAAUUAGAAUUUAGCGCUUCUCGAGAGGCAACCCGAGCGUUUAUUGUUUUCUUUUUUUUCUCAUAUUUUUCGUAUUUUUAGUUGUUUUUGAUUUUCUUAGAAUAUUUAUAAGCGGGCAAUCUAAUAAUUUAAUCAUGUUUGAAUUUUUAGGUCGAAAAACGGACACAAAGAGUCCAGACGGCCGUCCGAAAAUCAAGCCAAAACCCCAGACGGCCGUCCGGAGAAGUUACGACGAAUUGUGAACCUACUGUUUGUGGGACGGCCGUCCCAAAAACAGUGCAAAACGUGGGACGGCCGUCCGGAACACCCCUGAAAAAAAAAGGUGUUUGCUUGAAAGAAGAAGAGAUGGAGGGGUGCAACACGUGGAGGACGUUUCAACUAAUCAAGGUGUAUUCUAUCCUUAAAUUUCGUUUUAAUUACAUUGAGAACAAUGUAAUUUUUAAGUUUGGGGGUGGAAAAACAGUUUUUAUGUGCUUUAUAGCUUUUAGAUUGCAUGCUUUAGGAUUUUAUUUCUUUAUAGUCGUUUUCGUUUAUUUAUUAUUUUCUUUAAAAAAAAAUUGCUUGAGUCGAACGCAUCGAUGAGUUAUGAUGAUGAGAGAUGAUCAAUGUGUGAUGAUGAAAUUGCUUGUUUUGUUGUGAUAAGGAUUAGAUGUUUGUUUAGCUUUCGAUUCAACGGAACAAAGAAACGAAUUAUUGCUAGGAAUCACACUUUGUGCAUUGCUUUAGUUGAAUAUUUUGUAUUUUAAAUUUGGAGUUAAUUUGUGUUAGAUCAUGCUAUGUUCGGUGUUAGACCUCACCUUAGGAAAUUUAUGAUACGAAGUAUUGAGUAGUGAGUGAUUUGGGAUAUGAUUUGGGACUUCUUUGAUCCGUUUGAGCCUUUCAAGCCGACGUUUUUAUCGAAAUUUUCCUUAGAACCUUGAUUUGAGCCUCUGAGAAAAGGUGUUCUUUCUCUUAGCCAAUGUGUAUAAGGUAGAAUAGAUGGAGAUUCUUGAAAAAUUACCCCUUGGAGUUCGGUUGAAAUUAUUUAUAAGCUCUCUCUUCUUCAUAAAAAAAAAGAAAAAAAAAGAAAAAAAAAGACGAAGAAGUAUAUAGGCUUCUAUAUAUAUAUUUAUAAAAGAAAAAAAAAAAAAAAAAAAAAGAGAGAGAGAGAAGAAGAAGAAGAGCUAGAAGUGAGAAGAAAGGACUAGUUAUUGAAAUUAUUUUUGAAAGCUCGAUCUAUUGCCUCAAAAGCAAAAGUGGAGACUUUUGAACUUUUGAGAAACGAGUUAAUUAAAGUCCUUAGAGGUGAAUUCAUUGUUUCAAACGCCUAUCUUUCAAAUUUUGGCGUAAUCACCUCAAUUGAUGAAUAAUAGCCACAUAUACCCAUAUUUCCUACCUCGAACCAAAGAGCCUAACAAUUGAAAGCCAAAAAGCCCCAAUGAUCCCAAUAGCUUAAUGUUCGAUAUGAGUAGAGUAGAAUAAUUUGGUGAGUAUUUGGAGUCAAACAUACGCAUGUAAGUAUAAAUUUUUUCUAUCUUUAAUUUACAAAUAUUGGAUGCUUGAAGCAAUUGCAUGAUUUGUGUUUUUUGGCUAUGGUAGGUGACUAAUUGCUUUUGAAUUUUGAGCUUCCGAAUGCCUAAGAAUUUUCAUUAUAAUUACAAGUUCUGAAAACGUGGAUUUGGUCAUUAAUCUAUGUGAUGAGAUGCGGUAGUUGAGUUUUUUGCUUACGAUUAGAUUUUGCUUGAGGACAAGCAAAAGUUCAAGUUUGGGGGUGUGUUGAGUGUAGAUAUUACACUCAAUAUGUUUACUUUACGUGGAUCUUUUGUUUAGAUUUAAUUAUAUUUGUGCUUUAAUUGAUUGAUUUUGUGUUUUAUAGGUGAAAAACGAGAAUUAAGUGUCCAUGAAGGAAAAAAAUAUCAAAAAGAAAGGAAAAAGUUGCAAAUAAGGAAACAAAUCAAAUUGGAAGGAAUCUCGCCACAACUUUGACAGUGUCCACCAUUUCGAACUCCGAUUUAGGUGAUUUUGACGGCAAUAGAAAGCUAAUUUCAAGGGAUACAAUUCUUAUUUACACAACAUUCCAAAAUUCGGACUCCAACAUGGCACAAAUUGACGAACAAAUCCUGAUGGGGGAAAGUGGCGGAAAUCGAUUCCUAUUAGGUUUUUACUACUUCCUUAUCAAGAAAAGCCAAUAAAAGCAACAAGUCUCAACACCAUAAGUACGAAAUUUUAAAACACAAAACGCGAAGAACGAAGAUCAACGAAGACUCAAGCAUAGUUUUUCUUAUUUAUUUUAUUUAUUCUAUUUGUUUAUCAUAAGAAUUACACGUAGCUAAGUUUUUAAUCUAGGAUUUUGUCGGAACCCUAUGUGGGGAUGGUGAACCCGUUUUCUUGAGAUUAUGCAAUUAUGAUUUUAUGAUUAUUUCUUCUACUUGUUAUGAGUGUUAUUGCAUGAACUUGAUCAAUUUAUGUGCUUUAUCUGUGAUUAUUGGGAUUGACUCGAUAGAGCUAUUUUGAUAAUUAGACGGUAAGUAUAAGACCCUUCGAGUAGUUUUCACCGGAUGAGUGUGUCAAUUGCAUUUGGUGUCGUAGACAUACAUAUAUCACCUUAGGUAGCCAUUUACGAGACUUGUUAGUUAAUGGUUUACUCAUAAUUUGUUUGCAUAGACAUAUAGUGAACCGUUUAUGAAUAAUAGACUCAUAAUACACGCGACAGCGGGUUAUGAGUAAAUUAGUGUCUCGGGUUAAUAAUCAUGAAUCAUAUAUUUCAUAAUUGAGGGGUUUUGGGUGAGCAAUUCUUGCAUAGGGGGAAGAUAAAAUCCUAAGUCCGUUUUUAUUGAUAUUUUCUCGUGUUAAUUUGCUUUCAUAAUUAGUUUAAUUAUUUAGUUGAUUAAAUUUGACAAUUUUGCGUAGGUUGGAUAAAAAUCAUAAUUGUUAGAAUUUGGUACUUAGGAUUAGAUAAUUUGAGUAUUCCCUGUGGGAUCGACAUCCGACUCUCACGAGUCCAUUUUUACUACUUGUUUGUGCUACGUGCACUUGCGUGUUAGGUAUUUCGCACCCAACAAGUUUUUGGCGCCGUUGCCGGGGAAUACGGCUAAAUCAUCUAUUUAUUCUAAUAUCAAAUUUGAGUAAUUUUUUUUACUUCAGCCAUUUAAUUUUAAUUUUUUAUUUUUAUUUUUAAUUUUUAUUUUUUUGUUUUUGUUACAUGUCUGGUUACAAUCUUCGGGCACCUCAAACGGGAUAUGAAUGGCUUCCAAGUGACGAAUACCUCCAAAACACCUGUGAUAUGCCUCCGUUUUGUUCAGCAUGUGGUGGAAAUCAUUAUUCCGAUCAAUGUUGGGGAUCACCAAAAGCGACAAAUUUCGUCGAAAUUACCAACGGAGGUUAUUGGAACACUUACACCAACACAUACGAGCAAAGCUUUCAAGACCAAGAUUUGAACGAGUUUCAACAUAGAGAGCCACAAUUUUCUGAUUUUCAAAAUUAUUAUCCCUCGCAGCAACAAACCACUGAUGAACAACUUGAUUUGGUAUCCCUCAUUGCCGAAUUCAUGAAGUCCACUCAAGCAUCAUUUCGAAACAUGGAGAUACAACUGGAAGAGAUGACGCUCAAAUUAAAAUCUGAGUCUCUUGAAAAUAUUCCAGACGAAAUCGGCAAUGGUUAUAUCAAAGAAAAUUCGGGUGAAGCCUGCGGUGAGAAAAAUCUUCCAUGUCUAGGAAAUAGUGUCGAUGUGAGAGAAAUAGAAAUUACGAAGACACUUGAGGAUGAUGAAUCUGAGAAUGCAAUCGAGCUAAACUCCAAAGAUGUCUCGGAACAAGAGAAGAAGGAGAUGGAUGUGGUUAGUGCAAAUAUUCAAAUUGAGGAUCUUAUUGUUGUUCAUGACGUGGCUUUGAAGGCAUUAAUAGAGGUUGACAAGAAGGCGGAUGUGUUUGAAGUGGAGGUUAUACACAGACUUGAGGUUUUUGUGUACCGAUUUGAGGGAGCGGGUGAUGAACAUUCCAUCUUGGCUUCGUACCGAUUGAUUACAACAAAAAAAAGACUACAAGUUAAGGUGGACCGUGACAUAUUGCAGUGCUACCCAUGCCUUGGUUGCAAUUGAAGUGAUAAUGAUCAUUGAUAGAUGCGCAAUCUACAAGGCUUUGGAUUGGACAUAACGAUUUCAAGAAGCAAAGUUCGGCUGAAGACUUAAAAUUUAGCGCUUCUCGGGACGCAACCCGAGCAUUUAUCGUUUUUUUUUUUUCUCAUAUUUUUCGUAUUUUUAGUUGUUUUUGAUUUUCUUAGAAUAUAUAUAAGCGUGCAAUCUAAUAAUUUAAUCAUGUUUGAAUUUUUAGGUCGAAAAACGGACACAAAGAGUCCAGACGGCCGUCCGAAAAUCAAGCCAAAACCCCAGACGGCCGUCCGGAGAAGUUACGACGAAUUGUGAACCUACUGUUUGUGGGACGGCCGUCCCAAAAACAGUGCAAAACGUGGGACGGCCGUCCGGAACACCCCUGAAAAAAAAAGGUGUUUGCUUGAAAGAAGAAGAGAUGGAGGGGUGCAACACGUGGAGGACGUUUCAACUAAUCAAGGUGUAUUCUAUCCUUAAAUUUCGUUUUAAUUACAUUGAGAACAAUGUAAUUUUUAAGUUUGGGGGUGGAAAAACAGUUUUUAUGUGCUUUAUAGCUUUUAGAUUGCAUGCUUUAGGAUUUUAUUUCUUUAUAGUCGUUUUCGUUUAUUUAUUAUUUUCUUUAAAAAAAAAUUGCUUGAGUCGAACGCAUCGAUGAGUUAUGAUGAUGAGAGAUGAUCAAUGUGUGAUGAUGAAAUUGCUUGUUUUGUUGUGAUAAGGAUUAGAUGUUUGUUUAGCUUUCGAUUCAACGGAACAAAGAAACGAAUUAUUGCUAGGAAUCACACUUUGUGCAUUGCUUUAGUUGAAUAUUUUGUAUUUUAAAUUUGGAGUUAAUUUGUGUUAGAUCAUGCUAUGUUCGGUGUUAGACCUCACCUUAGGAAAUUUAUGAUACGAAGUAUUGAGUAGUGAGUGAUUUGGGAUAUGAUUUGGGACUUCUUUGAUCCGUUUGAGCCUUUCAAGCCGACGUUUUUAUCGAAAUUUUCCUUAGAACCUUGAUUUGAGCCUCUGAGAAAAGGUGUUCUUUCUCUUAGCCAAUGUGUAUAAGGUAGAAUAGAUGGAGAUUCUUGAAAAAUUACCCCUUGGAGUUCGGUUGAAAUUAUUUAUAAGCUCUCUCUUCUUCAUAAAAAAAAAGAAAAAAAAAGAAAAAAAAAAGACGAAGAAGUAUAUAGGCUUCUAUAUAUAUAUUUAUAAAAGAAAAAAAAAAAAAAAAAAGAGAGAGAGAGAAGAAGAAGAAGAGCUAGAAGUGAGAAGAAAGGACUAGUUAUUGAAAUUAUUUUUGAAAGCUCGAUCUAUUGCCUCAAAAGCAAAAGUGGAGACUUUUGAACUUUUGAGAAACGAGUUAAUUAAAGUCCUUAGAGGUGAAUUCAUUGUUUCAAACGCCUAUAUUUCAGAUUUUGGCGUAAUCACCUCAAUUCAAGAAUAAUAGCCACAUAUACCCAUAUUUCCUACCUCGAACCAAAGAGCCUAACAAUUGAAAACCAAAUAGCCCAAAUGAUCCCAAUAGCUUAAUGUUCGAUAUUAGUAGAGUAGAAUAAUUUUGUGAGUAUUUGGAGUCAAACAUAUGCAUGUGAGCAUACAUUUUUUCUAUCUUUAAUUUACAAAUAUUGGAUGCUUGAAGCAAUUGCAUGAGUUGUGGUUUUUGCCUAUGGUAAGUGAUUAAGUGCUUUUGAAUUUUGAGCUUCCGAAUGCCUAAGAAUUUUCAUUAUAAUUACAAGUUCUGAAAACGUGGAUUUGGUCAUUAAUCUAUGUGAUGAGAUGCGGUAGUUGACUUUUUUUUCUUACGAUUAGAUUUUGCUUGAGGACAAGCAAAAGUUCAAGUUUGGGGGUGUGUUGAGUGUAGAUAUUACACUCAAUAUGUUUACUUUACGUGGAUCUUUUGUUUAGAUUUAAUUAUAUUUGUGCUUUAAUUGAUUGAUUUUGUGUUUUAUAGGUGAAAAACGAGAAUUAAGUGUCGAUGAAGGAAAAAAGAUCAAAAAGAAAGGAAAAAGUUGCAAAUAAGGAAACAAAUCAAAUUGGAAGAAGGAAUCUCGCCACAGCUUUGACAGUGUCCACCAUUUCGAGCAUAUCUCUCUCAUGCGAACUCCGAAUUAGGUGAUUUUGACUGCAUUAGAAAGCUAAUUUCAAGGGAUACAAUUCUUAUUUACAUAACAUUCCAAAAUUCGGACUCCAACAUGACACAAAUUGACGAACAAAUCCUGAUGGGGGAAAAGUGGCGGAAAUUGAUUCCUAUUAGGUUUCUACUACUUCCUUAUCAAGAUAAGCCUAUAAAAGCAACAAGUCUCAACAUCAUAAGUACGACAUUUUACACCACAAAACGCGAAGAACGAAGAUCAAUGAAGACUCAAGCAUUGUUUUUCUUAUUUAUUUUAUUUAUUCUAUUUUGUUUAUCAUAAUAAUUACGCGUAGCUAAGUUUUUAAUCUAGGAUUUUGUUGGAACUCUAUGUGGGGAUGGUGAACCCGUUUUCUUGAGAUUAUUCAAUUAUGAUUUUAUGAUUAUUUCUUAUACUUGUUAUGAUUGUUAGUGCAUGAACUUGAUCAAUUUAUGUGCUUUAUCUGUGAUUAUUGGGAUUGACUCGACAGAGCUAUUUUGAUAAUUAGACGGUAAGUAUAAGAACCUUCGAGUAGUUUUCAUCGGAUGAGUGUGUCAAUUGUAUGUGGUGUCGUAGACAUACAGAUAUCACCUUAGGUAGCCAUUUAUGUGACUUGUUAGUUAAUGCUUUAUUCAUUGGUUUGCAUAGACAUAUCGUGAAUCGUUUAUGAAUAAUAAACUCAUAAUACACGCGACAACGGGUUAUGAGUAAAUUAGUGUCUCGGGUUAAUAAUCAUGAAUCAUAUAUUUCAUAAUUGAGGGGUUUUGGGUGAGCAAUUCUUGCAUAGGGGGAAGAUGAAAUCCUAGAUCCGUUUUAUAUUGAUAUUUUCUCGUGAUUAUUUUCUUUCUUAAUUAGCUUAAUUGUUUAAUUGAUUUAAUUUGACAACUUUGCGUAGGUUGGAUAAAAAUCAUAAUUGUUAGAAUUUGGUACUUAGGAUUAGAUAAUUUGAGUAUUCCCUGUGGGAUCGACAUCCGACUCUUACGAGUCCACUUUUACUACUUGUUUGCGAUACGUGCACUUGCUUGUUAGGUAUUUAGCACCCAACAAGUUUUUGUCGUCGUUGCCGGGGAAUACGGCUAAAUUAUCUAUUUAUCCUAAUAUUAAAUUUGAGCAAUUUUUCUUACUUCAGCCAUUUUAUUUAUUUUGUUUAAUUAUUUUAUUUUUUUUAGGUACUUUUUAUGCGACAAGGGAAGAAGAGAAUAAUCAUAGGGGAGAUGACCAAGAGCAACUUCAACUAAUUAGUCCACCACCUCGUCAACGAGCAUUGCAUGAGUACACCGUUCCAACACUCAAUGGGUUUCAAUCAAGCAUCCAGCAACCCCCCAUUGAAGCCAACAAUUUCGAAAUUAGAGCGGGACUCCUUACAAUGCUCCAAAAUAAUGGGUUGUUCAGCGGAUUAGCUCAUGAAGAUCCACAUCUCCACUUGGUCACUUUCUCGAAACGUGUGAUUCGCACAGUACCACCCGAAGCACUGCAACUCCGCAUAUUCAAGCACUCUUUACAAGGAGCAGCCCGAGAAUGGUUACAAACUCGUGUGCCGCACUCCAUCUCGUCUUGGUCCCAGCUAGCACAACUCUUCAUGAACACAUAUAACUCCCCAACAAAAACUGAAAGAAUCCGGAGAGAAAUACAGAAUUUCAUACAAGAAGCCGGUGAAGCGCUAUUCGAGACAUGGGAGCGGUUCAAACAAUUAAUUCGGAGAUGCCCGAAUCACGGACUUCAAGAGUGGCGCCAACUGCAAAUAUUUUACGAUGGAUUGCAAGACAACUCGAAGACCUUGCUAGACUCUGCAGCUGGAGGAAUGUUCAUGAGUUUGACCUACGACGAAGCAUACGAACUUUUGGAGAGAAUCGCUAGAAAUAAAUACAUGCGGGGAUCGGAUCGGUCAAAUAGACGAGAUGUCAAGACGGGAGGAAUUUUGGAGUUAGACGGGGUCACUGCAAUCACGGCACAAUUAGAGAAGCUAUCAAAGCAAGUUGAAGCUUUGCAGACUCAGCAAGUCUAUGCAAUCCAAGGUCCCGACCGGUGCUUAGAAUAAACGGAUUCUCUAAACUACGUGAAUGACACCAACCGACAACAGAGGAACCUGCACUCCAACAUUUAUAAUCCGGGAUGGAGAGACCACCCAAACUUUGGACGGGGAGGAAAUCAGCAAAGUCAAGGCCAAGCACCGCCACAAGGUCAACCUCAACCAAGACCUCAGCCAGCUCCCGGAUUCCAAAAUUCACCUCAAGCUCCGGCCCAAAAAGGAGAUCUCGCGAACAUCUUAGCUCAAUUCAUGACAUCAACUCAAGCUUCCAUUCGAAAUUUGAAAACACAGAUGGGUCAGCUUGCAACCCAGGUAAACGCGAGGCCAUCGGGAGCACUGCCGUCGAAUACGGAAGAUCCUCGGAAGAACAACAUAGAGCAGUGCAAUGCAGUAAGUUUGCGAAAUGGGAGGCAAUUAGAGAAAGGUCCUAAAGAGUACGUUGCACCACCGCCUAUUGAAGAGGAGCCCAAGAAAAAAACUGAGGUCGGGCCAAGCAACACAAAGAUCACAGUAAGUGAACCUACUCCCAAUGUACCCUUCCCUCAACGUUUUCAAAAUUCUAAGCUUGAUAUGCAAUUUUAGUUGUUUUUGGAUUAUCUUAAAAAGUUGCAUGUUAAUAUUCUUUUUAUUGAAGCACUUAAGCAUAUGCCGAAUUGGGUUAAGUUUAUAAAGGAACUUGUAUAGAAGAAGAUGAGGCUUCCGGAGUGUGCAACAAUAAUAGACUUAAAUGAGCAAAGUAGUGCUAUCCUUGCAAAUAAAAUUCCACCGAAGCUUAAAGAUCCGGGGAGUUGUACAAUUCUAUGCACAAUAGGUACUAGGUAUUUUGGGCGGGCGUUGUGUGAUCAAGGGGUGAGCGUAAAUUUAAUGCCUUUAUCAAUUUAUGAGAAAUUGAAUUUAGGAGAAAUUAAGCCCACUUCCGUGACCUUGCAGCUAGACGAUAGAUCUUUUACUCACCCUUUAGGUAUAGUGGAGGAUGUAUUGGUCAAGGUAGAUAAGUUUAUACUCCCGGCCGAUUUUCUAGUACUAGACAUAGAGGAAGAUGAAAAUAUUCCCCUUAUCUUAGGACGCCCCUUCUUAGCAACUAGUAGGUCAAUUAUUUAUGUAGGAAAGAGAGAGCUAACAAUGAGUGUGGGGGAAGAAACAAUGGUCUUCAAGGUGUACCGGGUGGAUGAAAAGCCUAUUAUGGCUAAUGGAUGUUAUCUUCUUGAUGAGGUAAGUGAUUCUCAACUUUUUCCUGUUAAAUUACAUGAUUUAAAAAAUUUUGUGGAUACUAAUGUGCAUGUAGGAGAACAAAAGAAAAAGGUUGAGUUGGUUACAACACCUACUCAAAACACCGUGAUAAAAGACGAUGUUGGCACGCCUCAUGACAUCAAGAAGAAUAAAUUCAAGGGCAUUCCUAAGCGAACCAGUAGAAAGAAGAAUCGGAUCAACCCAUUUAUUCAAGACUUUCUCCAAAAGGAAGUAAGGACAUGGGUUCAAAAGCUAAGGAAUUGAAGAGCAUGAACAAAGUCUGGCUGAAGACUGUAAACUUAGCGCUUCUCGGGAGGCAACCCGAGAUUUUCGUUUUUUUUUUUAUUUCUUUUUCUUGUUUUAUUUUAUUUAUUUAUUUUAUAAGCAUGCAAACUAAAAAUUUAAACAUGUUUUAAUUUUUAGGACAAAAAAUUGCAGCUCGGGAGCUCAUACGGCCGUCCCAAAACAAGGCAAAAGAUCACACGGCCGUGCGAGAAACAAACAGCUACUGCCCAAUUUUGGCAAUUCGCACGGCCGUGCGGAAAAUAGUUCAAAAUCUCAUACGGCCGUGCGAAGCUCAACAGAAGCAUAAUAAGAGCGAGGGUGGAGAGCAAACCGGAGAUGGCCACGACAACUUAUUCAGGUGUACUCUAUCCUUAAACUUCGUGCUAAUUACAUUAAGGGCAAUGUAAAUUUUAAGUUUGGGGGUGGAAAUUUACUUGUUUUAUGUGCUUUAAUUUUUAGUUUGCAUGCCUUAGGAUUUUUGUUUAUUUUACUUAUUUUAGUUUAUUUAUUACUUUCGGAAAAAACAAAAAAAUUGUGAUAAAUGCAUCGAUGAAUCAUGAUGAUGAAAGAUGGUUGAUGUUUAAUGAUAAAAUUGCUUGCUUUAUUUUGAUAGUGAUUGAACUUUGGUGAGCUUUUGAUUCAAAGUGUCGUAGGAAGGAGUCAUUGUUAGGAAUCUCGAAUUAUGCCUUGCUUUGGUUGAAACUUUUGUGUUUUAAAACGAGGAAUUAAUUUAUGUUAUAUCAUACGCUAUUCGGUUUUAGAACUUACAUUAGGAAUUUAUAAAGUGAAAUAUUAAAAUUUUGAGCAAUUUGGGAAGUGAUUUGGGCCAUCUUUGAACCGUUUGAGCCUUUCAAGCCUACCUUUAAAUUUUUAUCAUUCGAACCUUGAUUGAGCCUUGGAGAAACGGUGUUCUUUAUUUUAGCCAAUGUGUAUAAGGUAGAAUAAAUGGAGAUUCUUGAAAAAUUACCCUUUGGAGUUCGGUUGGAAAAUUUUAUAAGGUCCUUCUUCUUCCUCUAUAAAAUAAGAAAAAAAAACAAGGAAAAAAAAAAGAAAAAAAAAAGAAGAAAUAGAGAGAAGAAGAAGAGACUAGAAGGGAGAUGAAAGGACUAGUUGUUAAAUUUUUGUUUGAAAGCUCGAUCCAUUGUCUUAAGAGCAAGAGUGGAGACUUUGGAACUCUUAAAAAUCGAGUUUAUUAAAAGUCAUUAGAGGUGAAUUGAUUGUUUCAAACGCUUAUCUUUCAAAAUUUGGCGUAAUCACCUCAAUUCAAGAAACAUAGCCACAUAUACCCAUAUUUCCUACCUCGAACCAAAAAGCCCAACAUUUAUAAGCCAAAAAGUCGCAAUGAUCCCAAUAGCUCAAUUAUUUGAUACUAGCCGAGUAGAGAAAUUUGGUGAGUCUUUGGAGUUGAAUAUUAUUAUGUAAGUAUAAAUUUUCUCCAUUUUUAAUUUACAAAUAUGGGAUACUUGAAGCGAUAGCAUGGUUUGUGGUUGUUGGCAAGGGUGAGUGAAUACAUAUCUUUGAAUUACGAGCUUGUAAAUUUUUAAGAAUUGUCAUAAUAAUUGCAAGUUCUGAAAACUUGAAGUUGACCAUUAAUCUAUGUGAUGAGAGGCAUUUGUUGAAAGUGUUGCUUUGAUAGUUGCUAGUUUUUACUUGAGGACAAGCAAAAGUUCAAGUUUGGGGGUGUGUUGAGUGUGUAUUUUACACUCAAUGUAUACUUUCUUACGAGAAUUUUUGUAUACUUUUAUUGAUUUUAUAAUGCUUAAUGAGUGGUUUAUUGUAUUUUAGGUACAACUUGACGAUUUGGGAGUUCCGGGGGCAAAACGUGCCAAAAAAGGUCAAAAACGUUAAUACUAGUUUGAGGACAAGCAAAAGUUCAAGUUUGGCGUGUUGAGUGUGUAUUUUACACUCAAUGUAUACUUUCUUACGAGGAUUUUUGUAUACUUUUAUUGAUUUUAUAAUGCUUAAUGAGUGGUUUAUUGUAUUUUAGGUACAACUUGACGAUUUGGGAGUUCCAGGGGCAAAACGAGCCAAAAAAGGUCAAAAACGGAAGAAAACAAAAAAUGCUGAAAAUUGGCUGAAAAGUGCCCGCGCGGCCGUGCCAAAUUUAGCCUAUUUUUGGCACGGCCGUGCCAACUGCCGAAGAUGGGCAGAAGGUUUCGGCGAUUAUCGCGCGGCCGUGUGAGAUUUGCACUAAUUCUCGCGCAGCCGUGCCAACACACGCUGAGACAAUUUUGGAUUUUUAUUCACACAAGGAAACCUAAAAUCAUCUACCAAGUUGGGACAUCUAUUUAAGCCCAAACCAAGCACCAAUUAGAGGACUUUGGACACAUCCUUGGAGCGAGAGGAGCGAGAGAACGAAGAAUCGAAGACGGAGAAUUGACAAAUCUUCAUCACAAUUCUUCCUUUAUCUAUCUUUUCUUAAUGUAUGUCUUUUUAUAUUUUUAUUAUGUUUUUCGUAUAGAACAUGAGUAGCUAAGUUUUUAAUCUAGGAUUUUGGUGGAACCCUAUGUGGGGAUGGUGAACCCAUUUUCUUGAGAUUAUGCAAUUAUGAUUUUAUGAUUAUUUCUUAUACUUGUUAUGAUUGUUAGUGCAUGAACUUGAUCAAUUUAUGUGCUGUAUCUGUGAUUAUUGGGAUUGACUUGACAGAGCUAUUUUGAUAAUUAGACGGUAAGUCUAAGAACCUUCGAGUAGUUUUCACCGGAUGAGUGUGUCAAUUGCAUGUGGUGUCGUAGACAUACAUAUAUCACCUUAGGUAGCCAUUUACCAGACUUGUUAGUUAAUGCUCAAAUCAUAAUUGGUUUGCAUAGACAUAUCGUGAAUCGUUUAUGAAUAAUAGACUCAUAAUACACGCGACAACGGGUUAUGAGCAAAUUAGUGUCUCGGGUUAAUAAUCAUAAAUCCUAUAUUUCAUAAUUGAGGGGUUUUGGGUGAGCAAUUCUUGCAUACGGGGAAGUUGAAAUCCUAGAUCCGUUUUAUAUUGAUAUUUUCUCGUGAUUAUUUGCUUUCUUAAUUAGUUUAAUGGUUUAAUUGAUUUAAUUUGACAACUUUGCGUAGGUUGGAUAAAAAUCAUAAUUGUUAGAAUUUGGUACUUAGGAUUAGAUAAUUUGAGUAUUCCCUAUGGGAUCGACAUCCGACUCUCACGAGUCCACUUUUACAACUUGUUUGCGAUACGUGCACUUGCGUGUUAGGUAUUUAGCACCCAACAAGUUUUUGGCGCCGUUGCCGGGGAAUACGGCUAAAUUAUCUAUUUAUCCUAAUAUUAAAUUUGAGCAAUUUUUCUUACUUCAGCCGUUUUAUUUAUUUUAUUUUAUUAUUUUAUUUGUUUUAGGUACUUUUUAUGCGACAAUGGAAGAACAGAAUAAUCAUAGGGGAGAUGAACAAGAGCAACUUCAACUAAUUAAUCCACCACCUUCUCAACGAGCAUUGCAUGAGUACACCAUUCCAACACUCAAUGGGUUUCAAUCAAGCAUCCAGCAACCCCCCAUUGAAGCCAACAAUUUCGAAAUUAGAGCGGGACUCCUUACAAUGAUCCAAAAUAAUGGGUUGUUCAGCGGAUUAGCUCAUGAAGAUCCACAUCUCCACUUGGUCAACUUUCUCGAAACGUAUGAUUCGCAGAAGAUGAACGGAGUAUCACCCGAAGCACUGCAACUCCGCCUAUUCAAGCACUCUUUACAAGGAGCAGCCCAAGAAUGGUUACAAACUCGUGCGCCACACUCCAUCUCGUCUUGGUCCCACCUAGCACAACUCUUCAUGAACACAUAUAACUCCCCAACAAAAACUGAAAGAAUCCGGUGAGAAAUACAGAAUUUCAUACAAGAAGCUGGUGAAGCGCUAUUCGAGACAUGGGAGCGGUUCAAACAAUUAAUUCGGAGAUGCCUGAAUCACGGACUUCAAGAGUGGCGCCAACUACAAAUAUUUUACGAUGGAUUGCAAGACAACUCGAGGACCGUGCUAGGCUCUGCACCUAGAGGAAUGUUCAUGAGUUUGACCUACGACGAAGUAUACGGACUUUUGGAGAGAAUCGCUAGAAAUAAAUACAUGCGGGGAUCAGAUCGGUCAAAUAGACGAGCUGUCAAAACGGGAGGAAUUUUGGAGUUAGACGGGGUCACUGCAAUCACGGCACAAUUAGAGAAGCUAUCAAAACAAGUUGCAGCUUUGCAGACUCAGCAAGUCUAUGCGAUCCAAGGUCCCGACCGGUGCUUAGAAGAAACGGAGUCUCUAAACUACGUGAAUGACACCAUCCGACAAUAGAGGAAUCCGUACUCCAACAUUUAUAAUCCGGGUUGGAGAGACCACCCAAACUUUGGAUGGGGAGGAAAUCAGCAAAGUCAAGGCCAAGCACCGCCACAAGGUCAACCUUAACCAAGACCUCAGCCAGCUCCCGAAUUCCAAAAUUCACCUCAUGCUCCCGCCCAAGAAGGAGAUCUCGCGAACAUCUUAGCUCAAUUCAUGACAUCAACUCAAGCUUCCAUUCGAAAUUUGGAAACACAGAUGGGUCAGCUUGCAACCCAGCUUAACGCGAGGCCAUCGGGAGCAGUGCCGUCGAAUACAGAAGAUCCUCGGAAGAACAACAUAGAGCAGUGCAAUGCAGUAAGUUUGCGAAAUGGGAGGCAAUUAGAGCAAGGGCCUAAAAAGUCCGUUGCACCACCGCCUAUUGAAGAGGAGCCCAAGGAAAAAACUGAGGUCGGGCCAAGCAACACAAAGAUCACAGUAAGUGAACCUACUCCCAAGGUACCCUUCCCUCAACGUUUUCAAAAUUCUAAGCUUGAUACGCAAUUUCAGUUGUUUUUGGAUAAUCUUAAAAAGUUGCAUGUUAAUAUUCCUUUUGUUGAAGCACUUAAGAAUAUGCCGAAUUGGGUUAAGUUUAUAAAGGAACUUGUAUCGAAGAAGAUGAGGCUUCCUGAGUGUGCAGCAAUAGUAGACUUAAAUGAGCAAAGUAGUGCUAUCCUUGCAAAUAAAAUUCCACCGAAGCUUAGAGAUCCGGGGAGUUGUACCAUUCCAUGCACAAUAGGUAUAGGUAUUUUGGGCGGGCGUUGUGUGAUCAAGGGGCGAGCGUAAAUUUAAUGCCUUUAUCAAUUUAUGAGAAAUUAAGCCCACUUCCGUGACCUUGCAGCUAGCUGAUAGAUCUUUUACUCACCCUUUAGGUAUAGUGGAGGAUGUAUUGGUCAAGGUAGAUAAGUUUAUACUCCCGGCCGAUUUUCUAGUACUAGACAUAGAGGAAGAUGAAAAUAUUCCCCUUAUCUUAGGACGCCCCUUCUUAGCAACCGGUAGGUCAAUUAUUGAUGUAGGAAAGAGAGAGCUAAGAAUGAGUGUGGGGGAAGAAAUAGUGAUCUUCAAGGUGUACCGGAUGGAUGAAAAGCCUAUUACGGCUAAUGGAUGUUAUCUUCUUGAUGAGGUAAGUGAUUCUCAACUUUUUCCCGUUAACUUACAUGAUUUAAAAAAUUUUGUGGAUACUAAUAUGCAUGUAGGAGAACAAAAGAAAAAGGUUGAGAUGGUUACAACACCUACUCAAAACACCGUGAUAAAAGACGAUGUUGGCACGCCUCAUGACAUCAAGAAGAAUAAAUUCAAGGGCAUUCCUAAGCGAACCAGUCGAAAGAAGAAUCGGAUCAAACCAUUUAUUCAAGACUUUCUCCAAAAGGAAGUAAGGAGAUGGGUUCAAAAGCUAAGGAAUUGAAGAGCAUGAACAAAGUCUGGCUGAAGACUGUAAACUUAGCGCCUCUCGGGAGGCAACCCGAGAUUUUCGUUUUUUUUUUUCUUUUUCUUGUUUUAUUUUAUUUAUUUAUAUUAAUAAGCAUACAAACUAACAAUUAAAACAUGUUUUAAUUUUUAGGACAUAAAAUUGCAGCUCUGGAGCUCAUACGGCCGUCCCAAAACAAGGAAAAAGAUCACACGGCCAUGCGAGAAACAAACAGCUACUGCCCAAUUUUUGCAAUUCGCACGGCCGUGCGGAAAACAGUUAAAAAUCUCAUACGGCCGUGCGAAGCUCAACAGAAGCAUAAUAAGAGCGAGGGUGGAGAGCAAACCGGAGAUGGCCACGACGACUUAUUCAGGUGUACUAUAUCCUUAAACUUUGUGCUAAUUACAUUGAGGGCAAUGUAAAUUUUAAGUUUGGGGGUGGAAAUUUACUUGUUUUAUGUGCUUUAAUUUUUAGUUUGCAUGCCUUAGGAUUUUUGUUUAUUUUACUUAUUUUAGUUUAUUUAUUGCUUUCGGAAAGAAAAAAAGUUUGUGAUAAAUGCGUCGAUGAACCAUGAUGAUGAAAGAUAGUUGAUGUUUAAUGAUGAAAUUGCUUGCUUUAUCUUGAUUGUGAUUGAACUUUGGUGAGCUUUUGAUUCAAAGUGUCGUAGGAUGGAGUCAUUGUUAGGAAUCUCGAAUUAUGCCUUGCUUUGGUUGAAAGUUUUGUGUUUUAAAACGAGGAAUUAAUUUAUGUUAUAUCAUACGCUAUUCGGUUUUAGAACUUACCUUAGGAAUUUACAAAGUGAAAUAUUAAAAUUUUGAGCAAUUUGGGAAGUGAUUUGGGCCAUAUUUGAACCGUUUGAGCCUUUCAAGCCUACCUUUAAUUGUUUUUCAUUCGAACCUUGAUUGAGCCUUGGAGAAACGGUGUUCUUUAUUUUAGCCAAUGUGUAUACGGUAGAAUAAAUGGAGAUUCUUGAAAAAUUACCCUUUGGAGUUCGGUUCGAAAAUUUUAUAAGGUCAUUCUUCUUCCUCUAUAAAAUAAGAAAAAAAAACAAGGAAAAAAAAAAGAAAGAAAAAAAAAAGAAGAAAGAGAGAGAAGAAGAAGAGACUAGAAGGGAGAUGAAAGGACUAGUUGUUAAAUUUUUGUUCGAAAGCUCGAUCCAUUGUCUUAAGAGCAAAAGUGGGGACUUUUGAACUCUUAAAAAUCGAGUUUAUUAAAAGUCAUUAGAGGUGAAUUCAUUGUUUCAAACGCUUAUCUUUCAAAAUUUGGCGUAAUCACCUCAAUUCAAGAAACAUAGCCACAUAUACCCAUAUUUCGUACCUCGAACCAAAAAGCCCAACAUUUAUAAGCCAAAAAGUCCCAAUGAUCCCAAUAGCUCAAUUAUUUGAUACUAGCCGAGUAGAGAAAUUUGGUGAGUCUUUGGAGUUGAAUAUUAUUAUGUAAGUAUAAAUUUUCUCCAUUUUUAAUUUACAAAGAUGGGAUACUUGAAGCGAUAACAUGGUUUGUGGUUUUUGGCAAGCGUGAGUGAAUACGUAUCUUUGAAUUACGAGCUUGUAUAUUUUUAAGAAUUGUCAUAAUAAUUGCAAGUUCUGAAACAUGAAGUUGACCAUUAAUCUAUGUGAUGAGAGGCAUUUGUUGAAAGUGUUGCUUUGAUAGUUGCUAGUUUUUGCUUGAGGACAAGCAAAAGUUCAAGUUUGGGGGUGUGUUGAGUGUGUAUUUUACACUCAAUGUAUACUUUCUUACGAGGAUUUUUGUAUACUUUUAUUGAUUUUAUAAUGCUUAAUGAGUGGUUUAUUGUAUUUUAGGUACAACUUGACGAUUUGGGAGUUCCAGGGGCGAAACGAGCCAAAAAAAGUCAAAAACGGAAGAAAACAAAAAAUGCUGAAAAUUGGCUGAAAAGUGCCCGCGCGGCUGUGCCAACUGCCGAAGUUGGGCAGAAGGUUUCGGCGAUUCUCGCGCGGCCGUGUGAGAUUUGCACUGAUUCUCGCGCGGCCGUGCCAACACACGCUGAGACAAUUUUGGAUUUUUAUUCACACAAGGAAACCUAAAAUCAUCUACCAAGUUGGGAUAUCUAUUUAAGCCCAAACCAAGCACGAAUUAGAGGACUUUGGACACAACCUUGGAGCGAGAGGAGCGAGAGAACGAAGAAUCAAAGACGGAGAAUUGACAAAUCUUCAUCACAAUUCUUCCUUUAUCUAUCUUUUCUUAAUCUAUGUCUUUUUAUAUUUUUAUUAUGUUUUUCGUAGAGAACAUGAGUAGCUAGUUUUUAAUCUAGGAUUUUGGUGGAACCCUAUGUGGGGAUGGUGAACCCGUUUUCUUGAGAUUAUGCAAUUAUGAUUUUAUGAUUAUUUCUUAUACUUGUUAUGAUUAUUAGUGCAUGAACUUGAUCAAUUUAUGUGCUUUAUCUGCGAUUAUUGGGAUUGACUUGACAGAGCUAUUUUGAUAAUCAGACGGUAAGUAUAAGAACCUUCGAGUAGUUUUCACCGGAUGAGUGUGUCAAUUGCAUGUGGUGUCGUAGACAUACAGAUAUCACCUUAGGUAGCCAUUUACGAGACUUGUUAGUUAAUGCUUUAUUCAUAGUUGGUUUGCAUAGACAUAUCGUGAAUCGUUUAUGAAUAAUAGACUCAUAAUACACGCGACAACGGGUUAUGAGUAAAUUAGUGUCUCGGGUUAAUAAUCAUGAAUCAUAUGUUUCAUAAUUGAGGGAUUUUGGGUGAGCAAUUCUUGCAUAGGGGGGAGAUGAAAUCCUAGAUCCGUUUUAUCUUGAUAUUUUCUCGUGAUUAUUUGCUUUCUUAAUUAGUUUAAAUAUUUAAUUGAUUUAAUUUGACAACUUUGCGUAGGUUGGAUAAAAAUCAUAAUUGUUAGAAUUUGGUACUUAGGAUUAGAUAAUUUGAGUAUUCCCUGUGGGAUCGACAUCCGACUCUCACGAGUCCAAUUUUACUACUUGUUUGCGAUACGAGCACUUGCGUGUUAGGUAUUUAGCACCCAACAAGCUUCCAUCUAUGAACUUGCAAGACCUGAAUCAGGUUCUCAUUUCCUUACUUUUAGGGAAGGAAAGCUGCCCCUUCUUCAUUGUCGUUCAAUCCCGUUUCAGAAUAUAAUCAAGCUAAAUUACGUUCUGCUUUUAUGAUAUGAAAAGUAGGUCUUAAUCGAGGAUAUCCAAUCUGUCUUUACUAUUAAUGUUUGAUAAUUUUGGUGAAAACUAUCGUGAUAAUUAUGUUAAUAUAACAUUCGUUUCUUUGAGUUAUAUAGACUUGGUGUAACAACCUACAGAGCAAAAUUAAAUAUUCGAGUUUUCAGAAAACUAUAUGCAUGGAAAGCUCGAGUUGAGCAUUUUAAAUGAUGUUAAUUAUUAAUUUAUAGUGAGCAUGUUCGAUAAAAGCGCUUUGCAUUGCUACAGAUUAACUUGCGUACUGGUAUUCGAUUUUCUUAUGAUUUUUUAAUCGUUCAGAUGAUGAUGGAUGCAGAUCCUGUUCGUAGACCAACAACCAAAGAAGUAGUUAAUAAUCCAAUUUUUUACAGGAUUGGAAAGAACAAAUAAAUCAAAAGUAAACAAGUAUUUAAUUAGGUUUCUAGCAAAACUUUGCCGCCGAGGUUCAAAUGUUUAAAUUUUUUUAGUCUAACAUUUUUUUUUGAUUCGGUAUUUUAUUUGAAAUAUGUUUUUAGAUGAUCAAUCUACACAGCUACAACAAACUGCAGGAUGUUUUUGAAGUUGUUUCCCUUUCCUUUGAAGAUUCUAAGUAGCUUGUCAAUAAUUUCGCCACUACCCUGUGAGUUUCAUGAUAAUUACCACUGUUGUUCUGUUUUUGCUUUUCCAUUGUUACUACUGUUUUCUGUCGGUCUUUGAAUAUUAAUAUUCAAAUUAUGUGGUGAACAACAGGUUGUAGAGUUUAGGCAAGUUAUAACUUUCCAAGUUCUCGUGUUAUUUAUCCUUUCGUGCAUACGUCUCAUCUUAGUGUCUACCUUUCUAAGGGGAAACAACUCCUUCGUUUGUUUGCUCGCUAUUUUUUUUUCUUCAUUGAUAGUGGUAGACUGUUAUUUUUGGUCGAUUAUUUAUGUUUUAUAUUUAUUUUUUUUUUGGAUGAAAGCACAUGGAUUCUGCUACAGAUUUUUAAUUUCCCUUGUUGAUUUUCAGUUGGUGUUUCAAUUUCAAUGGAAACACUUAGCUUUCAGAUAUGCUCGUGUGUGAUGGAUGCAGUGUGUGUCCUCGAAACUGCCUCGACCCAAGAACUGUUUAAAGUUAAUUUUUGUGCUUCUCGUAUUUUAUUCGAUGUUAGAAACAGUAAAAGUAAAUUAUGCCAUUUUACGUGUCUAUGGCUCUGAUGGGAAAAAUGAACUUCAAGGGCAGGCCCCCUUGCGGAUACCGAAACUUCGCGGGGAUGCAUAUGGCUUUUAGUUUCAAUUUGUGCGAGUCAAUUCGUUGAAAGUAAUAAUCAUUGCGUGUUUAUUUGCUAUUUAUGCAUUGCUAAUUAACUAUGGGAGUUCGAUUGAUGUUACAAUUAAUUGUCCACAAUUUAGAAAUGACUCAAACUUAGGUGCUAUCUAAUGGUAUAUAAUGGAGCCUGCUUUGUUUCUCUUGAACUUCUCAUAUAGUGAUGACCCUUUUUUCUACUUCUUGCAUGCUUGUUUUACUUCUGUGGGAGUUAGUUUGCUUCGGUCAUAGUUGGACUUUAAAUUAUUUAUGUUUAUAUCUUUAUAUUCGUGAUUUUUACAAGUAUUUAUUUAAUUCUGACUCAAUAGUUUAUUCUAAAGGUGUGAUGAUAGGAGUCACAACAUGGGCUUCAAAUAUAGGGUUUGAUCUAAUCAGAUGUUAUUUUCAUACUUCGACUGAAUUGAGGUUCAGUUCUUAAUUGAAGCCUUGCUAAAUAACACGAUAAAAAUUGCCUUUUGCCUGGUAUUUUGGCUUUGUAUGCAGAAAACAUGCUGCAGAACCACCUCGUUGAUUUCAAAUUGCUGCAAAGUCUAUUGACCUUCUUGUUGGACAGAGCAGAAGUGUUAGUUUUUGCCUAUGCAUACGGUAACAGAAAUGGUACGUAAUUUCAUUUGUAAAUCAAUCCAUAUUUCAGUACAAAAAACUGGUUAAAAUUGUUGAGCUUUUCUUACCCUUUUAUGGUUUCUUUGCAUAAUGCAUAUGUUAGUAUCUUAUAAUACUUGUGAAAUUUACCUAAACACCGCCUACCAUGCAAUUAUUGAGAUUUUCCUAAACACCUUCUAGCAUGAUCUUAUUUCCUCCAUCAUAUAUCUCGAUCGUAUUUAUUAUGUUUUUAUUCUUUAUUUAUUAAUACUAUUGGUUCAUUUUUUUUAUCUUCUUCUUACAGUUUGUCCGUGUUAUUAUACGCCUCUGUCCUUUAUUUUCUUUGCCCUUCUUUUCACGAUGUGUAUGAUCGACCUGUUUGCUUCUUCUUUUCUCUUUUCUUUUGUUCUCGAUUUUUUUCUUCUCUUGCUUCUUUGUCCUCAAUCGUCGCCUGCAAUUGCCGAAUCGCCGUUGAAUAUUUCUCGAUUUUGCUUCCAGUUUUGGUUUUCUCUGUGGGUGCAAGUUCCCGGGUCUGAAUUGGAUUUCCUACAAUCUUGUCAUUGGGUUUUUUUUUUAAAUCAUUGAUUCUGUCAUGGUUAAUACAAGUCAUAUAUUUGUAUAGAACAUGCAUCCAUUUUUUCAUCUAUCUAACGAAUACUGGAUUGCUAUUCUUGCACCAAAAGGCGAAAUCCCUCGCCCCAGGGCACCCAUCCCUUGGUCCGACAAGGAUUGAUGGAGGAAUGUAAAUCAUGGUAACUCAACGGCCCGUUACGGUAGCGGACCUAGACCUGGUGCCCACAAGGAACCAACCCUCAUUGGAGUUGAAAUUCCCACAUUGCGGCUGCCAGGAUUCGAUCCUAGGACCUUGCACCAACUUACCACCUCCGGAACCAGUUGAGCUACACCCAUGCGGGCAAUAUUGGAUUGCUAAUCUAUUUAUAUAUGCAUAUGUUUUUCAAGAUAAAAGACAAUUAGAUUGGCAGAAGAGAAUAAAGGUAGCUCGCGGUCACGGGAUUCAGUUUUUACACGACAAGGCGAAUUCACCAAUGAUGAACCUCGUCCCGAACUCAUCAAAAACUUUUCUUCACUUUUUUUAUAUAUACGUUCUGAAUGCAAACAUUUGACAGUUAAGAUAGCAAUUUAUUGUCAGAUCUUUCCGACUUCUUUCAUUCGAAAACCUGCACAUUAUUCCUUCUGCCGAACAAUCUUUGCCAAACAAUCUUUUACUGUUUGACAUAAAAUAAUCUUUUAAUAUCGGACAUGAAUAGUCGGGAAUAGGCAUCACGCAGGGCACCGCGCCUUGCGCGGUGCUCGUUACUAGUAUAUAUAAUCCUAAAAUUUAAUAUAAGAAGGAAAUAUCUAAUGAAAGGACCCCCCAUAUAUGUUGUCAGGCCAUGUGAACAAGUUAUGGAACACGUUCUUAACAAUUACUCAAUCAAUGCUUGGAAAAUAAAUAAUGCCAAUUAUUAUCUUAGGAGAAAAUUAAAAUACUAGGUAAAAGAAAAAAAAAACUUCAAGUGUAGACAAUGACAAUAGCCCUUUGGUAAAAGACACAAUAGAAAGUGAUACGUUCCAGAAUCUAUGCAUAAAUAAUUAUUUUAUUUUAUUUGAUGAUAGCCUAGCUUUCGUAUUAUUGAUGUCGUUUUCGUUUUCUUGUAAUUCGCAUGGUUUUUUCUUCGACUAGCUAGGCCAUUUUACAUUAUGAUGAAAUGAAUGUUUGAUUAAUAAUAAAAUAAAAUUGGGCAAAUUACGGCCACCCCCAGAAGUAAGGUCAAAUUACGAAAAAAUCCUAAUGUUUGGGUAAUUACAACCACCCUUUAACUAUGAUUGUUCUUACACGUGAUGAUGUAUUCCAAUUUUAAUAAUUAUUUUAUUUCAUCCCAAAAUAUUUUAUAUCAUUAACUUAUUAAUAUAGUAACAUAUUCAAUUUAAUUAAUACAUAAACAAAAACAAUCAGAAGAAUAAAUAUUUUUUUUAGUGAGAGCAUAUAAAUUUUCUAAGAGCAUCUCCUAGAGUGUAAUGUAAACCUAUAUUAUACACAAUAUGAACAACCAAGAUCAAAAUAGUGAGCUCCAAGAGUAAAAUGCAUAAUUAACAAAUUGGCUAAAUUGUAACUUUGGCUUCUCAAAUUUGAGAAACCAAAACUACAAUUUAGCUAAUGCGAAAAAUAUUAAAAUAAUAUUAUAUUGUUCUUUAUAAUAUAUUUAUCAUUAAAAAGUAUUUUAUAUUGUCUUAUUUUUUUGCAAAUAAAUGUACUAAAGAAGAAAUUUAUUAUUUUACUUAGUAUUAAUAAUAAAUAAAAUUAAAAAAAUAUUUAUCAUUUUAAUUAACAUAAAAAAUAUUUCCUAACAAUAAACUGUUUGAGAUGGCCUAACAAUAAGUUAUUACUCAAUUGAAAAUUUCCUCAAAUUCAAAAAACUUAAGCUCAAACUAAAGACCAUAAAUGAUUAAAGUAAAUUAAAUAUAAAAUUUAACAAAUUAAUUACAGAAUAAAUCAACCCUUGCAUUCAAAUACAGUUCACAUUUCGGCCACUCCAAUCAAGAAGCAAGAUUUAACCCAGAUGCAAUCAACCUAACAUUGCUUUAAAAUUUAACAAACCCACUACUUCCUCUGGCCAAGGAUGAAAAAAUAGUACGUCGUUGCAAGCAAAAAGGUCCGGCGAGCAGGGCCAUGGCUACACGAAGUCGAAAACGACGGAGGAGUGAACUGGGUGAAACCGUAACGGAAAAAGAAGCUUGAGAGGGAUGAAGCAACAUAGGGAGAGGAAGGGGAGAAAAAACCUCUGCCGGAAAAUAUUUUCGCCGGAACGAAUGGCAUGAAAAAUCGAGAACUUAAUCCCUAUUAGAGGGAUGAGAGAAGUCUGGGAAAUGAGGAAGAAAAAAACCAGGAGAUUUGUUGGUGGGGGUGAUGCGUAGAAAAUUGUGCAUAUUAAUAGGAAAUUGGGUCCAACAUUUUAAAUAUAUUUGAAGGGUAAAGAAGUAAAUGCAUAAGAAAACUGACGGUAUAAGUUGUUUACACGUUGACCACAAAUUAUAGGGGUUAUUUUGUUACGUUUUGUAGUCUAGGGUGGUGUUUGUGACAGACCCCAUAGUUAAGGGGUGCAAACUGUACUUUUCCCGUAAGAAAAUACAUAGUUAAGAGGUGGUUGUAAUUAGCCAAACAAUAUGAACUUUUUCGUAAUUUAAUAUGUACCUCAGGAUGUGACCGUAAUUUACCCAAAAAUAAAAUAAAUUCAACCUUUUUGCAUUGCAAGAAGAAAAGCAACAAGAAGGCACAACAAGAAGGGUGUUCGAUCAAAAAGUUUAAAGGGAAGAAAUGGACUUUAAAUUUAACCAAAAAGCUCAUAUAAAUAUCUGGUUUAUUGGUAGUGAUAAAGUAGAACAGUGUAAUCCCUCUCUAGUUCAAAUCAAAGUGUUAUUACAAAACGACAACAUAAAUUUGUGGUUAAGAUAUCUUAUCCCCUAAUAAUAAUAAAGACUGAAUUUUUAUUUUAUUUUUAAAUAUAAAUAAAAAAAUGGGCAUGUUUACAUAAUCACCAAAUUAAGAACACUAAUUAAUUCAAAGCUCCAAACAUAUAUAGAUUAAUUAAUGAUUUCUAAUAGGUAUCAGAUUUUCAUAGAUUCAAUAAAUAAAAAUCAACAAUUAAAUUCAAAUUGUUUUUUAUUCUGACCUCAAUAGGGCUGAGUUUUCUGAUGUAAAACAUCUCGGCAGAUUCAGGAACGCCCCCAAUAUUUCUGCCCAUCUUUCUGCAUGCGCGUGAAUCCCUAAUGCAGGACCCGAUUUUGCCCCAGUAACUAUCACUCGCGACCCGAUCCCAGAGCCAACCUGAGUAGUCCUGGAGCGAGUAGUCGAGGUAGGCCCGGUUCAUCACGGGCUGGCCGGAACCCUUGCCGGUGAUGGCGUAGGUGAAGAUGACGAAGCCGAGUAGGGUGGCGAUGAUGAUGAACAUGGCCCACAGGUAGAGGUACAUGAGGAAGUUGUUCCGUAGCAGGCGCCGGCGAAUCCGGCGAGGGAGACGACCAUGAUGGAGACGCCGAUUAUUAUGAGUGGCCACUGGAGGAACUUCGGGCAGUCGGUGUUGUUCGCGUGGCUGCUCAGCCAUAUUCCGCCGCCGAGGAUGGGGAUCGACAGGACGAAGGUGAGGAAGUUCACGGCGCCUAUUAGGUGGUUGCUCGUUCUCAUGGCUGCGGCGGUGGCGGUGGCGGUGGUUGUAAAUUUAUUUGAAAUUUAAUUUUGUCUUACAAGAGAGAGAGAGAGUACUGCAGUAUUUAUUGGGGAGCAGAUAUAUAAUCGGAAAAAAGCUUUGGGGGAAAUCAAAAUUUGUGGGAAACAGAGAUAAGCAUGCUUUUGUACACAGUUAAUGACUAAAUUACCCUCUGCAGAAUGAGUGAUUUACUGAUUUUAUUUAAAUUUUGGUUUAAUGGCACUUUGCCCCCCAACUAUCGUGUGUUUUGCACGUAAUAUCUGGACAAAAAACAUUUACAACAUUUUACCUAAACUGUGCACGGUGCCUCCGUUUUACCAAUCCAGUUCAUUUCUCGUGCGUCACAUGUCCAUUCACUUCAAGUCUUUUAGGGCAAAAAGAAUAAAAAACCGAGGGGAAAUAGAAGUACGAAUAAAUUUGCAGUGAAUGGACGUUUAUACCCUAAAAAACCCAUAUGCAGACGAGAAAUGAACCGAAUUGGUAAAAUUGAGGCACCGUGCAACAAUUUAACGAGUUCAGGUAAAAUUUUGUAUAUUUUUUUGUUAAGGGGGUAACGUUAAAAGCACGCGAUAUUUUUGGGGGCAAAGCGCCAUUAACCCUUAGAUUUUUGUUGAAACAAACUUUUACAAGGAAAUGACUAGAUUAUCCUCUGAAAAUUGUUGUAUCCAACAAAUUCAAUGCAAAUAAUAAGUGUGUCCCUGAAAAUCGAGCAUAUUUCCUGGAAGUAAAAUAUGGAACUAAAAAGGAUAUUUUCAAAAAUUACAAUUAUUGCCUAUUAAAAACCACUCAAAUGUUUGUGACCCCACCAUACAAAAAUAGUUGCACAUGCAUAUGAGUUUCCCCCAUGCAAAGAAGGUCAAGUGGUCGGUGGUUAGAAACAGUGGGUCCUAUUAAGAAAUCAUUUUAAAUUAUUACUAUGUUGAAACUCUUGCGACAAUGAUCAAAAUUAAUAAUCUACUCUUUUUUUUUAUAAUUAAAUUAAUAAUCUACUUGAUAAAUAAUAAUACUAUUCAAUAAUUUGAUAUGAAGUUAUCAGCACUUUCAAACCAUAGUUUUGCAAAGACUUUAAGGCGUGUUUGAUGCCUUACAACCUUAAAAAAUUUAAAAUAAAAAAAAAUAUUUAGUAAAUAUUGCGUUAUUCAGUACAGUUUUGGUAUACUGGACAUCAAUACCGUACACCGUACUAAUACCGAAAUUCAAAAAUAAAAUAUCAGUGUUGAUUUAAAUUGUAAUUAAAUUGUACAAUCUUAUUCGAAUCUUAAUUGAAUUAUCAGACUGGACUUUAAAAAAAAUUAUCUAGGCCUCCAUCAAUAGUUAGAAGCCCAAUUUAGAAAACAUAUAUUAUUUCUGGCCCAAAUUUAUCUAUAAAUUACAGAAAUUCUAGGGCUUCAAAAUCCACAAUUCUGCCGCACAAAGCCUAAUCUGAGAUUCACGGCAGAACAAGAAACUGAGAGACACACAAAGCGGCGAGCUUUGGAGCUAUACGUGUUUGUUGUAUCGUUGAAAACUCGAGCAGUUGUCGAUCUUCUUAUGUAAGUUCUUGUAUUAACUGAAGCUUGAAGAUUUUCUAAAUCUGCUUUUUUUUUUUUGUUUUGUCUUGAUGAAGCUUUGUGAAUAAAUUUUGUUUUGUUGAUAUGGUGUUUGUAAUUUAGCCCCUUUUGGAUUUAUUUAUAUUAGAAAAGGCUGUGGAUGAAUUAUUUGCAGAAAUUGUUUAUUGUGCAUGCUAGGUGUUUGAUGAAUUGAUUUGUGGUAUUAUUAUUGUAAAAAGUCCAUCUUGGCAAAUCAGUUGAGCCCUUUUAAGAGCAAAUGAGCUGCCUUGAAUGCUAAUGGACUAAUAUUAAAUCUCUCUCUUUCUCUUAACUAUUUUCCGCUUCUUCAAAUCUGUUAAGUUUGCAUAUUAGUGGAGAUGAAACAUAUUAAAAAAAAUAUUAAAUAGUUGUUUGUUAAAAUUCUGAAUCUUUUGUAUGCAAGGUGUUUGAUGAAUUGAUUUUUUGGUGUCGAAUUUAUUUUUUUCUAGUCCAUCUAGGCAAGUCAGUUGAGCCCUUUUAAGGGAAAAUGAGCUGCUUUUGAAUGCUAAUGGACUUACAGCUAAAUCAUCUCUUUUUUUUGUUUCUCACCACUCACCGGAACACAGUAACCGGUAACCGCCGCCGGCUCGCAUCAACACCACCGCCGCUUCUGGCCGUCCGACGUCCUCAAUGAAUCCCCUAUUCAACUGAAAUCACGCGUUUCAGCGUUCGUCGUCCAAUUUUGACCGGAAAAGCGGCGAUCGAACGCUACUGCAGCGGCAAUUGAAAUUUGAGUCUUCAAUUUUAAUGUAAAUGGAUUUCAUCUCACAUUUACGAUCUAAAAUUGAGUGAAUGGUCCUUACACUGGGUUUUGGGCAGUUGAGAGUUGAGUUUGUUCCCUUCGGGCAUCGAUUUCUAAAUUUAUUCCCAAGCAAUCAGUUUUCUCUGUGGUGGAUUUGAAUAAUUGGAGUUGUUGAUGUGAACUGAGUAGUAUUGCCCAGCUAGGUGGUAUUGCCAUCGGAAGUGGCCCGGAAUUGUGCAUUCUUAUGGAAUUAACUGUUAGAUUAGAUUACAACAUUCUACGAUAGAUUAAGAUCGGUGGGAUAACCUUCUCAAUCUGGGCAGGUUGUUUUAUUCUACGUAAAUGUGGGCAGCUCGUUUUCUAGUUUAACAUUGGUUUUUUUUUUGGGACAUGUUUUUUUAUGUGUUAGGAGAUGUUUUCAGUAUAUUCAAACGUCUAAUUUGGCGUGCUAUUAAUUUUACAAUUACAAUAUAUGUAAAAUGUUGCAAUUUUACGAUCGGAUUAUUGAACCCCCUCUCUGGUUUUACUCAAAGUCUCGACUUUGUGUACCUUGCGUGCGAAUCAAAUGAAUUCUUCUUCAUUUUCUUGACAUUUGUGCUUGAUGGCUAGAGCUUAUAGUUGUUGCCUUGUUGGUAAAUUACGAUAUUUUUUAUCUCCCUUAAUGGUGUCUUUGAUCUGGCAUAGUUUGACGAAUGAAAAGGUCGCUCGGGUCCCACUUUUCGAGGUACUCUCUCGUCAACUCUCUUUUCUCUAAAAAAAUUCUUCUCUUUUCUCUCUUGUGAUAUGAUUAUGUCAAAGCUUAAUAUCCAUGGUGGACAAGGAAAAUAGGUGUUUGUCUUAAUACUGUGUCUACUUUUCGUCUUAUCGUUUUCUAUGGAACAGAUAAUGGCAGCAAGAUCGAAAGGAAAAACAGCCGAAGCAAAAGCCCUAGCGGAGCCCAUGUCCACAAUAGUUUCUCGGCUCCAAUCCUGUUUAAUUGAAUCCAAUUCUCAAGGAAUCCUUUCAGGGAGCAGCGUUCUUCUUGCAGCACACGAAGAACAAACGGAGCUUUUCAACCACGCGUGUUUCGGCCGUCUCGUUAUCACCACACAGAAGAACAAACAGUGGUUUCAACUAUGCCACAAGGAAGCUUUUUACCUCUGCACCGUAAUGAAAUGCAUCAAGAUUGUAGGUCAAAAUAGCUGCGUAAAAAAUGAGGAAGAGCUGUGGGAUUACAUGUCGUCCAAGAGAGUGAAUUUCCCGGUUCUGUAUAAAGCGUAUUCGCAUCUUCGUACGAAGAACUGGGUGGUUAGGGCGGGGUCUCAGUACGGUGUUGACUUUGUUGCCUAUCGGCACUACCCGACUUUAGUGCACUCUGAGUACGCUGUUAUAUCCUCUUCUACAGAAGAAGGAAACGAAAAUGGACGUUUGAAGGUUUGGUCUGAUUUUCAUUGCACUCGUCGUCUCUGUGGCAGUGUUGCAAAAACGUUGUUGGUUCUCCACAUUAGCAAAAACUGUAACGAUUGUGACGGUUGCUAGUUAUUCCCCUUGGAAUAUUAAUUAUUACAGCGUCGAGGAAAGAAUCGUUGCCAGGUGGAAUCCCGAGCAAAGCCGGGAGAAUUGUACGGUUGCAGAGAAGGAAUCGUGUAAGUCGUCAUAAGCUUAACUUAACUCCUGUUUAUUGUACCAGUUACUAUGUUGUAAGAUUUCGCCAUCUUAUAUAAAUAAGCGAUUGCUGCAGAAAUUGGUCUGUUGAUUUUGGGCAGGAAUCUGAUGCAUGCACUGUAUCUAAGUAAAAGAUUUGCCAGUACAUCCAUAUCAUGUACUAAGUAUUUUAGAUUUUUUUAUUUUACUUUUUAUUUUUUGUUUUUCAUGUGCACAUGUGAUCAGGAAAAAAUAAACAAUAGGGCAAAUUAUGGAUACCUCCCUUAUUGAGAUUCAAUGGAAAAUGAGCAAGAGAUCCAAAUAAAUGAUUAUUCUUUUCACAUUAAUUCUCUCCAAAAAUCAAACAACUGAUAACCAAAUAUAAUAGAAACCUCGAUAUAAUAGCCAACCAACAUAAGUUGAUAAUAUAUAAACGAAAAUAAGUUACAGAAAAUAGUGGAAAAAGAAAACAUAAGAAAGAAAGAGGCAAUCGAUAACAAGUUAAAAAAAACAAGGUAAAAAAGGGAAUAUAUACCAAUGAAAGAGGGCAAUUGAUAUGUACUCGAAGAGCCUUUCCAAUUAUCUGAGUAUCAGAGGAGGAAAUCUUUCGUCUCUUUCUUUUUGCCUAGCAUCAAUAAUCUCAAUUCAAUAACUCGUAACAAAAAUAAGGAGAAGACAAGGAGAAAAUAAAAGAAAACAAAUCAAUAAAAAAGUUCAAUCAAUAUGUAUUCCAAGAGUUAUCCAAUUGUUUGAGCAUAUGUGUGUGUGAAACUUAUUCUUGCCUCUUUGUUCAAAUGGAUAUCAAGACUCUCCAACUCAACAAUACCUUAUUCCCAAAAUAAACGAAAUAAGGGAUAAACAUAAUGCAAAAAUAAACCUAACCUUUUGCCAAUGUUUCUAGUCUGAAUGAAAAUCCUUGAAACUUUGUUCUUGCAAAACAUAUAACAUAAAACAUAAGAAAAUAGGCAAGUUCAACAAACAAUCAAGUGACAGAAAAUGAUAAUGGAGAUCCCUUGAGAGCUUAAGUACAAUACAAAGAAUAUGAACGAUUAACUUUAUAAGGAACUAUAACGGAGACGAAAUAAUACCGGAAUAGUCUUGACUAUAGGUUUGUUACAAGUCAGCCUUCCCCUGUAGCAACCAAACAUCUUCAAGCAAUUAUAAAAAAAAAAUACAUUGCAAAAUCUUAGUGAGUAUCAUCAAAAUUUAAACAAAGUAAAUAGUUGCAAAAGAAUAGUCAGUAUCAUCAAAAUUGAGCACUGUAUCAUAAUACAAAUGCACAAUCACUAACUCAAAUGUAGAAUCCAGAGAAAGAGCGAUGACUUGAUUUUGCAGAAAUCGUGAAUCAACUUAACACUUCUAUGAAGAAUUGAUUCACAUCAAAACUCAACGGCCUCGUUGUCCCUCUUUCGUCAAUGGAAAAAAAAUACCUUGCUUUGUCAUGUCCACCACAACUCAAAAGUCAAUUAAACUCUUACAUGGAAACUCAUCAACCGCUCAACAUUCACUGCCAUAGUUGCCGUGAAACUAAAAAUUUAGGGAAAACGUUCCUAAUCCUAUUCUUAAAUUUUUUUUGUCGAAUUUAAAUGUUCUUUAAAACCUAGUUUCAAAUUAUUAAAAGAUAUGCGAGAGAGACAAAAAUCGAUUGCCGUCAAACUGAAAAAGGGGGAAAACAUUCCUAGCCCUAACCUCUUUUUGCCGAACGGAAAUUGUCUGCAAACCCUAGUCGCAGGAAGAUUGAAACGAUUUCGCGGGGGGGGGGGGGGGAUAGUUGGGGGGGGGGGAAUUUUAAGAGAAAAUGGAGGAACUAACCUGCAUAAUUUUUUACUCAAUAAACUCUCCCCUUCUUUAUUUAUUUAUUUAUUUAUUUAUUUAUUUUAUCUCUUACGGUAAUUCAACUUGAAGGUAUAAAUGCCCCUAAAGGUUUGGUAAUUACAUGCAACUUAUGAAAUGUCCCAACAAUCUAUAUUUGGGACACUUAUAAAAUUAUGUCCCUAACAAAAUGUCGUAAUAGAUGAUUUUUGUUGUAGUGACACCCUUACGUAGUUUACAUGUGCAGCAUAGUUCUUAAACAGUUCCAUUACAAGACACGUCAUCACAUUAAUACAAAAUAUAUAGACAGUGUGUUUUUUUUCUUUUCUUUUUUUUUUUCCGAAAACACCAAAAAAACUGCGAAAUAACUCCACAUACGCGCGUUGCUCGUAAAAAUCUUUAAAAUCCAAAGGCUGCGACUUCUCCAUUCUUGUCUCUCCAUAAGGCUCGUCGUUAUCGAUCCUUUUGUUGUGCCUAAAAGUAG